rnacentral:lncRNA from 1 species
UUUGAGUCCUCUUUUAUUAGUAUUGAUUCAUCAGUAUCCAAAUCAUAGAAAGAACAAGCAGUCACGGCCAACACUCGCAACUUUACAAGAUCCCAAAUACUCGGUAAUAGUACCAAGGUUGAUCCUUUGUUUUCAACCAUCAGGGUUUCUAGAUUCCAGAGAUUUGAGAAAGAUGAAGGCAGAGAUUUAACUUUUGUCCCAAUUCUUAAGCACCUCAAAUGAUUCAACAUGCCAAUUUCAUUCAGCAAAGAAUCUUUCACCAUCAUAAAAGAGGGAUGCAGGUCCAACACUCUAAGAAGCCUCAAGUCUCUUGCGUGACAUGCAUCAGAAAGACGAUCUUCCAUCUCGUGUCCAACUAUCAACAAAGAACAGAGGUGCUUACCAGAAUGCCUUUUCUUUUUUGAAUCGAGCAGGACGAAAUUGUUAGGCCCAAAGUGCUCCUUAUCGUAAUCAAUAUUUACUAUGCGUGGCAUCAAAUCUGAAGAAGAAAAAGAUGGAUCACUUGAACUAAUCUCACCAAACAACUUUUCUCCUCUUGCUUUUAUCAAACAAAAGUCGUGCACAAGAUCAUGAAUUUUGCAAGUCGGGACAUCACCUAUCUCAUUGAAAGCAAUUACCAAGCUACUAGAAAUUAAAUUAUCCAAAUAAAUUUCCAUCAGUUCAUCCACACUCUUCAUCCCUGUUUGUUCAACAAGCCCUUCAGCACGCCAAAGCAAUUUCAAGAUAUCUCUGUCAAUUGCUGUAUCCUUCACAGAACGUGCUAGGUAGAGGAAGCAUGGCUUCAGGUGAUGAGGUAAAUGGUCAUAACUUAAUUCUAUAACCUUCAUCACAUCAACUUCACUUCUUAAAAUAAAGGAGCUCAAAUUAUUUUGAACUUCAAGCCACGCAGACUUUGUCUUUUCCCUCGCUGCAAUGACUCCAGCAAUCAGAUCAGCAACCAAAGGAAGUCCCUUACAAUUUUCAGCUAUUUCUUUUCCAACUUCCAGUAGUUCAUCAGGGCAACUCUGAUCUCCAAAUGCUCUUUUCUCUAUUAACUCCCAACUUUCUUCUGGACUUAGCAAUCGAAGGUUAAGAGGAUCAGUGUUGCCCUUUCCAUGAAAAGCCACUUCCUUUUGUCGAGUCGUCAAAAUAAUUCUGCUUCCUUUCUCAACUUCAGGUAAAGGUCUUGUUAGAUCAUCCCAUGUAGUAGUAUCCCACACAUCAUCUAACACAAUUAAGUACCUCUUUCCAUACAAUUGUUUCCGCAGCUUAUCGGCAACAUCAAUUUCCUCGCUGAACUUCAAAUCCGAGCUAGUAACUUGAUUAAAAAUUUUCACCAGCAACUUCGUCUCGUCAUAUUCUUGGCCGACUGUGCACCAUGCACGAAGGUCGAAAUGACUACAAACUGAUUCAUCACUGUAUACUUUGUACGCCAAAGUAGUUUUACCCGAACCCGGCAUACCAAUGAUUGAAAUGACUUCUAGAUCUUUCGGUCCACUGGUGAGCUUAGUAAUUAACCAGUUUGUCUCCUCCUCAAAACCUACAAUUAUUUUACCAGUUGUCAAUGACUUGCUUUCAACUGGAUUCUUGGGAGAGUUUACAACAAUGAGGCUCUUGUUCUUGGGAAUCUUCUCCGGUAAAUUGGAGACUUCUUCUUUGAUAAGCCUGAUCUUUUUUAUGGUGAUGGGAAGUGAGAAAAUAAGAUGUAAGAGACCCUUAUCUCUUACGAUAAUAGAAUCAAUGACAUCUUUAACCUCAUAUGCCACAUCUAAAACACGUGACCAGAGAUCUUUAUACAAUCCUUGCUCAACAUUCAAGAAGAACGAUCUUAUGAAUUCGAGGGCUUCUUUCACCAGUGCAAUUUCUUCCUUUAUCAAAGCAGUUGAAUAAGAAUUGGAAUUUAGCAGAUCAUUCAAGUGGAUGAGUAGAAGAUGCAUGAAGAGAGGUUGUCAUGAUGCAUAAAGUCCUCGGGCAUAUCAGUAAGAAUAAUCAAUUGGAAUUCUAUCAUGACAUUAAUGUUUCGAGCCCCUGAAGUGCUUGCGGUAAUAACAGUUACCAUGUGCUCUUGUAGAUGAAUCAGAUACUCUCUCAGAAUUUCCGGAGAGGUUUCAAGGAGUUGCUUAAUAAAGCGUCCAACUUCUGCUGAUGGUGAAGCUUUCAAAUUUGUAUAACAUAUUUGGAUUACCUCCAGUUCAAUUGGAAUAAUCUUCAUGAGUAGAUGAGGUAUCUUGAAGACUUUAGAGUCUUCAUUAGUUAGAUCAUCCCAGAGGAAGAUUCCAACUUUUUCAGCCAUAUGUUGAAGCUGAGAUAAGACAUAUUCGACAAUCUCGCGCUCAACGUAACCAUUCAAACUCAACCCAUGGAAAUCUCUUAUGUUGGCACACACUUUCUGAAGAAUAUCAUACUGAGUCACCAAUGGAAAAAUCUGUUCAGCAAGAUACAUGGAUAGAUAAUGGAGAUUCUGGAGGAGGAAGUUCAACUGCUCGUCAGUCAUGGUGGCACUUGAUGUAGAAUGAUGACACGAGCUGAUACAAUCAUCGAUAUUAUCCAUGAGUCUUGGAAGGACAUGAUCCAUGUUGUAUUUACACCCGACGUUGUUGUCAACAUCACCCAAAAUUGGUUGAAUUAGAUUCUCAACCUCUUGUCUUGACACACUCAUGUUAUCUUCAAACUGCUCCAAGUCACAAUGAGAUAGCUGGACAUAAGUACAAAUACCUGUCAGCUCAAGUCUCAGGUUUUCAAUUUGAUCUGCUAUGUCGACAGCAUUUUGACCUUCUUCAUACUUUAACCUCUCCAUGAAAUCCAGAACGUUGACCACAUCCUUGCGAAGAGCAGAAAAUGACACCUGAAAAAUGACCAAAUAUUAUAUCUAAUUUUCAUAGCGAACAUAUAUACCAUGCAAUAUUUACACUAUAUAGGCAACCAACACAUGCACAAGUAUUUUGUAUGAAUUUGAUGUUAUCUAUUUGACCUAAUACUUCAUCCAAAAUUAUCGGAUACUUGUUAUAUGCUUUAUCUUCUACAAAAAAAAAUUCAAAUAACACAAAUCAAAAUAAUGGGAAAAGGUCCAAAUAUACUACAAACCAUUGACCAAAUAUGCCCUCCCCUUAAAAAAAAAAGGUUAUUUAUACCUGUGGCGUAACACAAGUGACUCCAAUUUGUCCUUUUUGACUAAUGGAAGUGAAAUAGUCGAUGUUAAAAUUAUUUUUCUAAUUUUUUUUUUUUUUUUUUGUUAAAACAAAAGCGACAUGGAUUUAAUUAAAUGAAAACUGGCCAGAAUUAACCCCAUCUACUUUCAAAACUUGUAUACAUUUAAGAGAUAAGCAUCCAGUACCUCCCAGAACUAUGAGCAAAGUUAUUACAACACACUUCAACUUCACAGAGAUCCUAUUAGCCCUCGUAUUUUGUCACUCUUUUGUGCUGACGUAACACCUUUAUUACAUAAAAAAGGGUCCACGUCAAAGUUGCCACGUCAGCUAAAAAGAUUGACAAAAGGUGUCACGUCAGCUUAAAAGGUUGACAAAAAUAUGCUAAAAUAUAGUUAGGGGGUAAAGUUAGAGUGUGUCAUAGUAAAUUUGGUCAUAGUUUAGGGGUACUAGAUGUUUUACUCUACAUUUAAUCUCCAUUUUACAAUCUGACCUUUCAGUAAAUUGUAUUUUCAGGAUAAUUAGCACAUAGUUCAAUGACUUAAGUGUGAUAAAAGUUUAAUUUUGUGACUAUACUGAUAAAACAAGUAAAGUUCAGUGAUUUUAGUUAGUUAAAAUUAGUUUAUAUAAGUAACUAAUUAACAGAUACAUACAUAAGUAAAGUUCAGUGAUCAUUACAUACCUCAAAAUUGUUUGCUUUCCCUUUCUCUAUUUCUCCUUGUUUUUUCAUGACUGUAAGUGUCUUUCAAGUUUCACUAGCCAAAUUUUACGAUCUGAUGUAUAAAAAGUAGAUAAAAAUUUCAUCAGGUGAAAAGCAAAAAGAAGCAUAAAAUUAAUUUCUUUAUCAUUUUUAUUUCUACAGAUCUUAAUACCAGAAUUAAACAAAGUAAGUUUAUGAGAGACUAACCUUAUCAAUUGAUGAAAAUUCAGAUAUAGUUGCUUUGUUACUCUAUGUUUUUGUGUACUCUCGAGAAAACUAUUAGCUUGAAUAAUGAAAAGCCGAAAAUUAGAAGAUAGAGAGAGAACAAAUGAUUGAUGUUAGGUAGAAAAUGAUGCAUGGUAUUUCCAAAACAGUUUAUAAAGCAAAAGCAAAUAGGGCCUCCAACUUAAUCAUACUCUCAAGAGGGAAUAAUAAUCUGCAAUAGGGAGUUUUGGCCAUGAAAUAGCUACUGCGUCCGUUUAAAACAGAAUGAUCUACUUUCCUUUUUAGUUCAUUCUUUUUUUUUUUUUUAAUACUUUAAUUUCAACUUUUCACCUGGUAUGUUUAGGACCACAAGAUUAGAGGACAUUUUAGUACAUUUGACACAAUUUUAAUUUAAGGCCACAAGAUUCAAAAGUAUUUUUUAUUUUCUUAAACUUUGUGCCAAGUUAAAGUAGGUCAGUUUUUUAAACAGAGGGAGUAUUUCUUUUUAAGAUAAGCAUUCAGUAUUCUUCCGAAUUAUGAUCAAAGUUUCUACAACAUACUUCAACUUCACCGGGAUCCUAUUAUCCCUGAACUCAAUUUUAACGUAUUUUUGUCACCCUUUUGGGAUGACGUGGACCUUUAUUACAUAAAAUGAAGCCCACGUCAAAGGUGUCAUGUCAGCUAAAAAAAUUAACAAAAGAUGUAACGUCAGAUAAAAAGGAUGACAAAAUAUGCUAAAAUUUAGUUCAAAGAUAAUAAGGCCCGCGUAAAGUUAGAGUGUGUCGUAGCAAAUUUGAUCAUUCAGAGAAUAUUAGAUGCUUUACUCUAUUUUUUGGUGUUCCGUAUGGCCAUAAAAUUUAGGAAUUUCAAUAAUCUGAAAAAUACCAAAUAACUGUUUUCACUCCAAAUUACUCACAAAAGUUUAAAAAUAACCCCAAUUUAUAUUCGUUUUCUCGUUGUGACCUUUUAUUUUUUACUAAUCGUCUCCUUCCACAGUUCUUUUUAUUAUCCAUAGAGUAGUAUGUUUUUGUAGUGAAGAAAAUAAUUUUAGCACUGAAAAAAGGUGUAGAAAAAACCAUGCAUAGUGUUUUCAAAAAGUCUAGAAAUUAAAAGGAUGAAACAAUGGGUCCUGAAAGCUUGUCUACCACAAGUCUAAAAGUAAAAAGAAAAGUAAGUUAAUCAAAGAGAUAAGCAUCCGGUACCUCUUCGAACUUUGGUCAAAGUUGCUACGACACACUUCAACUUCGUAGGGUUCUAUUCCCUCCAAACUCAAUUUUAGCUUAUUUUUAUCACCCUUUUGUACUGACGUGGAAUCUUUAUUACAUAAAAUGGGACCCAAAUCAAAGAUUCUACAUCAGCUAUAAAGGCUGACAAAAGAUGCCGCGUCAACUAACAAGGUUGACAAUAAUAUACUAAAAUUUAGUUUCAGGGAGUAAUAGGAACCCCGUGAAGUUGGAGCGUGUUGUAACAAAUAUGACCAUAGUUCAGGUAGUACUGAAUGUUAUACUCUUAAUCAAACUCUCAAUAGUUGGUUCACUUAAUAUUUUUUCGUUCGUUUCAUUUUGUUUGAUACUAUUUUCUUAUUACAUUGUCAAAAUAAUAUUAACAUUCUUAUAAUUUCUUAAUUAAAAACUUUUAUAUUCACACAAAUAUUAUGAUAUGUUUAUUAUUAGUACCAAAAUAAUCAGACAUCAUGCUGAAACUAACCAAGCAAACCUCGAAAGAAGCUAAAGUCUAAAAAGGAAAAAAGAACACAAGGCAAUCAAACUUCUGAAUUUGUUAUAAUCUUACCUUUUGACCACUUAAUGUUUAGCUAACAUUCCUAUCUACCACUUAAUGUUUAUUUUAGUUUUGCUUUUUAGAUUUCUUUGGUGUUUUUACGCUUGGUCUUCGUUUUAUUUUUGCAGGAAAUAUAUUUUCAAAGUAGGAAGUUGACAAAGGCUUGGGAACAACUUUUCCAUUAAUGUAGGAGAGAAGCAAUCCUUCUCCCCUGAAUUCCUCAAAUCCGAGAAGACCAAGAGAAUUCUGCUCCUAUGGCUGAACAACAAGCAGCUCGAAGGACAGUUAGGGAAGUGGCAAUUCCACUUCCGACGAACUUGACUUCCCCAAUUCAAAGACGGGCUGCUGGGGAAAUUUCGAGUAAAAGCACAACAAGGUACAACUUCUAAUCAGCAAUGGACAGUUUGCAGGGAUUUUACACGAGGAUCACAAGUCCACUUACAAAAUUUCAUUGAGCUUACUGAUACAUUCAUUUCGACUGAUGUGAAUACAGAUUAUGUGAGGUUGACACUUUUUCCCCAUUUCACUGUUGGGGGAAGCUAAAAGGUGGUUGAAUGCUGAGCCGGCCAAUUCAAUCACAUCAUGGGAUGGCUAAGCCAUAAAGUUCCUCAUCAGAUUCUUUCUAUCUGGCAAGACUGCGUGGACUACGUGGUAUAUAUGUGGCACAACACAUUGAAGGGUUCACAUAGGCACACGCGUGUGCCACGUAGGCACUAAGGUUGUCAAAAAUACGAUUUUAAUUAGUCUAGGAGUAAUAGGACCCUCCUAAAGUUCAGAUGUGUCUCAACCUUUUCGCGUAUAGUUCAAGGAGGAAAUAGAGCAUUUUCCUUUUUUUCUAAUUAGCUUUGAUAUCGUGAUGAAACAAAUUGUAUCAUAUACUCAUUGCCACAUAAUAUUUACAACAGUUUGGUGGCACAUGGGAAGAUCUACACAAGACACGUUUAGAACAACAAGUUUCGAAUUUAUGUUUAGUAAACUAGUUGUUCUCCUUUUCAACAUUAAUCAAAAAGUUAUAGAAAAAAAAUGAUGCAUAGUAUUUAGAAAAGUCUAGAAAGCAAAAGCAUUAAAUCAAUUUUAAUGAAAUCUCAUUUGUCUGCCACAAAGUCUAAAAGAAAAAAAAAGGAAAGAACACAGUGACAUAUAUAAUUAGGUUUAAUUUAAUUUAGAGAUAAGCAUCCAAUACCCCGAGCUAUGGCCAAAAUUUCUACGGCACACUCCAACUUCACAGUAGUCCUAUUACCCCUAAAUUCAAUUUUAGCGUAUUUUUAUCGCCCUUUUGUGCUGACGUGACACCUUUAUUACAUAAAAUGAGGCUCACGUCAAAGGUGCCGCGUCAACUAAAAAUGUUGACCAAAGGUGCAUGUCAUCUUAAAAGGUUGACAAAAAUAGGCUAAAAUUUAGUUCAGGAGGGUAAUAGGACCCUCGUGAAGUUAUUAUGUGUCGUAGUAAAUUUUGUCAUAGUUCGGGGGAUUACUAGGUGAUUUACUCUUUAAUUUAAUUAGAUAGCUAAUCAAAAUUAUAGGAUAUUACUUUUGCCGUUUCACUUUGUUUGACACUAUUUUCUUAUCAUCUCAUCCAAAUAAUAUUAAUAUUCUUACAAUUGGGUGCUCUCGGUGGGCAGGGCGGAUCUAGGUUAUUUGGUGUAGGUUAUCAUAAACCCACUAACUUUUAUGUCGACCAUAUAUUCAUAUUGAGAAAUCUGUUACAUAUAUAAGAAAUUUUUAUAUCUGUUACAUAUAUAAGAAAUUUUUAUUGGUGGGUGGGGGAGGAGUGGAAUGUCAUUAUUACUUAUUUUUCGUAUUUCCAUCGAAAUAGUCAUUUUGCACGUAUAACUCUUCUCUAACUAUCAACCAAACAAUCCCUAAUUGUAAUAUCAUGAGUUAGAAUUUGUUGUCGCCCAUUCAUGUAUUGCUAUUGUACUAUUGACAAUCUGCAACAAAAACGGAUUUUUUUUGCGAUAACAAUGGUGUCCAUGCCAGCUUGCGCACAGAUCGAUAAACUUAGGUAUAUAUUGAAAUAACGUGGCCAAAAGAUUAAUGACGACUAAAUUUUUUGCAUAAUUUGCUGGUCAGCCAUGUAGAGAAUGCGAUCCCUUUGGAUGUCCAACUGUUCAGUAAGUUUCGAAGCAUGUAAGCUGCUAGCUUAGAAGUUGCCAGGGCUUAAUGCUGAAGUUAUAGAUGAGAGCGGUCAUCCGGAUACGAGACCAAAACGUUGCCCCGUUGAGAAACUUCACAUACAUAGGAAAGUGUCAGGAAGGAGGUUCUGUGAAAACCUAGCUUGAGCAGCUAGGACUCCAUUAGUGGAUCUUCGAAGAAGGAAGAGAGAACAAUCAUAGAAUUUUAUAACUGUUUUCAAGUGGUUACAAUGAUGUGCAUAUUAAGCCGUUUAUAGACUGAGUUAUAACGGAAGCUAACUUUGUUCUCGAACAUUCCUGUGUGCCAGAUCGGUGUGACAGCUCCCCUAACAACUAACAACCAACUAUCUAAUCAAUCAACUAACUCAAUCAUAAGCUAAUACAGUGAAACACUGAAACAAUAGUUAAUACUAAAAACACGGUGAAGAUGACCAUCAACAACACGCCCCCUCAAGCUGCAGGGUAAAGGCUGUUAAGCACCCAAGCUUGCCUAAGAGAUGCAAAUAUUGAGAUUGACUCAGGCCUUUAGUCAGUGGAUCAAGAACCUGGUGUUGAGUGUGUACUUAUAAAAUGACAAUCUAUCUCUAUAUGUUUAGCUCUUUCAUGAAAAACAGGAUUGGCUGCCAGCUGAAUGGCCGAUUUACUAUCACUCAUGAGAGUGACAGGUAGUGGGAUUGGUACUUCUAACUCAGAAAAUAGGGCAAGGAGCCAAGUAACUUCAGCUGCAACAGAAGCCAUACCUCUAUGACCGUGUGUUGUUUCUUGGACUUCCAGGAAACAAGAGAUUCUCCAAACUUGAUCGCAUAGACUGUGAUAGACCUCUGGGUGUAAGGACAAGCAGCCCAGUCAGAAUCACACUAACAAGUUAAGAUGGAUGUAGGUUUAGCUUGUAACCAAAUGCCUUGACCAACAGUUCCCUUCAUGUACCUGACCACCCUGGUAGCUGAUUCCCAAUGAGAUUUCUUAGGAGCUUGUGUAAAUUGACUGAGAGUUUGCACUUCAUAAGAGAUGUCUAGUCUAGUAAGGGUAGCAUAUAGCAAUUUGCCAACAAGUUUCUGACAAGGAGUGACAUCAUGCAAGGACUGAUCACUAAUAACACCAUUCACUUUGUCACAUUCCACUGAAGUCAACCUCAAGUUGGACUCCAAGGGAGUAGGAGCAGGCUUAGCACCAACAAGGCUUGUGUCUUAAAUUAAAUCUAAAAUGUACUUCCUCUGAUUCAAGAUAACACCUGAGCUUGUUCUCAUCAUCUCAAUUUCCAGGAAAUAUUUGAGCUGGCCAAGAUUUUUCAGCUUGAACUUCUGAUGUAAAUUUUUCUUAGCUUCCUCAAUUAUCUGAUUAUUGCUCCCUGUGAUGAGUAAAUCAUCAACAUACAACUGCUUCUAACAAGGAAUAUGUUAGCUUAAUGUUCCAUUGCCUGGAAGCUUGUUUACGACCAUACAAGGAUUUAAGUAAUUUGAAAACUUUAGUGUUCUCUGGUUGCUUAAAACCAUCAGGUAACUCUAUAUACACCUCUUCGUCUAAAUCACCUUGAACGAAGGCAUUGUAAACAUCCAUUUGGAACAUGUUCCAGCCUUUAGAUACAGCUAAAGCAAUGACACAUCUAACUGUAACCAUCUUGGCAACAUGUGAAAAUGUGCCAUGAUAGUCCAAGCCUUCUACCUUACUAUAGACCUUUGCAACCAACCUUGCUUUAUAUCUCUUCACCUCACCAUUUGCCUGUUAUUUGACCUUAUACACCCAAUUUGAGCCUACUGUAUGUUUUCCAGGCGGCAAAUUAACCACCUCCCAAGUUUGAUUUUCCUCAAGAUCCUUGAUCUUUUGCUUCGUAGCAUCAACCCACCUAUAAUCUCUUGCUGCCUCUUUGAAGGUCUUAGGCUCCAGAACAUAAGUAAAUUUGGCCACAUAACACUGAUAAUGAGGGGUUCACAUGGUUAUAUGAAAGGUAAUUUGACAUAGGAUAGUUGGUACUAGUCCAAGACCUUCUGAUAGUAGCAAAAUCUUUCAUCUAGGCUGGUUGUUUAGUCACUCUACUAGUUCUUCUGAGUGGAAAACUCUCUACAGCAGGUGAUGAAUCAUUAGAAGGUGCUUCAUCUGAACAUACUGUCACAAGACGGGGAAGAGGAACAGGAAAACAAGAAGCUGAAACAGCUAAAUGGAGCUGUAAAUUGAUGCCAGAAAACAAACUGCUGAGAAGAAGAGCUGAAACUUGUUUUAGUACUCUUAUUUUUCUCCUUUAUUGAACAUUACAUAGACUACACAUAUAUAUAGUGCGUGUAUAAGGAAUACAAACUGCAAAACAAACAAAAUAUCUACUAACUAGGAGUAGGGGUGGCAAACGGGCGAGUCGGGUCGGAUAUGGGCGGGUCGAAAAUGGAUCAUGUGAAAAUGGAUAAAAUUCCGAUCCAACCCAUAUUUGAUAUGGAUAGAAUGGAUAAGCCCAAUGGAUAAUAUGGAUAUUCAUAUUAUCCAUUACUUCUUAUUAUGUAAAGACAAAAAUACUCUUAUAUUACAAGAAAAACUACAUGGCUUAGCAAAGAUUUCUAAUUAUUUAAUUUAGACUAAGUUUUGAUUAAUUACAAUCCAUAGCCUCUCUUGCUAAUUAAAUGCAACUCAUAAUCUCUCUCCUUUAUUUCUCCCUUGAUUUUCUCUCUUUCUCUUUCAAUUUUUUGUUAUCCAGCUCUUUUUCUUCUCUUUUUCUUUUUCUUUUUUUUUCUUUUUCUUUUUCAUUUUUUUUCUUUUUUUUUUCUUUUCAUCGUUCAUCAUUUUUUCUUUUUCAUUUUUUCAUCUUUUUUUAUUUUGUUUUAUAAUUUGUUUUUUUGUCAUUUUUUUUUGUAUUUUCUUUUUCUUUUUUUUUUCCUUGUUUCGUUUAUUUUUUUCAUUUUAUUUAUUUUUUUGGCAUUGUUUCCUCUCAUUUGUUGUUGUUGUUGUUGUUGUGUUUUAUAUUUAUUUGUAUCACACUAUAUACUUCAAAUAAAUUUAUUAUUUGUAUUUGAAUAGUUUAGACGUGACUAUGUAUAUUUUAUCAUUUGUAUUUAUACACAAACAAGUAUAUUAAUUAGUUAUAUUUACUUGAUUCUAAAAUAUACAAAUAUGCAUGUAUCAUUUACUAGAAAUGUAUCGUUAGUAUUUGAAUGUCAAAUUUAUCAUUUGUAUAGAAAAAAAAAUCAAACUAGAAAAAGAGGGGAGGGGGGAGGUGUGGGGGAGGGGGCAAGAAAAAGAAAAAAAUACAAAAAGAAAAUGAGAAAGAAAAAAGGAAAAAGGAAAAAGAAGAAGAAAAAAGAGAAAUAAAAGUUAGAAAUAGAAGAGAGAGGAAAAAACUGAAAAGAAAGAAACUUAAAAGAAAAAAAGAAAAUGAAAAUAGAAAAAAAAGUAAAAAGUAAAAGAAAUGAAAAAAGAAGAAAAGGGUGGUUCAAAUAAUUUAAAUGAAAAAGGUCAAUUUUGUAAAAAAAAGUUAAAAAAUUAAGAAAAUAAAAAUUUUCAAAAUGAAAAGUAUUUUCUAUUUCAAAAAAUAAAUUGAAAAUGUUUUUCUUCAUUCCAAACACUCCCUUAAUAAAUAUACUUUAAAGGUUGCUACAUCUUCACAUACGUCAUACUUUAAGGAGAGUGAUAUGUGGAUACCCAUGGGUUAUCCAUAUUUUAGAAUGGAAAAUAUGGGUUGACCCAUAUCUGAUCCAUUAUUAAAUGGGUUGGAUAACCAACUCAUUUAACAUGGAUAAAACGGAUGGAUAACCAUAUAAUUUAUCCAUUUUGUCACCCCUAGCCACUAUGAUUUGGAUUGAGAUAUUAUUGUACAGAACCAAGAAGGGAGUACUUCAGUUGCAUCUCUAAAGUGGUAGACGAGUAAUAUUUCUUCCAGUCCUAUUAUUGAAAAAAGCACAAUUAAGAUGUUGAAUUAACUUCAAAUUCUCCAGUUUUGAAGACCAGGUCACUAGCUGAAGUUUAUGAGCAAUGCAAUUUUGCUCUUGUGAAACCAUCUUCUUUUGAAGAAGCAGCAAGUCAUGAAGCUUGGAUUUCUAAGGAGGAGCAUGCCAUGAUUAAUAAAAAUAAUACUUGGGAGCUGGUUGAUAGGCCCAACCAAAAUAACGUCAUCGGUUUUAAAUAGGUCUACAGAACGAAGUUCAAUCCAGAUGGCCCCAUCUUCAAACAUAAAGCUAGACUUGUAGUUAAAGGCUAUUCCCAGCAGCCUUGAGUGGACUUUGGAAAUACGUUUGCUCCUAUCGUGAGACAUGAAAUAGUAAGAUUUCUAGUUGCUCUUGAAGUAUAUUACAAGUGGAAAAUCUACCAUUUAGAUGUCGAAUAUGCAUUUCUAAAUAGAUUUCUUGAAGAAGAUAUUUAUGUUGAGCAAUCUGAAGGUUUUAUAGUUGCAGGUGAAGAAGACAAGGUGUACUAGCUUAAAAAGGCUCUCCGUGGCCUUAAACAAGUUCUGAGAGCUUGGUAUAAUAGGCUGGAUACUCAUUUGCUAUCUCAAGGCUUCAACAAAAGCCUAAAUGAGCCUACUUUAUACUUCAAAAUGCAAGUUGAUGGGAGGUUGAUUGUGAUAUCCGUUUAUGUUGAUGAUCACAGGUGAAGAUUCUUUUGUGGUUCAAGAAGUUAAAAAUAUAAUGCUAAAAGUUUUUGAAAUAUCUGAUCUAGGACAGAUGAAGUUCUUCUUGGGAAUGGAGAUUUUUCAAUCUUCUGAAGGAAUUUUCUUGUUCCAAAAGAGGUAUGCCUUGAAUCUCUGAAAAAGAUUCAAACUUGAUAAGUGCAAACCUGUUGCAACUCCAUUUGUUGUGAAUGAAAUGUUAAUGAAGGAUGAUAGAGAAGAGCGUGCAGAUUUAAAACUUUAUAGGAGACUUAUUGGAAGCUUGUUGUAUCUGACUGCUACCAGGCCAGAUGUGAUGUUUGCUGCUAGUCUACUAUCCCGAUAUAUGCAAUGUCCCAGCACAAGCAUUUUGGAGCUGCUAAAAGGGUGUUGAGGUAUAUUAGAGGGGCAACUGAUUAUGGCAUUUGGUACAGAAGUGUGGAGAAUAGAGCUCUUAUUGGCUAUUCAGAUAGUGAUUGGGGUUGAUUCUUGGACGAUUACAAAAGCACAUCUGGUUACUCUUUUUCAUUUGGUUCAGGAAUUUUUUUAUUCGAGCACAAAGAAGCAGGAUAUCGUAGCUCAGUCUUCAGCUGAAGCCGAGUAUGUGGCUACUGCAUCUGCUACAAAUCAAGCAAUUUCGUUAAGGAAAAUCAUGUUUGAAUUGGAUCUUUUGCCAGAAGAACCAACAGUGAUCUAUGUGGACAAUAAAUCAACCAUUUCUAUGGCUGAAAAUUCAGUGCAACAUGGAAUGAUGAAGCAUAUCAAUAUCAGAUUUCAUGCUUUGCGAGAUGCCGAGAAGAAUGACCAAGUUAAAAUGGUGCAUUGCAGAAGUGAAGAACAACAAGCCGAUAUUCUAACCAAGGCUCUUCCUACCAACAAGUUUGAGUUCCAAAGGACGUUGUAGGGAGUUUCAAUGAAAAAUCUUAAGGAGGAGUAUUAGGAAAUUAAGAUUUGUCUAGAAACUCUUAGUAGAUAUUUUUGGAUUCGUCUAGAAGCUCCUAAUUCGUAGAUAUUUUUGGAUUUGUCUAGAAACUCUCAGUUCGUAGAUAUUUUUGAAUUUGUCUAGAAACUUCUAGUUAGGGGUGCCAAAAUGGAUAAAUUAUAUGGUUAUCCGUCCGUUUUAUCCAUGUUAAAUGAGUUGGUUAUCCAACCCAUUUAAUAAUGGAUCAAAUAUGGGUCAACCCAUAUUAUCUAUUCUAAAAUAUGGAUAACCCAUGAGUAUCCACCAAUUACACCCUCAUUAAAGUAUGACGCAUGUGAAGAUGUAGCAACCUUUAAAGUAUAUUCAUUGAGGGUGUGUUUGGAAUGAAGAAAAAUAUUUUCAAUUUAUUUUUUGAAAUAGAAAAUAUUUUUCAUUUUUAAAUUUUUUAUUUUCUUAAUUUUUUAACUUUUUUUUUUCUUUUUUUACAAAAUUGACCUUUUUCAUUUAAAUUAUUUGAACCACCCUUUUCUUCUUUUUUCAUUUCUUUUACUUUUUUUUUUCUAUUUUCAUUUUUUUUUCUUUUUAGUUUCUUUCUUUUCAUUUUUUCUCUCUCUCUUCUAUUUCUAACUUUUAUUUCUCUUUCUUCUUCUUCUUCCUUUUCCUUUUUCCUUUUUUUUUUCUUUCUCAUUUUCUUUUUGUAUUUAUUUCUUUUUCUUGCCCCCCCAACCCCCCUCCCUCUUUUUCUAGUUUGAUUUUUUUUCUAUACAAAUGAUAAAUUUGACAUUCAAAUAUUAACAAUACAUUUCUAGUAAAUGAUACAUACAUAUUUGUAUAUUUUCGAAUCAAGUAAAUAUAAUUAAUUAAUAUACUUGUUUGUGUAUAAAUACAAAUGAUAAAAUAUACAUAGUCACGUCUAAACUAUUCAAAUACAAAUAACAAAUUUACUUGAAGUAUAUAGUAUGAUACAAAUAAAUAUAAAACACAACAACAACAACAAAUGAGAGGAAAAAAUGCCAAAAAAAUAAAUAAAAUGAAAAAAAUAAACGAAAAAAGAAAAAAGGAAAAAGAAAAUACAAAAAAAAUGACAAAAAACAAAUUAUAAAACAAAAUAAAAAAAGAUGAAAAAUGAAAAAGAAAAAAUGAGGAACGAUGAAAAGAAAAAAAAAGAAAAAAAAUAAAAAAUGAAAAAGAAAAAAAAAGAGAAGAAAAAGAGCUGGAUAAGAAAAAAUUGAAAGAGAGAGAGAAAAUCAAGGGAGAAAUAAAGGAGACAGAUUAUGAAUUGCAUUUAAUUAGCAAGAGAGGCUAUGAAUUGUAGUUAAUCAAAACUUAGUCUAAAUUAAAUACUUAGAAUCAUAUCUUUGCUAAGCCAUGUAGUUUUUCUUGUAAUAUAAGAGUACUUUUGUCUUUACAUAAUAAGAAGUAAUGGAUUAUAUGGAUAUCCAUAUUAUCCUUUGGGUUUAUCCAUUCUAUCUAUAUCAAAUAUGGGUCGGAUCGGAUAUUUUAUCCAUUUUCACAUGAUCCAGUUUUGACCCACCCAUAUCCCACUCGACUCGCCCGUUUGCCACCCCUAAUAGUGGCUAGACUCGUCCACCGCAAGUUCUUUACUGCUAAGCACCUUCUUCGUACUAACAUUAUACACUUUGUACCCUUUUGCAGUUGUGUUAUAGCCCAAAAAAAUACAAAGUUCUGCCUUGUUGUCCAAUAUGCCUCUUUUAGCAUCUAGAACAUGGGCAUAGCACACCGAACCAAAUACUUUCAAGUGUCUCGCAGAUGGAUUUAUAUCCCCUCCAUGCUUCAAAUGGUGUCAUGUCUUGGAAUGCUGUAGUUGGUAACUUGUUUAGCAAAUAGACUGCGGUAUUGACUGCCUCAGCCCAAAAAUAUUUAGGCAUUUUCUUUUCUGCCAACAUGGAUCUCGCCAUCUCCAUCUCUGUUCUGUUCUUGUUGGAAGAAAGAAGAGUAAAAGAAGCAGAGAAACUAAUGAGAGAGAAAAAACUCGUACUAAUUUUUUCUACUUCUCAAUUCAACUGCAUAAAACAAGACGACCUAGUGCCAUUUUAUUGGCUUACAAUUUAACAAUUAAAGCUAAAAAAUAGGAACUAAAGAUAGUGGUGAAGCAGCGGUAAAACACUGCUAACAACGUGCCCACUAAUUUCCUAAAACAGUAAAUAGAAAAAAUACAGAAAUUGACUUAGUAAAACAUAAUUCCACUAAGACUAAAAAAUAGGACCUCUAAGACUAAAAAACAGAACCAUAAAUAAUAGAUUUUGCAGUGAUUGAUUAUUUGAAGAACUAGUCAACACUCCCCCUUUCUUCAAAAUCACAUACUCCUAUUUGUAGCCUGAAGAAGUCAUGCUUGUUUUGCGGAAGUGAUUUCAUAAGAACAUCAACAACCUGAUAAUUUGUGCCAUAAAAUUUCAAGGAAAUUAUUCCUCCAGCAACUAGAUCGCGAAUGAAGUGAUAGCGGAUGUCGAUGUGCUUCAUCCUAUCAUGAAAUGCAGGAUUUUUUGUCAUAGCAAUUACUGCCUUAUUGUCACACCAUAUUUUAGUUGGACCAAUCUGCUCUUGUUGAAGAUCCACUAACAAUUCCUUAACCAGAUAACUUGGCAACCAGCGGAAGUUGCAGCCAUGUAUUCUGCUUCCGAAGAUGACAAGACGAUUGUAUCUUAUUUCCUUGAACACUAUGAGAUUGCUCCAGAACCAAGACUAAAGACAUUUCCAGAUGUGCUCCUGCAAUUUUCCAAGCUACCUGCCAAUCACUAUCAGUAAAACCAAUUAAUUUGAAAUCUGAAACUUUUGAGUACCAAAUUCCAUAGCUUAUUAUGCCAGCAACAUAUUGCAAGAGCCUUUUGGCUGCACCCAGGUGUUGCUUCGAAGGACUAUGCAUGAACCAUGAAAUCAAACUGAUGGAGAAUGCUAUAUCGGGCCCUGUGUAUGAUAAGUAAUUUAGACCACCAACCAGGCUUCUAAAAUAAGAAGCAUUUGUGGCACUUGUACCAUUAUCAAGUACCAUUUUCUCAUUUAUAUUCAUGGGCGUGGGGGAUGGAUUGCAAUUCAGCAUGCUGAACUUCUGUAAAAGUUCAGUAGCAUAUUUUCUUUGUGAAAUAAAGAUUCCAUCCGAACCUUGUCUCACCUCAAGCCCAAGAAAAUAAUGCAGCAUACUAAGUCGGAUAUUUCAAAUUUACCCAUCAUGCAACUCUUAAAUUCUGAAACAAUAGAUUUACAAGAGCCUAUAUAUAUAAUAUCAUCGACAUAAAGACAAACAACUAGAAAAUAACCAUUACCUCUCUUCUUCACAUAAAGUGUGGGUUCAUUCUUACUUCUUCUGAACUGUUGUUCUUGAAAGAAGGUAUCAAUUUUGCUAUACCAUGCCCGUAGAGCUUGCUUUAGACCAUACAAUGCCUUCUUCAGUCUGUAUAAUUUGCUCUUCCCUUCACUAGAUAAGAAACCUUCAGGUUGAGAGACAUAUACUUCUUCAUGUAAGUUGCCAUUUAGGAAGGCAGACUUAACAUCAAAUUGGUACACAGUCCAACCAAGUUGAGAAGCCAAGGCUAAAGUAGUUCUAAUCAUUUCAAAGCGAGGUAUCGGUGAGAAUGUCUCUUAAAAGUCGAUGCUUUGUUUCUGGCAAUAUCCUUUUGCAACAAGUCGGGCUUUAUGCCUUUUCACACUUUCAUCAGCAUUGUACUUCACUUUGAAAAUCCAUUUUAGCCCGAUAACAUUCUUCCCUUCAGAAAAAUCAACCAAUUCCCAAGUCUAAUUUUUCUCAAUGGAAUAGAUCUCUUCGAUCAUUGCAUUCUGCCACUCAGGUCACUUUGAAGCUUCUUCAUAACAUGUUGGUUCGGCAUCUAAUAAGGAAAAACUGCAAGAUGCAUAAAUAUCUUGCAGCGAUCGAAACUUAAUUGGUGGUGUUUCGCUGGAUGAUGCCGAAGAUGGAGAGUGGGAGCUCAUUGGAUUAGACUUAUUGCCGCUAUUGCCAUGAGAAGAAUGAUUAGCAUCACUGCUGGAAGAAGAGGAAGGAUCAAAACCUGUAGAUUCAAGAAUCGUAGUAUGCUCUCCUUCUGAUUGGACCGGAAUAUCGAUUACUGAAUCUUCUUUCUCGCCAUUCCACUCCCAGGCUGCUUCUUCGUUGAAAACAAAAUUCCUAUUAAUAAUCACUUUGCCACUAGUAGGAUUAUAUAGUCUAUAUGCUUUGGAUUGAGGACUAUAACUAAUGGAAACGCAUUUCUCUAAUUUUUCAUCUUGUUUAUAACAUAUAUUAACCAAAGCAUAAGCUAUACAACCAAAGACUUUCAAGUGUCUUACUCGUGAUUCCAUCCCGUCCAUGCUUCAUAUGGAGUUCGAUCCAAAACAACUUUUGUUGGAGAGAAGUUCAGGAGGUACACAACUGCAACCACUGCUUCUCCCCAAAAGUGAACUAGAAGUCCCCUUCCAUUAAGUAGGCUUCUGGCCAUCUCAACCGUUGUACGAUUUUUUCGCUCGGUGAAUCCAUUUUGUUGCGGCGAGUACGGUGUUGAAAGGUCCCUGCGAAUUCCAUUCUCAUCACAAAAUAAAUUAAAAUCAUUAGAUAAAAAUUCACCACCACGAUCUGUGCGAAGAGCUUUUAUGUUGUAGCCUGAUUGCUUUUUCACGAGAGCCUUGAAUUUCCUGAAAUUCUCAAAUGCUUCAGAUUUGAACUUGAGAAAGUAAGCCCAGCUCAUACGGCUAUAGUCAUCAGUAAACAGAAGAUAGUACCGACUCCCACCUGAUGACUCAGUUUUCAUCAGCCCACACAAGUCAGCAUGUACAAGCUCAAGACAACUACUAGCCCUCCAAGAUUUUCCUACUAGGAAAGAUUUUCUACUUUGUUUUCCAAAUAUGCACCCUUCACAUAACUCAAGAUCACCCACUUUUGGUAAAACAGCCACCAUUUUCUUUCCAGUCAACAAUUUCAACCCAUUAAUGUUCAAAUGACCAUAUCAAAGAUGCGAAAGUUGAGUUUCCUUAACACCUUUAGAAACUAACACAUUUUUAACAAUAUUUGAAACAUUAAGGGGAAACAUAGUGUUCUGAGUCAUAGGCACAAUUGCAAAGUUUGACCAGAUUUCUUGUCACUAACAGUGCAUGAAUCAUUAUCAAACAGAACAGAGUAACCAUUAACCAUCAAUUGUCCAAUACUUAGCAAAUUGUAAGCCAAACUAGGAACAAAUUGCACAUCACAGAUAAGUUUAGAAUUACCCUGCGUUGUUUUGAUGGCUAUGGUACCCCUGCCUUCAACUCGUACUUGCUUGUCAUCACCAAGUCGAACUUCACUUUUUAUCGACUCAUCAAGAUCUCUAAAUAGAGACUUUGUACCAGACAUAUUAUUCGAGCAUUCACUAUCAAUAAUCCAUUUAGGAAUGAGCCAUGAACAACUUACUUUCAUCCUCUACUUUCUCAGAGAGAUUGGCAUGCUUCUGUUCAUCUCUUUGUUUGGUCCAACAAUAUGCUUCAGUGUGGCCAAAAUUCUUCCAAUACCAGCAUUGAAAGUUACUCUUGGGUUGACGUGACUCAUUAAAUUAUCCUCUACCUCUGUCGCGGCCUCGACCUCGUCCUCAAAAUCCGCCUCUUCCUUUACCUCUACCAGGAAAAUUUGAGGAUUUUUCUUUGCAGAAAGAAGACUCCUCUUUCACUUGGAAUGCUUUUUCUUCAACCUUCUCAUAAGACCUGUUUACCCUAUCUUCAUCAGCUAACAAAGAACCCAUUAAUUCAUCAAACGUAUAGUCAGAUAAGUUCUUAGAUUCUUUGAUAGAAGCAACCACAUGCUCAAACUUACUGGUUAAAGACCUCAAAACCUUUGCUACAACAGUUUCAUCAGUAAUUUUUUCUCCAUAAGACUUCAUCAGAUUAACAAUUGCAGAGACUCGAGACAUAUGGUAUUCACGGAUUCAUCGUUUUUCAUGCUUAUAGUUUCAAAAUCACGAUGUAAAGUUUGCAAUUUAACUACAAUUACCUUCUUAUCUCCCAUAUACUUCUGUAUCAAAAUUUCCCAAGAUUCAUUGGAUGUCUCUGCCGCGAAUUCUAAGGAAGAUGUCAUCAUGAAGGGCUUGUUGAAUUAGGAACAAUGCCUUCGAAUCCUUCCUAUGAUUUUCCCGGAGUUGUUGUGCAUGACCUUCAUCCGGAUCCGAAAAUCCAUUUUCCACCAAGUCCAAUAGCUCUUGAGACUUAAAAGGAGUCUUCAUCUUAAGACUCCAAAAUUGAUAAUUCAUCCCUUUAAAGAUUGGAAGAGGAUGAUAAUUUGAAUUGGUGUUCACUGCCAUUUUUUCUUAUCUGAAGAUGAUGGAUUUCUCUCACGUUUUACAAUCUCUCUUUCUCAAUGGAUUUCUCUUACAUUUUACAAUCUCUCUUUCUCACCCUCUCUCUGGCUCCCAGGUGAAGAAACUUGGCUGCUCAGGAUACCAGAAAUUGUUGGAAGAAAGAAGAGUAAAAAAAGCAGAGAAACUGAUGAGAGAGAAAAAACUCGGACUAAUUUUUUUUACUUCUCAAUUCAACUGCAUAAAACAAGACGACCUAGUGCCAUUUUAUAGGCUUACAAUUCAACAACUAAACCUAAAAAAUAGAAACUAAAGAUAGUGGUGAAGCAGGGGUAAAACACUGCUAACAACGUGCCCACUAAUUUGCUAAAACAGUAAAUAGAAAAAAUACAAAUAUUGACUUAGUAAAACGUAUCUCCACUAAGACGAAAAGACAGUACCUCUAAGACUAAAAAAUAGAACCAUCAAGAACAGAUUUUGCAGUGAUUGAUUAUUUAACUAGUCAACAGUUGUUCUUCCUCUCAGAAACCCCGUUCUGUUCUGGAGUGUAGCUAAUAGUGAGUUGCUGUUGAAUACCUAAUUUUUUACAAUACUUGCUAAACUGAUGUGAAGUAUAUUCAUCUAAAUUCUUUGAAAACAGAAAACACCUAAACUUUGUGUAACACCCCGUACUUUCAUGCUAGAAUCUAGACCAUCGUUCCUAUGCGUAUAGACCCGAACUAGAUAAUUCCUUGUUAAUAUAUGUGUGGUUGUCAAUCCUAUAGUGUGAAAUACCUUUGAAUAUGAAUUGAGGUCACAAAAUCCCCUAACGCUAAGACAAGUUGAAAACAUUUAUAGCGAUUAAGUUUCAUUGGAUGUUUAAACUUGGGUCAAAUUUCAUCGACCAUAACUUCUUGUAUAUAUUGAAUUAGAGAUCCUACUAUUUAUAAAAUGAAAGGUCUUUGAAGUAUCUUUCCAACGAUACCAAUUUUGCCAAAAUCCAAUACUCGACCGAAAAGUUACAGCCAUUUUCGUGAGAGAGGCAGUAGCUGCACGCGAUUAGCGUGCAACGCACGCUCCAUCGCAUGCACCUAAUUUUUAGGUUUUUUUUUGCAUUUUUAAGGGAAAUUUGGAACUUUACCUCACCCAAGGUCUGCCCAUAACAUAAGAUUCACACCCCAAAAGCAGAAUACACUCCAUAAUUUAAUUUUUUCGCUCAAAUUAAAUCUCUAAAUCCUUUCCCUCAAGAUCAAGAAUCAAGAUCUUAAGUUCAAGACUCCAAGAAAAUUUUCAAGAUCUGGGUUCCAUGUAUCAAGAUCUAGGUUCCAUAUUUCAACUCUUAUAGUCUAAGGUACGUGGGGUUCAUCCUAAAAACUACAUGGGCUUGUUGAAUCUCUUGAAUAUGAUUUAAAGAUUAUCAAGCAUGAAUUUUAAGGGGUUUUGGAACUUAUGCUUUAAAUUUCGCAUUUUGGUUGUUUUGAUAAUAUUAUUGUUUUGGCCUUUAGGCCUUUCCCCCUUAAAUUGAUUUACAUCUUUAUGUAUAUGUAUGAAUUUAAAGAUUGUUUUGAGAGCACCAAUUAUAAAACCCCUCUCUUGUGAUGAACUAAAUUUUAUGAUCUUGUCGGGAAAGUUGAGUUGAAAGGCAUGUUUUAUGUUUUGAAAGUAGUUUUCUCAAUAUUAUAGUAUUUGAACAUGAUUUAGAGAUGAUGAGAGGGUGUUUCUUGAUAUAAUUAUGUGUCUUGUUUUAAAGAGAAAGAAUUGCAUGUGAUUGAGAAUUUUGACAUGACCACCUUGUGUAUUUGAAAUGUUGAAAAAGAGAGUUUCUUGUAUAUGUUUACAUGAGCUUUAAGAAAGAGUUUUUGAAAUAAUUUAUUGAUAUGGUGGUCCCAGACUUACGUUUUGAAAUAGAGAUUAUUAUUUGCUAUAAAUGGCUUAGAGAAUGUGACUGCAAGUUAAUGGUAUGACAAUACCAUAUAAAUUUAUGCCAUAACAGAACUAGAGACUUAAGAGUCUGAUUUCAAAGAUUGCAUGUUGUAAAGAAUUAAAAAUGGGCUUAAAGAGGGUUAGGUGGUUACCUGAAGAGGGAACGAGUAAAACGGCUCAUAGCCUAAAAACUAUAUUUUGCCGAUAUGAGUAUGUUACUUUUGUAUGCUGGCGAUAGCCCUGUAGCAUAGUAGAGAUUCAGAGACUCCGACCCUUGCAGCAAACUUGGGUUGGGGGCUUGGCUGCCGAGUUAAGGGCAGAUUCUAUAUAGCCCGUGGAAAUACAGAAUUGUAGGGUAUACCACCUAGCAUAGAAGUAAAACAAAGAGUGUCACAGAGUUCAGAUGAUUUUAUAGAGUCCUUUAAAAGCGCCCAUGUGAUUCUUACUAUGUGACAUAUUUAUGAACUAUUUUUAAAUUGCUCUCAUUUAUGUUGAAUAUCAAUUAUAAUUUUGGAUUCGCUCUACGAACUAGUACAAUUGUAUUGGCCCCCUACCUUCCAGGGUCUAAGGCUUAAAUCUAGAGGUCCAGCUAAGCAGUAGAAAUUUUAGAGAGAAAAGACUGUGUAGUGGUGAGCCUUCUAUAUUCCAGAAGGCUUGGUUAUUUCAGACUAUGUCAUUCAUUUUGUUUUUGGGUCUACUGGGGCCUUGUCCCAAAUUCAAAUAAUUGUCAUUUAUCAUGUCUUAGAGAUUUCGCAAACAGGUUCAGAUAUUGUCUAGCUGUUGAUGGCUUUUACUACUUUCCAUCUUUAAAUUGAAAUCAAAAUGACCAUGAUUCUGUAUUAUAUUUCAUUUCGCAUCUUCUUUUAUUGUAUUUACGUUGUGCAUGACUACCAGAUAGAAAGGGGCGUCCGGGCCUUUAUGGUUUGGGAUGCUCAUCACGGCUAGGGCCUCGGUUCGGGUCAUGACACUUUGCUACUUAAAAAAUAGACCCAUGUAAUUCGAGUUAGAUCAUCUAUGAAGAGAAUAAAAUAUUUAUUCCCACUCAAAGAAGACGUCCUCAUUGGUCAACAUAUAUCUGUAUGAACCAAUUCUAACUUUUUAUUCGCCCUCCAAAGACUUUAUUUAGUAAAGGAUCGUACGUCUAUGCAAUUUACCAAAUUGACAUGACUCACAAACAUCUCGGCAAAUGUCAAUUUUGGGUACAUCAAGCACCAUACCCUUGGAUUGCAUAUAAACCAAUGAACUAAGGUUGUAAUGACUGAAUCUUUUGUGCCAAAGCCAGGUAUCACUCAUUUCAACAUUCAAAGAGCAACUUUCAGCAGAAUAGCAUGGAAUUGGAAAGGAAUUACCAAUGAUGCUAAUUUUAGCUACUUCACGACCUUUAGAAUCAUAAAUGACACAUUUUUUAUCCUUAAAAGUAAGUGAAUAACUAUUGUGAAACAACUGAGCAACACUCAACAAGUUUUGAGUCAAGUUUGGCACAUAAAGAACAUCGUUUUUGAUUUUCAUACCUUUGUUCGUAAGGAAUUUUACUGAUCCUCUUCCUUGAGCUUUCACCAGUGCACCAUCUCCAAGCUUCACUUUGGUCCUAUUAGACCGGUCCAAGCUAACAAAUAGAUUUUCAUCAAUUGCCAUGUGCCUUGUGCAUGCACUAUUGACAUACCAAUUAUAUUGAUCAACAUGUGAUGUAUGCGAAGCCAUGAAUACCUUCUCUGAUUUUUCAACUUGAUGAUCUUCUGCCAAAUUUACUCGUUGGGAAGACUAACCACGUUGAGCUUGCUUUUGCCUACAAUACUUCUCAAUGUGUCCAUACUUCUAACAAUAUCUACAUUGAAUAGGAGACCUCUUGGACUUUUACUAGCAAUUCUUCUCCAAGUGGUUUGUCUUCUUACAAACACCACAAGGUGGAAAUUUUCCUUUCCUUGAUGAUUCACCUUGGUAUUCACAAGGUUUUGCCUCUCCAGAGUGUUCUAAAUAGACUUUUUUUUCCUUUCUUUUGUUGCUUGAAUUCAUGCCUUACUUGAAAGGCAUCUUCGACUGUCCCUUCACUUCUCAUGGUCACCCGUUGCUCUUGAAUUUGUAAUUUAGAGAUCAGCUCAGUUAUUGAAAGAGUAGUCAAGUCACAAGAUUCUUCAAUAGCUGAGAUUUUUUAUUUGAACUUGUCCGGAAGGCUGACCAUGAUCUUCUCUACAACUUUCUGAUUUGGAAAGUUUUCACCAAGUAUCCUUAUUUUGUUCACAAUAUCCAUCAGCUUGGAAAAGUAUUCCUUCACAGUAUCCGAAUGCUUCAGCUUUAAGAGCUCAAACUCCCUCUUCAAAGCUAAGACCUUAACAGACUCAACUUUGUUGCUUCCUUUAAUCUCCUCAUUUAGCUUAUCCAAGGAUUCUUUUCCUGUCUCACAAGCCAUAAUCCUUGUAAAUAUCACUUCCGUAGGACUUGAAUGUAUGCAAAUGAGAGCUCUUGGAGAUCUAGUCACCACCUCAUCAUACUUUUUUAUUUCAUUAAGAGUUGUGUUGUCUCUCAAUGCCUGGACAGCAAGUUCUCCUCUCUCAACGACAUCCCACAAGUUGAGAGCCUUCAAAUAAGCCUUCAUUUUAAUGGCCCAAAUAUGGUAAUUCUCCCUCGAGAAAAUCAAAGGACCUGUUGUUGGUUGAUUUUCCGGUGCCAUGUUUUUCAGCAAAUAGAUCUAAUAAAAAGGAGUUAAAAAUAAGAUGAGUCAAUCAAAGAAAACGGAUUCAGAUCCCAUAAGAAAUGGGCUCUGAUACCAUGUCACAAAAAGGGGAAGACGAACAGGAAAACAAUAAGCUGAAACAACUAAAUGGAUCUGUAAAUUGCUGCCAGAAAACAAAUUGCAGAGAAGAAGAGCUGAAACUUGUUUUAGUAAUCUUAUUUUUCUCCUUUAUUGAACAUUACAUAGACUACACACAUAUAUAUAGUGCGUGUGUGAGGAAUACAAACAAAAAAACAAACAAAAAUAUCUACUAACUAGGAGUUUCUAGACAAAUCCAAAAAUAUCUACGAACUGGGACUUUUUAGACAAAUCCAAAAAUAUCUACGAAGUAGGAGUUUCUAGACAAAUCCAAAAAUAUCUACUAAAUAAGAGUUUCUAGACAAAUCUUAAUUUUCUAACACAUACUUCUUCUACAGUAGGGAUGGAACAAUUUUGUCCUUCUGCUGCUGGUGAUGAGGAUGCGUUAGUAUCAGGGAUGUAGUGAACUGCAUCUUUAUUGUCUAUGUCAUUAUGUGAACAUGGACCAUGCACUUCAUUUAGAGGAGAACCCCGAGAAUACUGGUAAUACAGAAGAAUUACAAAGGUGAGCAUUAGCAAAAGGAAAGAUAUGUUCUCUGAAGGACAUAUCUCUGGGUACAAGGAUCUUUCUUGUAGAAAUAUCCCACAAUAUGUAACCUUUUUGCAACUCUGAGAAAUCUAGCAAGGAUAGCUCUAGCUAAAAAUUUAUCACCUUUAGGUAAGUUUGAGGCAUGACAAAGGCAUCCUAUGACCCCUAGGUGUGUCAAUCUAGGCUCCUUACAAUACAAUAAUUCAUAUGGAGUCUUGUAGCCUAGAACUAAAGAUGGCAAUCUGUUCAUCAAGUACACUGCAACCUCAAUACCAAAAUCCCAAAAUUUAAUAGGUAGUUUUGACUGAAAUCUGAUAGCUCUGGCAAUCUCCAGAAUGUGUCUAUGCUUCUUCUCCACAGUCCCAUUCUGUUGUGGAGUAUAAGGACAUCUACUUUGAUGCAAUAUGUCAUGGUGUUGAAAUAACUAAUUAGUUUGAUGAUUAAAUAACUAUGUACCAUUAUUUGAUCUCACAACCUUAACAUGAGAGUCAAAUUGAGACUUGAUCAUCAAUAGGAAAUUUUUAAUGGCAACAAUAGUUUCAGAUUUUAACUGCAACUGAUAAACCUAUACAAAUCUACAAUGAUCAUCCACAAUUGUAAGAAAAUAAUGUUUUUUGUCAAUGGUAGGGACAUUAAAUGGUCCCCAGAGAUCCAUGUGAACAACCUUAAACAUAGUAGAUUCUCUAGAAGUACUAGAAGGGAUAGGGAGUCUAGCUUGUUUAGCUAGGGGACAUACAGGACAAUUAUUGAGAAUUUCACUAUCAUUCCUGUAAUCCAUCAACUUUAGGUGUCUCAAGGAUUGAGAAGAAGGAUGUCCAAACCUGGAAUGCCACGGCUUGACAUCAGGUAUUGUCACAUUAGCUGUUAUUGUUCCCUUUGAGUUAUUGUUAGAGUUGUGACCCGAAUUUUGUUGAUCCGGCCCAGAAAGUUUCGCGGUACGACCCAUGUUUGUGAUUUUCAAUGGGGUUUGUGGUGGUAGCACAGGGAUCAGGCCGAUAGGACUUAUUUGUAUGCAUGAAUUACAUAAGUGCAUUUAGUGGGUUGUUUUGGGCAUUCAAAAAUUACCUCUCUCCACAUUGUACUCCUCUUCUUUCAUAGUGAAAUUCCUCUACCUCUGCCCAUGGUUUUUCUAGCAAGGGUUUCCACGUAAAUCUGUGUGGUCUUGUUUUCUUUCUUCUUAUGGUUUGCUUUAUUUCUGCUUGAUUCAUAACAGUUAUUAUUGUCCUUAUUCAUAGGGUUUAGCACAGUCUCAGUUUUGAAAAUAUACAAUCAACCAUUCUCCUUACCAAUCCCUCUCACCCUCGCCACUCAAGAGGUCCUGGAAGACAAAAAAGUGAGGGUAGAAGGACCCAAAACAAGAUAAUUCACUUGUGAUUUUAGAAACAGGCAACAAAUUAAACUUGAAAUCUUGACACAGCAGGACAUUCUUCACUUCUGCAUCUGAAAAAUAUUUGUUGUACCCAUAUGAGUGACUUCCACCUUAUCUCCUAUAGGUAAACAAACCUGUUCCUUUUGAGAUUUGUUCAAGUUAUGAAUGACCCUCAACAUAAAUUUACUUGAUGAUAUAUGAAGAAAGCACCUGAAUCUAUAAUCCAAUCUUGUGUAAAUGCAGUAUGUGAUACCUGCAUGUUGGCCUACUUAGUCUCUGAAGUAUACUUGUGAAGCAUAGUGAGAAUUUGUGUAUAAUCUUCAUCAGUAAAUGCUUGUCCUUUUGCAAGUACAACAUUGCUAUCCCAUUGGCUAGAUGAUGCUUGUCCUUUUGCAAGUACAACAUUGCUAUCCACUAGAUGCAUUGUUUUCUUCAAAGUAUCUUCCUUGAAAAACAUUGCCCAUGAUUAACAUUACCAUACUUAUGUCCUGCAGUACUGCCAAAAUUUGAGUGAUUACUCACAUUCCUGUAUACACUACUACCAUUACCUGAUUUCUUCCUUAGCUUCCAAUCCACUAGGUAUCCUAUCAGCUUGUAGCAAUUUUCUUUGGUGUGACCAGUGAAAUUGCAGAAUUCACAUUUCUUCACUUUGUAAUGCUUCUUUACUUGGAUCCUGUUAGCAUUCAUAGCAAGUUGAUCUGACCUCCCAACCAUUGUGGCUACAUAUGUUGAGUUUUGUAUCUCAUCCUCAAUGAGCAUUGCAUAUGCCUGGUUUAGUUUGGGGACAAUUACCUUCAAUAGAAUUUGUCUUCAUGCUUUUGUUGGGUUAUGGAUCCUGAUUAAUAUGUGAUGUACAUAUAUUAAUGUUCAUGCGGUUCAACUGACAUAUUAUCUGCAAAAACUGGGCAAGAAGCAGCGUAAGAAGGUUUUUUACACAGCUAGCCCGAGUUCCAUACUGUUGAUGAAGAACUCGGUCUAUCAUUCAAAGAUGAAGCAUAUUAGAAGACGGUACCAUUUCACUCGCAGGGCAGUGGAAUAAGGUGAUAUGUUUUUGGAAAAGAUAGAGGGUGCAAAGAAUCCAGCAGACAUAUUGACAAAAUGUGUUGAUGUUGGUAAACUAAGGUUGUGCAAAACCUUAGUUGGUGUAGCUGUGUCUACAGAUGUUGUGGUGCGGAGAAGGUAUUGAUGAUGGAGGAAUAUAUAUUUUUUUGAGAAUGUAAUUCUUGGAUGACAGAAUCAGUCUUCAAGUGGGAGAAUUUUUGGGUUGUGGAGCCUGAUUAAUAUGUGAUGUACUAUCAUAUAUUAAUGUUCACGUGGAUCAACCUACGCGGUGAGGUUUCCGGGGUGUGUGGGGGGCGGGAGCCCCCACCUGAAGGUGGGGUUUGGGGUAGCGUACCAACCCAAAUUUUAGGUUGUACCUUUUAUUCUCACUUCUCUGUGUAAUUGUACAUACUCUGAAUCAUUAAUAUAAAUAGAUCGUCCACCGUGGAGUUUACCAACAGGUGUAACCACGAAAUUCAUUUCUCUCUCUCUCCUCACGAACUCUCUCUCUCAUUUUUCUUCAUCCUCUCCGCAGAUUGUGUGUGUGUACAUGAAUCGAUACUAACAUCUUUAUCGUAGGAUUCAUUCAAGACACUUAGGUACUGUAUUAGAUUCAUUUGUGAUAAAUACUCCAUAUAGUCUCUUGAUCGCGGACAAUCACAGCAAGGUGAAAGAGUAACAGGAUCAUACUUAUUCCAUAGGGUCUUUAGUUUUGAGUAGUACUGGGACACAGAAUCAGUACCUUGUGAGAAUGUGGUAAUUUCCCUAUUCAGUUGGUAUACUCACAAUCGAUUGACAUUGUCAAAUACUCCUUCAAAUCAGCCUAUACUGUAGAUGCAUUCGUAGCAUAACACUAUUCCAUUGAGGAGCUCCUCACUUACUGUAUGAUUGUACGUCUCCUGUUGCUCGUGCAAAUCAUCCCUACAUGAUUCCUUUGUACAUGUCCAAGUAACAAAGCCAUACUUUCUUUUGCCCAAUAAUGCAAUUUUCAUGGAUAUACUCCAAACUCCAUAGUUCUCAUAUCCUGUCAAUUUAAUUGGAAUCAAUAUAGCUCUUGUAACAUCUUAGGCUCCAAUGAACAGAGGAUCGUUUUGAUCAAUUUUUGGCACCAUUAUUUCUUUCAAUUCAGCUGAGAGAUCUCAACUCGACAACUUUAAAAGUUCAACUAAAAUGCAGCGUAGAGUCAACUAGUAUCGAUUGCUCUGAUACUAUGUGAAAAACUAGCUUGAGCAACUAGGACUCCAUUAGUGGAGCUUCGAAUAAGGAAGAGAGAACAAUCAGACCAUUCAAGUGUUUACAAUGAGGUGCAUAUUCAGCCUUUAUUAGGCUGAGUUGUAGGGGAAUCUAACAUUGUUCUAGAACAUUCUUAUGUGCCAGCUCCACUAACAACUACAAACCAGCUAUCUAAUCAAUCAACUAACUCAAUCAUCAGCUAAUCAAGUGAAUCUGUUGGUUUAAAACUGUUAAAGGGAAAUAAUGUAGGAAUUCAUUACAAAAGCUAGCCACUGAAACAGAGAUGGGGUUUAAAGAAGAGAAUAUGCAGAGAGGUUGAUUAUUUUCUUGUAAAGGCGAAAUAUUAUUCAUCAUCAGCCAACAACUUAAAUAAUUGCUAUUACAACUAAAAAUAGGACAAACCUACUAUAAAAGAAACAAACUAUUUCUACCAAAAUUAAAAUAACUAAUCAGUUUCCUAUCAAAGAUAGGAAUCCUAUUUAACUAGGAUUUGUACGGAAAAAAAUUGCUUGCAUUCCUAAAGCAACUGUCAAUACUCCUCCUUGCUUUAUGAAAUGCAAACUCUAAUUUUCUAUCUGAGAAGCUCAAAUUUGCUGACCGGUAAUGGCUUAGUGAAUAUAUCAGCCCAUUAUUCUUCCGUCUUGCAAUAGACAAGAAUCACAUCUCCAUCUUUUUGAACAUCUCUCAGGAAGAAAAACUUGAUUUUGAAGUGCUUAGAUUUUCCAUGAAACACAGGAUUGUGAUAAAUAGCUAUUGCUUCUUGGUUGUUCAUGAACACUUCAAUGCUUCCUGUUGGUUCCAUAUGCAGAUCAACCACAAUUUUCUUCAGCUACAAUGCUUGAUUUGCUGCUAUAGAUACCACAAACUCAGCUUCGGCAUUAGAUUGAGCCACAAUGUCCUGCUUCUUACAACUCCAUGAAAAAUCCCUGAACCAAGACUAAAAUAGUGCCCUGAAGUACUCUUCGAGUCAUCCUUAGAACCUCUCCAAUCACUAUCAUAGAACCAAAAAAGCAUCAUAGGUUGACUCUUUCAAAACAUGACUCCAUAGGUGAUUUUUCCUUUGAUGUAUCGCACAAUUCUUUUGGCUGCCUUCAGAUGUACUUCACUCGGACAAUGCAUGAACCUUGAUAGAAUACUUACAGUACACAAUAUAUCAGGUCUUGUUGCUGUAAGAUGCAUUAAACACCCAAUGAAAUUUUUGAAGUAUGUUUCCUCCACCUCUUCGGCUCCAUCAUCUUUGCUUAGUUUCUCUUUUUGGUUCAUGGGAGUAUUCAUCUCUUUACAAUUUUCCAUUUUGAAUUUCUUGAGAAUUUCCUUCGUGUACUUCUUCUGGCAAAUGAAAAACUCAUCUUCUCCCUGUGUAAUCUCCAUUCCAAGGAAAUAAGUCACUAGAUCAAGAUCAGACAUUUCAAAAUCUUGCAUUAUAGCCUUCUUGAAAUCAUCAAUGAGCUUUGCACUGCUUCCUAUAAUCAAAAGGUCAUCGACAUAAAGAGAAACAACAAGAAUCCCACUGUUAUUGCAUUUAACAUAUAGUGUAAAUUCAGAAACACUUUUCUUAAAAUCGAGGCUAAGCAAAUAAUCAUCUAUUCAACUAUACCAAGCUCUUGGUGCCUGUUUUAGGCCAUAAAGAGCUUUAUGUAGUCGGUAGACUUUCUCUUUUUUCCAUCUACAACAAAACCUUCAGGUUGCUUGAUGUAGAUUUCUUCUUCAAGAACUCUAUUAAGAAAUGCGGAUUCAACAUCCAUCUGGUGCAUUUUCCAGCCAUGUUGUGCAAUAAUAAUAAGAAGUAGCCUGAUUGUGUCGAGCCUAGCAAAUGGAGAAAAUGUGUCAGAAUAAUCAACACCAAAAAUUUGUGCAUACCUCUUGACUACAAAUCUUUCCUUGAGCUUGUUAACAAAACCAUCAACAUUCAAUUUUGGGUAGUAAACCCACUUCACACCGAUGAUCGUUCUAUCUUGAGGCUUUUACACAAGUUGCCAGGUCUUGUUCUUCUCAAUCAUUGUGAUAAAAGUGUGAUCUCAUAUAUGGGAACUUUUUGUGUAUGUCAAAGGCAACCGAGAGGAGACCCGAGCUUAAGUUUGGAAGAAGAUAAAAACUGCCCCUAUGUGUGCACUCAAGGGGCGGCCUUGAAGCCUUAUUCAUUAAAAGGGCACCUUUGACAUUUUAAGUCUUUUGGGAAUAUAAUAUAAAUAGAACAACUUAGGGAUUUAUUCACUUAGUUGAUCAUUUUUAAGACUUGAAACUUGUAACACUUAAAGUUCUCUCUCUAGUGUUGUGAGAGUGAGUUCCAACCAAAACUAGGGUAGAUACAAGUGUGGAUUCACUUGUGUUUGCACAUUGGCUUUAAACGUUGGUGUUUAGAGGAGGUAAAGGCCCUCUUGUGUCAACGUAGAGUUAGGUUUGUGUCACGGAUAGUGUUAAGGGUCCAAGAGUGUAACAAUCUUGGGUUCUUAAGAUUAUCCCUUCAUUUGGUCCAACUAUUUAUCUUGUAUUUUGUUGAAUCCAUUGAUUCCUUUUUGUUGUUAAUGUACCCAUAACUUUCUUGUUGUUGUAAUCUUGUUGUUUAUGUGUUGACACAGUGAAGCCGUGUGGGGCCUCUUUGAUUCACUAUAGUCAUUGUAAUCUUGUGUUCUCUAUCUAUCUUGUUGAAUAUUGUGGUUGCUGUCUUGAAAACAUAGAGAAGCCGAGUGGGGCCUUUAAUUCUCUAGUGUUAUUGUCUUGUAGAUCUCUUGAUUGCCUUUUUGUGUGUUCGAUCUUGUAUCAUUUGGUAUCAAAUCUCAAGGCUUGGUUUUGUUCUUACAAAACCAAUCUUGGGAAGAUCUUACCAAAGUUAGAAACAUUGUGUUGUUGUUAGACCUUGGCCGAAACUUGUAGUCUUGUGGUGUUGACUUGACCAAGAGUUUUUGUGACUAGAUCUAGUAGAUUUUUGCUUGUUUAGUGUGUUUCUAGUGUUGGUUUCUUUCUCACCAACACUAUAGUGUCUAGAUCUAAAGUUGAGCUUGUAAUAUUGACUAUUGUUGUGGUGCCUUGAGGUUGGCCAUGUGUUGAACCUUGUUGUUGAAGAUUGGUGGCCGAUUGGUGUUGUUGUUGUUGUGAUCUUGAGAAGUUGUUAUGUUCUUGAAGGUUUGUUGAUGUGUUCAUAUUGUUCUUCAUCUAUUCUUACAACUUAAGACAACUAAAAGUGAAAAAUAGAUCCAAAAGGUUGUAAGACAAAAGUUGUGAAGUUGCUUGUAAGAAGACUUGCACACAUCUCUUCCUAGACUUGACAUGUUAGGUAAUCAGGAGAUUGAGUCUUGACUAAACACACACAAAAUCGGAUCAUGUUAGGACGGUUCCUUGCAAUAGUAACUAAGGCGGCAUUUGUCAUUUGUCACGAACCCCGGGGAUAUAGCUACAAGGCCUCGCUCUGUCGAGGAUACAUUUGGUUCUUGCACAUAAGGAAAUGCCCUAAGGUUUCAAGGUCCUUACAAUAGGUGGAAAUAUCCUCAAAACUGAUUUCUUCAACAUAACCACGCACCUGCAGUCACAUUCAGAUGCAAGCUAAGAUUAAAACUUUUUUCACCUGUAGGGACAAAAGUACUCGGAAAAGGGUAAUCUACAAAGAAAAUAUACUCUCUCCAUUUCUAUUCAUGCGUGUUACCUUCCUUUUUAUCCUGUUACAUUCAAUGAUACUCCUACAUAGGAAUGGUUUGGCAGGUCUGAAACCACAAGAUUCAAGGAUGUUUUUUCUUUCGGAUAGUUUUGCUUUUGCGACUACACAACAUGCUCAUGAAGGUAGAUAAUUAAUAACCAUGACAAAUUUUUCCAUUUUAUCACAAACACGGUCAUUGUAUCUAGUGUCAAAAGUAUCAAAAACGUAUAAACCUAUACAAAAGAAAAAUCAUACCCACAGUGGGUGCAACUUGUAAAACUGCCGGAUCAUCAUACCAAGAUCAGGGAUUUGAAUGGUAGAAUGGCAUAAAACCAAAGAUGUGAGGCUAUGGUGGACAACAUAUAAGCUAAAAAAUAGGCUGGCGGUGCAUCCCAAAACCUGCUCAAGCCUUCGAGUUGAUAGUACUCUUGAAAAGCAUACUGCACAUUUAUCUGAAUUCCGUCAGGAUCAGCCUGUACGCCAGCAAAGUAGGCCCCAGUAACAAAAUUCAACCAACUGGGUAGCAUGGCGAAGAAUGUAAGGAAGAGCCUAGAGUCCUCAAAUUAGUGGCAUUUCGUGCAUUGAUGUAUCAAAAGGAGCAUAACUUACUGUUGCACAUGAGGCCAAAUGUUGUACAGCUAGCACCUAUUUGAACAUAUUGAUCAUUCCACACAGCAGUCCCUCAACUUCAAAUGUUCAUCGGUGGCUGAUUUGUUGUGCACGUGAAUUCCACCACCCUGCAUCACAAUUCAAACUCUGCACAUGACUAUCCCACUUCUUGUUGCAUUGGACUUUUGCAGUAACAUUAUUACCUGAAGAGGUUUCACAUAUUUGUGAUGAUGGUGUUUCUUGAAAGAUCUACAAAAACUUGAAAACACUGAAAUGAACUGGAAGGAAAUAAACUUUAAUCAUUUAUGCUUUAGAUUAUGAACAUUCUUCAAACAAUGAAUGACUAUUGUUUGACGUACUGAUGAGUUACUUGUUUUCAUUUUCUUUUCCUCUUUCCAUGAUUGUACUUUCCAAUAGUCAAUACCAAAGUAAUUUCCCUUUCUAUUCCUUUCGAUGUUCCCAGGAUCUGAUGUAUAAAAUGUGCAUAAAACAUUAUUAGAUGGAAGAAGUAAGAAUACAAGAAAACUGAAAUAGGAGCGUAAAAAGCCAUAGAAGUAAAUAAGACAAAGAAACAAAACAACAAAUAUUAUUCACAAACAGACAGUUCAUCAAACAUGUAGUAGACAUCAAACACAACAAUCAGAAUAGCACGCGCAUAUAAUAGAGAAGAACCUGUUAUGGUGGUGCUCAAGACUUCCCCCACAUAAUUCUUCAAGCUACAUAAAUAAUGGGAUAUUAUUUGGGCCAAGGACCUCAAGCUCCCGUUGCAUAAUAUCUUCAACAUAUUGUUUAAUCUCCAGAGCUGAAUCUUCAAGCUGGGGGCUCUCUACAAGUUGGAUGAUUUUCAAUGAACCAAUAUCCCUAAAAUUAGGCGGAAUCUCUGUAAGCUUACGACAUUCGCACAGUUUUAAUUUCUCAAGAACGGGAAAGGAUUCCUCUCCAAACUCCCACUUAGCAAGAGUCACUUCUUCCAGUGCCAAAUAUUUGAGAUUCACAAAGGUGUCUUCCUCCCCCAUGUUCCAUUCUUCCCCUUGCUUAAUUUUCCUCUCAAGGCAAAAGUUUUCAAGGUUGGGCAGUCUCGUUAUUGUUGAUAGUGAAUCAGAUGUCAGAGGAAAGUCACGCAACACCAAUUUUUUCAAAUUCAAUGGGAAGUGAAAAUCCCACGACCAAUUUGUCGCUACGGAGGGCCCACUGUCAUUUGUGUUUGAACUUUCAAAAUCUACUUCGAGGAAAAAUAGUUCUUUAGGCUCUGUUAAAUAAUCCCAUGAUUCCUUGAGAACAAAUGAAAGCUCUUGAAGACUGAGAAACUUUUCGAAAAUAUCCACUGUUCUUUCGAAUAGGAAAGAAUGAGUGUCCAUAAUACUCUCAAGUUCAUUAACUCUGAGCCUCCAGCUAUUAGUAUUGGUUCAUCUAUAUCCAAAUCAAAGAAAGAACAAGCAUUCAUGGACAGCACUCGCAACUUUACAAGAUCCCAAAUAUUCGGUAAUAGUACCCAGGUUGAUCCUUUGUUAUCAACAAACAGGCUUUCCAAAUUCUUGAGGUUUGAGAAAGAUGAAGGCAGAGAUUUAACUUCAGUCCCAAUGUUUAAGAACCUCAAAUGAUUCAACAUGCCUAUUUCAUUCAGCAAAGAAUCUUUCACCAUCACAAAAGAGGGAUCCAGGUGCAACAGUCUAAGAAGCCUCAAUUCUCUUAGGUGACAUGCAUCAGAAAGACGAUCUUCCAUCUUGUCUCCCAUUAUGUACAAAGAAUAGAGGUGUUGACCAGAAUGCCUUUCCAUUUUUGAAUCGAGCAGGAUGAAAUUGUUAGGCCCAAAGUGCUCCUUAUCAUAAUUAAUGGUCACUAUACGUGGCAUCAAAUCUAAACAAGCAGAUGCAUCACUUGAACUUAUCUGCUCAAACAACUUUUCCUCUCUUGCUUUUAUCAGACAAAAGUCGUGCACAAGAUCAUGAAUUUGGAAAGUCGGGCGAUUACCUAUCUCAUUGAAGAUAAUUGCCAAGCUACUGGUAAUUAAUUUAUCAAAAUAAACCUGCAGUACUUCCGUCUGUUCAGCAAGCCCUUCAGCGCGCCAAUAUAUUUCCAACGCAUCAAACUGAAUUGCUUUGUCCUUUGGAAAAGAUGCAAGGUAGAGAAAGCAGGGCUUCAUGUGAUGAGAUAAAUGGUCAUAACUUAAUUCUAUAACCUUCAUCACAUCCACUUCACUGUUAAAAAUAAAGUAAUUCAAAUUAUUUCGAACUUCAAGCCACACAGCCCUUUUCUUUUCCAAACCUGCAAUGACUCCAGCAAUCAGACCAGCCACCAAAGGAAGUACCUUACAAUUUUCAGCUAUUUCUUUUCCAACAUCCAAUAGUUCAUCAGGGCAACUCUGUUCUCCAAAUUUCCUUUUCUCUAAUAACUUCCAACUUUCUUCUGGACUUAGCAAUCGAAGGUUAAGAGGAUCACUAUUGCCCCUUCCAUGAAAAGCCACUUCCUUUUGUCGAGUCGUCAAAAUAAUUCUACUUCCUUUCUCAACUUCAGGGAAAGGUCUUGUUAAAUCAUCCCAUGUAGUAGUAUCCUAUACAUCAUCUAACACAAUUAGGUACCUCUUUCCAUACAAUUGUUUCCGCAGCUUAUCGACAACAUCAAUUUCUUCGCUGAACUUCAAAUCCAAGCCAGUAACUUGAUUAAAAAGUUCCACUAGCAACUUCCUCUUGUCAUAAUCUUGGUCGACUGUGCACCAUGCACGAAGGUCGAAAUGACUACAAACUGAUUCAUCAUUGUAUACUUUGUACGCCAAGGUAGUUUUACCUGAACCGGGCAUACCAGUGAUUGAAAUGACAUCUAGACUUGCUGGUCCACUGGUGAGCUUCCUAAUUAACCAGUUUGUCUCCUCCUUAAAUCCUACAAUUAUUUUACCACCCAUCAAUGACUUGCUUUCAACUGGCUUCUUGGGAGAGUUUACAACAUUGAGUCUUUUGUUCUUGGGAAUCUUCUCGGAUAUAUUGGAGACAUCUUCUUUGAUAAGCUUGACCUUUUUUAUGGUAAGGGGAAGUGAGAAAAAAAAUGUAUGAGACCAUUAUCUCGAACAAUAAUCGAAUCAAUGACAUCUUUUGCCUCAUAUGCCACAUCUAAAAUACGUGCCCAAAGAUAUUUAUAAAAUUCUUGAUCAAUGUUUGUGAAAAAAGAUUUUAUGAAUUCUACGUCUUGUUUCACCAGCCCAAUUUCUUCCUUUAUCAAUGCAAUUGAAUAAGCAUUGGAAUCUAGCAGAUCAUUCAAGUGUAUUUGUAGCAGAUGCAUGAAGAGCGGUCCAUCAUUCAUGGGGAAGCAACAUUGAGAUGGGUCUGGGGCUUUCAGAUAAUCAUUUUUGAGAUCUUCCUUGAAGAGUUCAAUAUUUUCCAGCAAGUCUCGAGUCGCACAACUUGUUUCAUCGGUACUCUCUUCAUUCCUUGAUUUUUCUUCUAAGUCACGAACAAGAGUUGAUACCUUUGUGGUAUGUGCUCCAACACGUGCCAAAAGAUCAAAUAAUUUGUCAUGAUGAAUAAUGUCCUUGGGCAUAUCCGUAAGAAUAAUUAAAAGGAACUCUAUAUUGACAUGAAUGUUUCGAGCCCCUGGAGUUGUAGCGAUAAUGACAUUUACCAUGUGCCUUGUAGAUGAAUCAGAUACUCUCUAAGAAUGCCCAGAGAGAUUUCCAGGAGAUUCUUAAUGAAGCAUCCAACUUCUGCUGAAGUUGAAGUUUUCAAAUUUGUAUAACAUAUUUGCAUCACCUCCACCUCAAUUGGAAUAAUCUUCAUGAGUAGAUGAGGUAGCUUGAAGACCUUAGAGUCUUCACUAGUUAGAUCAUCCCAAAGGAAGAGUCCAACUCUCUCAGCCAUGAGUUGAAACUGAGGUAAGACAUAUUCGACAAUCUCGCGCUCAACGUAACCAUUCACUAUCAACCCAUGAAAAUCCUUCAUGUUGCCACACACUUUAUGAAGAAUCUCAUACUGAGUCUCUAAUGAAAAUAUCUGUUCAGCAAGGUACUUGGAUAGAUAAUGGAGAUUCAAGAGGAGGAAGUCCAACUGCUCGUCAGUCAUGGUGGCACUUGAUGUAGAAUGAUAACACGAGCUGAUACAAUCAUCGAUAUUAUCCAUGAGGCUAGGAAGGACAUGAUCCAUGUUGUAUUUACAACUGACAUUGUUGUCAACAACAUCCAAAAUUUGUUGAAGCAGAUUCUCAACCUCUUGUCUUGAAGCAUCACUAAUUUCAUCGGCAAACUCUUCCGAAUCACAAUGAGAAAGCUGGACAUAUGUACAAAUAAAUUCCAGAUGAAAUUUCAGCUUUUCAAUUUGAUCGGCUUUGUCAGUAGCAUUUUGACCGUCUUCAUUCUUUAACCCGUCCAAGAAAUUCAGAACGUUGACAACGGCCUUGCGAAGAGCAGAAAAUGACACCUGCCAAACGACCAAAUAUUAAAUCAAAAUUUUCAUAGCGAACAUAUAUACCAUGCAAUGUUUACUCUAUACAGGCAACCAUCACGUACACAUGUAUUUUGUAUGAAUUUGAUGUUAUCUAUCCGACCUAAUACUUCAUCCAAAAUUAUCAGAUACUUGUUAUAUGCUUUAUCUUCUAAGAAAAAAAAUCAAAAUAAUGGAAAAAGGUCAAAAUAUACUACAAAACUUACACCAAAUAUGCCCUUCCCUAAAAAAAAUGGAGUAUUUAUACUCGUGGCAUAACACCAAUGACUCCCGUAUGCCCUUUUUGACUAAUGAAAGUGAAAUAGUCGAUGUUAAAAUUAUUUUUCUAUUUUUGUUGUUAAAACAAAAGCCACAUGGAUUUGAUUAAAGAACUGGCUAGAAUUUCCCACUCUACUUUCAAAACUUGUAGACAUUUAAUUUCCGUUUUACAAUCUGAACAUAAAUUUGACCUUCUAGUGAAUUGUAUUUUCAGGAUAAUUAACACAUAGUUCAACGACUUAAAUGUGAUAAAGUAAAGUUCAGUGAUUUUAGUGAGUCAAAAUUAGCUUAUAUAAGUAACUAAUUAACUGAUACAUACAUAAGUAAAGUUCAGUCAUCAUGACAUACCUCAAAAUUGUUUGCUUUCCUUUUCUCUAUUUCUCCUUGUUUUUCCAUGACUGUAAGUUUCUUUCAAAUUUCAGUAGCCAAAUUUUCUGAAUCUGAUGUAUAAAAAAUAGACAAAAACUUCAUCAGGUGAAAAUUGAAAGAAGCAAAAAAUUAAUUUCAUAGUAGAUAAAAGUGUCUUUCAAGUUCCUUUCCUUUCAAAUUCUCAGGAUCUGAUGGAUAAAAUGUAGUUAAAAAGUUUAUUAGGAGAAUAAAGCAGCAAAAAAUGUACAGAUAUAAAUAAGUAAAUAGUAUUCUGUGUUUACUUUCUCAAUUUUUUCAACAGAUCUUAAUACCAAAACUAAACAAACUGAGUUUAUCUGAGACUAACCUUAUCACUUGAUGAAAAUUCUGAUAUAGUUGCUUUGUUCCUCUAUGUUUUUGUGUGCUCUCCAAAAAGCAAUUAGCUUGAAUAAUGAAAAACAGAAAAUUAGAAGAUCGAGAGAGAACAAAUGAUUGAUGUUAGGUAGAAAAUGAUGCAUAGUAUUUCCAAUAAUGUUUAUAAAGCAAAAGCAAAUGGGACCUCCAACUUAAUCAUACUCUCAAGUGGGAACAAUAAUCUGUAAUAGGGAGUAUUGGCCACGAAAUAUAUAUAUAUAUAUUUUUUUGAGAUAAGCAUCCUGAACUAUGAUCAAAGUUGCUCCGAUAUACUCCUUCACAGGGUCCAAUUACCCCUGAACUCAAUUUUAAUGUAUUUUUGUCACCUUUUUGAGCUGGCGUGGAACCUUUAUUACAUAAAAUGAAGCCCACGUCAAAGAUAUCACGUCAUCUAAAAAUGAUGACAAAAUACGCUUAAAUUUAUUUCGGGGUUAUAGGACUCAAGUGAAGUUGGAGUGUAUCGCAGCAAAUUUGGUCAUAGUUCAGGGAUAUUAGAUGCUUUGCUCUAUUUUUUUGGUGUUGUGUUUGGCCAUAAAAUUCAGGAAUUUUUAGUAAUUUGAAAAAUAUCAAAAUACUAUUUUCACUCCAAAUUACUCACAAAAAUUCAAAAACAACUCCAAUUUAUAUUCGUUUUCUCCUUGUGACCUUUUAUUGUUACUUAUCGUCUCCUUCCACAGGUCCUUUUAUUAUCCAUAGAGUAGUAUGUUUUUGUAUUGUUACUCUAUGUACAAGGAUAAUAUUUUGAAAGUAAUCUAUCUGUGGGAUCAAAAAGAUUUUAUCAGAUUUUUAGUGUCCUUUUAUUUAACUUUUACAAUUUGAUUUCAGAAGAUAUCAGUGUAUCAAUUUAUUUAUUUUUUUUUUAAAAAAAACACUAUUAGAGACUAACCUUUUAACAUGAUGAAAAUAUCUUCUUCUUGCUUUAUAAUUCAUCCAACUACUUCAAAUUGUUGGGAGAUGUUUGGUUUGGGGGUAGUGAAGAAAAUAAUUUUAGUAUUGAAAAAUAUUGUAGAAAAAACUAUGCAUAGUGUUUUCAAAAAGUCUAGAAAGUAAAAGGAUGAAGCAAUGGGUCCUCACAGCUUGUCUACCAUAAGUCUAAAAGGAAAAAGAAAAGUAAGUUAAUCAAAGAGAUAAACAUCCAGUACCCCUUCGAACUUUGAUCAAAGUUGCUGCGACACACUUUAACUUCACAGGGUUCUAUUAAUAAAGGAUAAAAUCAACUCCUGUUUUUGAAAUUUCAAAUUUAGUUGUCCUUCUCUUUAAGACUCUUGUAUAUAGAUAAGUAUUAUCCUUUUCUUAGUUUAUCUCUUUGUUGUAUUGUAUUUAUAUAUACUCAGUCUACAAUCAAUGACAAGUAUCGUUCCUUUCAUUCCAUUAACAGUCUUAUACUUCAUAUGGUAUCCAGAGCCAAUUAACUCUCACAAGUAUAAUUCUUUUGAUCCCUCCCACUCUUCCCAUCAAAAUGGCCACAAACAUAACUGUAACAAAUUCAGAUGCCAACACCACAAUUGUCCAGUUCAAUUCUGUCACCCAGUUACCAAUCAAACUAACUGGCAGUCACAGUUUUUCCCUCUAGAAAGCACAAGUGUCCAUGCUUAUGCGUGGUCACAACAUUUAUGUCCAUCUCGACGGUUCUUGCCCUGCCCCUACUCGUACAGUCGCUCAAAAUAAUCAGGAAGUCGAAAAUCCUGAAUUUGUUUCAUGGUAUCGCCAAGAUCAGCUUAUUCAAAACGCCUACACUUGCUGCUACAGUUGCCGCUGCAUCCACCACCAAGGCUGCUUGGGAUGUUUUGCACACUGCCUAUGCCAAUAAAUCACAAACAAGAAUCUUUAGUUUGCGUGAUCGUCUUUCUCGUCUCUCGAAAGAAUCCCUUCCCGUCGCUGAUUAUCUACACCAAGUUCGAUCUCUCUGUGAUGAACUUGCCACUGCUGGAGCUCCUGUGUUUGAUGAGGAAUUGAUUGUCAAAAUCCUCACUGAACUUGGCCCAGAAUUUCAUGAAAUAUAUGCAGCGAUCCGUGUAAGAGACUCUACUAUCUCUUAUCCAGAACUUUAUGAAAAGUUGCUUGAUCAUGAACUUUUUAUAAAACAUAAAGAAGCAAAGAAGCCAUUAUCAUCACCAAUUACUGCUGCUAUUGUACAGAAAACAAACACGCAUCCUCUCCAAGGAAACAACUCAAACACACAUCCUCGCCAAGGAAACAACAACUCCAACAGGCGUCCCAGUGCAAAUUUCCCCAACACCAACCAGCCAUGGCAUAGUGGAAAAAAUAACCAACAACAAUGAUAUGAAAACACUCUGAAGUGCCAGUUGUCUGAUCUUCCUGGUCAUUCUGCCAAAGUGUAACACCCCGCAUUUUGGGCUAGAAUAAAAACCAUGACUCUGAUACAUUGAUAAUCCCAGAGCCUUAAAUCCUAUGACAAUUUGGAAUGUUUAUGUAGUAUGUGAAUCCAUUUGAGCAUGAAUUUAGGCCAUAGAGGUCCUUCAACUUAAGGAUGAGUUGAAACUAUUUCGAUCGAUUAAGUUUUAGUGGACGUUGUAAUUAGUGUCAGCUUCCAUCGACCAUAAAUCUCUAUAUAUGUUGAAUUAGAGAGCCUAAUAUGUUUCAAAUGAUAGGUCUUUGAGUUAAAUUUCCAACGAUACCAAUUUUGCUAAAAUUCGAUACCCGAGCAAGAAGUUAUGGCCUUUCAAAGUAGUAUGCGUCGCCUAACCAAUCGCAUAUGGCAACUGGAAAGCAUAUGCGACACCUAUGUAAAUAUAGGCUAUAUCACAUGCGGCGCCUAUGUAAAUAUAGGCGAUAUCAUAUGCGGUGCCUAUGUAAAUAUAUGCGAUAUCAUAUGCGGCGCAUAUCUUAUGGUUUCAAGUGACUUAAACACUCCAUAUUUGGGGCAAAAUGGUCUUUUUCCCACCCUUAUUCAGCCAUAAAUAUGAAAUUCAGUCCCCAAUUCUCCAAAAUACAUCCACAUUCAUCUAAAAAUUCUCAAGAACACUCCCAAGGGUUUCAAACUAAAAACCAAAUAAAUUAAGAUUUAACUGUGGGUUUUCAAAAUUGAUUAGAGAUUCAGAAUCCCCAAUCCACAGGCUUCAAGAAGCACCCAUUAUUUUCUGAAAUAGAGGUAUGCAACCUAAAUUCUCAUGGGCAUAGAAAAAUCAUGUUUUAGAAUGGGGUUUUGAAUAUAUGUAUAUAUUCAUGUAUUAAAUGUUUUAACAUCAUUUUUUUAGUCUUUUGACCUUUCCCAAAGUGAAUUGAGAAUAUGAAUGUAUGAAACUAUGUAUUUAAGAAUGAAUUCUUGUUGAGAGCAUGUUUUUCGGUGAAUUCCCUCUUAUUAUGAAUUUUUCAGAUUUCUCAUAGCAUAUGAAUUAUUUUGCAAUGCAUCCUUGAAAAGCACUAUAUGAAAUGAUUGAACUCUUGUUAUGAUUUAAAGGUGAUUUUAAAUCACUAAAGAGGGAAUCUAGCAUGAAUCUUUAAUGUUCAUAAUGCAUGUAAUGAAAGCGUGCAUGGAUUUGCUAAAGGCACUAAACCAACAUAUGUUGAUGAAGUUUUUGCAUGAUUUUGACUUAAGUUUCGAAACACGAAAUCUUCUAUAUCAGUUGCAUAUUUUUGGUGGUCUAAAUUAUGCUUUAAAUGAAAGAUUUAGCUUAAUGUAUUAUGACUAAGAAAUCAUAACUUGCAAGUCUUGGUAUGACGAUGCCAAUUCAGACCAAUGCCAUAUCAGACUUAGACUAAUAGACAUUUCAGACUAUCAUGAUUUUAGACAUUCAGAAUGUUGUGUGUACAGAAAAGGUUAAAAAUGGGCAUACAGAUAUGUUAGGUGGUUCCCUAAAGAGGGCUUGAGUUCAAGCAACUCAUUGCCUAAAAUCGUGGUUUGCCGACUCGAGUAUAUUAUUAUACGCUGACUUAAGUGUCGUGUGGCAUAUCAGAUUCAGGAACUCCAACCCUUGCGGCAUACUUGGGUUGGACGCUUCCCUGCCGAGUCAAUGGUGGAUUCCAUAUCGCCCGUGGAAUAUCAUACUUGCAGGGGAUACCACCUAACUCAGAAGUAAUACAUAGAUCAGAGUUUGAGAUUUACAGACAGGUUACACGUUUUCAAAAGGUGCCCAUGCGUUUUUCAGAAACUAUUUUAUGCAUAAUAUUUGAUGAACAUUUGCUCUGACGUAUGAUAUAUAUAUAUAUAUAUAUGUUUAAUUACUCUAUUUUGGAUUGCUUCGCAUACCAGUACUUUUGUGUUGACCCCCCUCCCCCCUCCAAUCUCUCAGGUUCUAAGGCUCAAUCUGGGGGUCAGAUAAGCAGUAGAUAGUCAGACUUGCAGAUCAGACUGUGUAGUGGUGAGCCUUCUUUACUCCAAAAGGCAUGCAGAUUGUUCAGAGUAUUAUUAGUAGUUAUAUUUUGGUCUACUGGGGGCCUUAUCCCAGUUUAUUUUCAAACAACUGCUUAUGUUCUUAGUAGAGAUUUCGCAGACUGAUGUCAGAUAUUACUAUUUUAGAUUUGACCAUGUUUUCGUAAUAUUAUUUAUCUUUCGUAUUUAUUUAUCAUAUGAAUUAUGUGCAUGAUUACCAGAUAGACAGAGGGCGUUCUGGGACUUUGGGUUCUGAAAUGCUCAUCACGGCCAGAGCCCUGGUUUGGGUCGUGACAAACUUGGUAUCAAAGCAUGGUUCAUGGUCCCAGGGUAUCUACGAAAUCGCAUCGGGUAGAGUCUUGUUUAUGCGUAUGUGGCGCGCCACACUUAUAAGCGGGAGGCUACUAGGCAUUUAGGAAUGUCUCUCUUUCUUUAUGUUCUAGUUCGUGCUAUAAAGUCAGAAUGUUCCUCCUUCAUACUCUGAUUCAUGCUAUGGUGUCACCCAUACGAAAAGAAAAGUUAUCCUAAUUUCUUCCUCACUCUGGUGUUCCAGAUAUUCUCCGAUUAUCUAGCAUAAACUUUAGAAGUCCCACAAAGGACGAGAGAGAAGUUCCCUAGUGUAAAAUUAUGUCAUCGUUCUUAUGAGGCGUUCAGUUAAGACAAGAGUAAGAUGUGUAUUCUUGAGUCAUUGAAUAUUGUGUAUCAAGCUUCUAUCUCUUGCAAUCUUGAUAUCAUUGUGUUGUUGAAAACAAAAGUCAAGUGAAGCCGUGUGAGGCCUAUUUUGAUUCACUAGCANNNNNNNNNNNNNNNNNNNNNNNNNNNNNNNNNNNNNNNNNNNNNNNNNNNNNNNNNNNNNNNNNNNNNNNNNNNNNNNNNNNNNNNNNNNNNNNNNNNNNNNNNNNNNNNNNNNNNNNNNNNNNNNNNNNNNNNNNNNNNNNNNNNNNNNNNNNNNNNNNNNNNNNNNNNNNNNNNNNNNNNNNNNNNNNNNNNNNNNNNNNNNNNNNNNNNNNNNNNNNNNNNNNNNNNNNNNNNNNNNNNNNNNNNNNNNNNNNNNNNNNNNNNNNNNNNNNNNNNNNNNNNNNNNNNNNNNNNNNNNNNNNNNNNNNNNNNNNNNNNNNNNNNNNNNNNNNNNNNNNNNNNNNNNNNNNNNNNNNNNNNNNNNNNNNNNNNNNNNNNNNNNNNNNNNNNNNNNNNNNNNNNNNNNNNNNNNNNNNNNNNNNNNNNNNNNNNNNNNNNNNNNNNNNNNNNNNNNNNNNNNNNNNNNNNNNNNNNNNNNNNNNNNNNNNNNNNNNNNNNNNNNNNNNNNNNNNNNNNNNNNNNNNNNNNNNNNNNNNNNNNNNNNNNNNNNNNNNNNNNNUUAAGGUGGUUAUAGAAACCCCUUAUAGGCUAUGAAUGAAAAUGGCUAGAUUAGCCAGUAGGGUGUAAGUAUAGACUCAUUGUCAUAUGGGGUAUUUGAAGGUAGUCUAAAUGCCCAUUGGGGUAAGUAAGUGUGAUGUGAGAAAACCGUAUAAGUAGAUAAUAUUGUAUGGUUAUACUAUAAGCUUAAGGUUGAUCAUGUCUAUUAUGUGACCUUACCCCUUGACCUUUUUCUCAUUGGUAGUGUAAACUAAUACUGCUUGUGAGAAAGUAUGUAGUAGAUUUUUGAAGUAUUUGGGUAGAAUAUCCCAAUUUGAAGGAUUAUUAUAUUUAUAUUAUGUUGCACUCUUCAUUGGUGGUAAAUGAUUGAUGCUAGACUAUAGGCUUGAAUUUAAAUGGUGUNNNNNNNNNNNNNNNNNNNNNNNNNNNNNNNNNNNNNNNNNNNNNNNNNNNNNNNNNNNNNNNNNNNNNNNNNNNNNNNNNNNNNNNNNNNNNNNNNNNNNNNNNNNNNNNNNNNNNNNNNNNNNNNNNNNNNNNNNNNNNNNNNNNNNNNNNNNNNNNNNNNNNNNNNNNNNNNNNNNNNNNNNNNNNNNNNNNNNNNNNNNNNNNNNNNNNNNNNNNNNNNNNNNNNNNNNNNNNNNNNNNNNNNNNNNNNNNNNNNNNNNNNNNNNNNNNNNNNNNNNNNNNNNNNNNNNNNNNNNNNNNNNNNNNNNNNNNNNNNNNNNNNNNNNNNNNNNNNNNNNNNNNNNNNNNNNNNNNNNNNNNNNNNNNNNNNNNNNNNNNNNNNUGUAGUAUUUUUCUAAGGCUAUUACAUGUUGUGUGUGGCUACUGGUCCCGUUGAGUUGCUAGGUGGAAAAAGACUAGAUAGAUGGUAUAUGGUGUUCUAAAUAGCCAAGUUAAGGACCUUUGAUUGAUAGCGUUGAGCCUUUUGAUAUGAACUUGACUCUCAUGGUAGAGAAAAAUAAGUUUGAAGUUGCUAUAUUGGUAGACUACGAUAGAAAUAAAGUGGCUCAUUGAAGACUUGGUGAUACCCAUGUUAGGUGUUAUAAUCUAAGUUCGAGUCCUUGAAAGUCAUGCUAAUAGAAAUAAGAGUAGAGACACUAGAGGGUGUGCACUUCAACUUUGGGGAUACUCAUGAAGAUUCGAAGUUAGUAAGUGUUCGAGUAAUGGAUGAUGACUAUUGGGGUUACAGAAUGAUAGAGUGUGCCUCAGGAGGUAGUAUUAGCAGUGGGCGUUCCACUCCCAUAUGUGGUCUUUCGGGUUAAGUUUUAUUAAUUUUGUGUAUUGUCAUAUUUUAGAACCCAGAGUGCAGUGAGUACAGUUAUGUUUAAAGUCUAGUAAGGUAUCUCCUAAAAACUUAAGAUGAUGGCUUGAAACUAAGUGGGAGAUGACUAAACGAAUAACAAGUAAGACUCUCAGAUUCUUGUAGUGAUGUCAUGAUGAUAUAGAACAUCAAAAAGUAAGGGUGAAUCUCAACCCAUUCCUAUAUCAGUAUUUCUCAGUGAUCCUAAUACCUACUCAUGCUUUACGAUUUAGUUCCAUGAUUAGUUCACGUUCAUACAUAUGAUAGAGAGUCAUGUACUCACGCUUUAUAAUGUGCUCCAUUUCCAUAACUCAUGUUUUACGCCAAAUGAUUUGCGAGAUUCAGCUUAUAGCUAUGAAUACCCUCAAUUCAGAGCGCUUUGGUGAGUCCCUGUUGUUGUUUUGCUAUUCCUCAGGCCUCAGAUGAGUGUCAAGCUUCAUAUAGCAUCAUUCCAUGCCUCCAGAUCUUAUGUUUUAACCUUUUUGUGACUCCUCCUUAUGCGAUGAUAGUGGUGGUGAGUAAUUAUUCCUUGUUGAUGGAAGAUGAUAGUACGCUUGUUUAUAUAAGGCCAUAAGUAUGAAGUAAGAUUUGGGGCCAAGUUUUUACUUAUAUAAUUGUUAGUGGAAUUUUGUAUGUGUAUGUUCUUGGGGUAGCUCGUGGGAGUGAUAUUGAUAGUGGUUUAGAGAAUAUGUGAAGUAUGCCUUUGUGAGUGUUUUCUUUGAAGUUCAUUUGUGGUUAUAAAGAUAGGCUUGAAUGACAUGUUGAGGUUGUUGUAAAGGAAUGCUAUAUGCGCUAGCGACUUCCUAGUAAAAGUUCAGAGUAGUCAUUAAAGUGGUAAGGCAUGUUAUACUUACGAUGUGAUCUUUAAAGGAGAUAUAGAAGAUUGCAUCAUAUGGUUUAGAAUAAUAGCGUGGUCUGGCAUGUUGUAUUUUUGUAACUUAGAGUUAGGUUUGAUCAUGGCGAAGGGAUUAAGUUAUUUUCGACAUUAGUAAAGAGAUUUGUAAAUGCUCAUAUGAGAAUUUUAAGCUGAGUUGAAUGAAUAUGAUAUUUAAGGAGAAUAGUAUAGUUAAGUGAUAUUCGAGAAGUGUGCUAAGCUUGAAAGUAAGAAGUUGUAAUGCCAAAGGCCUGGUAAUUCUAUCCUAAUUCAGGAGUUAUAUGCCUAUGUUCUAGACUGCAGAGUAGUGUCAAUGUGGUGAUUCCUCAGUUGGAUGUCUUGUGUAAUCCAUACCCAAGAUUCAUGGCUCCCUAUUACUGCUAGAAUUUCUUUAGAGAAUUGUGCUGAAGAGAUACUCCAGUUAAGUAUGAGGGUGUAGUAUAAUUUAGUCUCUAUGGCCAAUAAGUCAGUUUAGCAGUCAGAUUUGCAUGACUUGUUUUCUCGUCUUUGCACUUAUUCAUGCUACUCGAAAUCUCAGAUAUGCUACUAUUUCAAGAUAGAGUAUAUUAGUAGUUACGAGUAUAGCCCAUUUCAUGCAUCAUGCAUUAAAUUCAGAUUUCAGAGGUUCAGUUAUGAUUCAUUUCGUAGGUGCCCUGUGCAUCGCCUCAGUUUUCUGAGUACCUUAGUGGAUUGAGCAUUCAUAGAGGGACAUAGGGUACUAAAGGGAAGAUACCCCAUUCAGUUGCACGCAUAGAUUCUUAUUACGAGCUUCACAUCAGUUAUUAUUGCGUAUUUAGCCAUACGUUCGUACAUCAGUUCAGCCAGAUAUGCAUGUAUUAGAAAUGCAUGUUCAAUAGAAAAGUUCAGGUUAUCAGUGUAUUCAGUCCUGCAUUCAUGAGAACAACUCGGUCACAGAUCCAUGCAUCAGAUAUGCAUGAUUCAUUCUGAGAAUUCAACCUAUGAGUAGCUUCAGUCGUGUAUUCCAUGCCUCGGAUAUGCAUGUCCGACAUAAGCAUUUAAAACAUCAGUAGUUCCAAUCUUAUAGUCAUGUUUUCGAUCAGUGUAUUCUUUGUUAGGGAAUAUAUCAUGUCCGCGUUAUACCAUACCCUUAAGACUUUGACAUUCUAUCCAUCAUUCGGGGUAGAAAGAUCCCAAGGGGGAGAUAAUGUAACACUCCGCAUUUCGGGAUAGAAUAAAAACCAUGACUCUGAUGCGUUGAUAAUCCCAGAGCCUUAAAUACUAUGUCAAUUUGGCAUGUUUAUGUAGUAUGUGAAUCCAUUUGAGCAUGAAUUUAGACCGUAGAGGUCCUUCAACUCAAGGAUGAGUUGAAACUAUUUCGAUCGAUUAAGUUUUAGUGGAUGUUGUAAUUAGUGUCAGCUUCCAUCAACCAUAACUCUUUUUAUAUGUUGAAUUAGAGAGCCUACUAUGUGUCAAAUGAUAGGUCUUCGAGUUAACUUUCCAACGAUACCAAUUUUGCUAAAAUCUAACACCUGAGCAAGAAGUUAUGGCCUUUUAAAGUAGUAUGCGUCACCUAACCAAUUGCACAUGGCCACUGGAAAGCAUAUGCGAUAGCAUAUGCAGCGCCUAUGUAAAUAUAGGUGAUAUCAUAUGCGGCNNNNNNNNNNNNNNNNNNNNNNNNNNNNNNNNNNNNNNNNNNNNNNNNNNNNNNNNNNNNNNNNNNNNNNNNNNNNNNNNNNNNNNNNNNNNNNNNNNNNNNNNNNNNNNNNNNNNNNNNNNNNNNNNNNNNNNNNNNNNNNNNNNNNNNNNNNNNNNNNNNNNNNNNNNNNNNNNNNNNNNNNNNNNNNNNNNNNNNNNNNNNNNNNNNNNNNNNNNNNNNNNNNNNNNNNNNNNNNNNNNNNNNNNNNNNNNNNNNNNNNNNNNNNNNNNNNNNNNNNNNNNNNNNNCCAAUCCACAGGCUUCAAGAAGCACCCAUUAUUUUUCAAAAUAAAAGUACGCGGGAUUUUUCUAAAUUCUCAUGGGCAUAGAAAAAUCAUGUUUUAGAAUGGGGUUUUUGAAUCUAUGUAUAUAUUCAUGUAUUAAAUGUUUUAACAUCAUAGUUUUGGUCUUUUGACCUUUCCCAAAGUGAUUUGAGAAUAUGAAUGUAUGAAACCAAGUAUUUAAGAAUGAAUUCUUGUUGAGAGCAUGAUAUUUGGUGAAUUCCCUCUUAUUAUGAAUUUUUCAGAUUCUCAUAGCAUAUGAAUUGUUUUGCAAUGCAUCCUUGAAAAGCACUAUAUGAAAUGAUUGAACUCUUGUUAUGAUUUAAAGGUGGUUUUAAAUCACUAAAGAGGGAACCUAGCAUGAAUGUUUAAUGAUCAUAAUGCAUGUAAUGAAAGAGUUCAUAGAUUUGCUAAAGGCACUAGACCACCAUAUGUUGAUGAAGUUUUUCCAUGAUGUUGACUUGGGUUUCGAAACACGAAAUAUUCUAUAUCAGUUGCAUGUUUUUGGUGGUCUAAAUUAUGCUUUAAAUGAAAGAUUUAGCUUAAUGUAUUAUUUUUCAGAAAUCAUGACUUACAAGUCCUGGUAUGACGAUACCAAUUCAGACCAAUGCCAUAUCAGACUCAGAAUAAUAGACAUUUCAGACUAUCAUGCUUUUAGACAUUCAGAAUAUUGUAUGUACAGAAAAGGUUAAAAAUGGGCAUACAAAGAUGUUAGGUGGUUCCCUGAAGAGGGCUUGAGUUCAAGCAACUCAUUUCCUAAAACCUUGGUUUGCCGACCCGAGUAUAUUAUUAAACGCUGACUUAAGUGUCGUGUGGCAUAUCAGAUUCAGGAACUCCAACUCUUUCGGCAUACUCGGGUUGGAGGCUUCCCCACCGAGUCAAUGGAGGAUUCCAUAUCGCCCGUGGAAUAUCAUACUUGUAGGGGAUACCACCUAACUCAGAAGUAAUACACAGAUAAGAGUUUGAGAUUUACAGACAGGUUGCAUGUUUUCAGAAGGUACCCAUAUGUUUUUCAUAAACUGUUUUAUGCAUAAUGUUUGGUGAACAUUUGCUCUCACGUAUUAUAUAAAUAUAUAUAUAUGUUCAAUUACUCUAUUUUGGAUUGCUUUGCAUACCAGUACUUUUGUGCUGACCCCAUCCCCCCUCCAAGCUCUCAGGUUCUGAGGCUCUGUAUAGGGGUCCAGAUAAGCAGUAGAUAGUCAGACUUGUUGAUCAGACUGUGCAGUGGUGAGCCUUCUUUACUCCAGAAGGCCUGCAGAUUGUUCAGAGUAUUAUUAGUAGUUAUAUUUUGGUCUACUGGGGGUCUUGUCCCAUUUUUUUUCAGACAGCUGCUUAUGUUCUUAGUAGAGAUUUCGCAGACUGAUGUUAGAUAUUACUAUUUCAGAUUUGACCAUGUUUCCAUAACAUUAUUUAUCUUCCGUAUUUCUUUAUCAUAUGAAUUAUGUGCAUGAUUACCAGAUAGACAGAGGGCGUUUCGGGCCUUUGGGUUUAGGAAUGCUCGUCACGGCCAAGGCCCCGGUUCAGGUCGUGACACAAAGUCUGCAGAUCCCGAUCACACAAUCACCUAUAAUACCGAGCAAACUAUGCUACUCGGCUUUCAACUCAAGAGGCUCCUUGGAUUUUUGAUACUGGCGCCACUCAUCAUAUGGCCGCAGAUGUUCAAAACUUCACUGAUGAGCAAAACUACCACAGUCCAGAGGAGAUAGAAAUGGGAGAUGGUAGCAGCAUUCCAAUAUCUCAUAUCGGUAACACCAACAUAAGUGCAUUAAUUAUCAAUUUAAUCUUCUCAAUACCUUAUGCUCUCAUGAUAUAAAAAAUAACCUUAUUUCUAUUUCUAAAUUUUGUUGUGAUAACCACACCUCCAUUGAAUUUUUUCCUUUUUCUUAUCUUGUGAAGGAUCUGAGUACGGGGACGCCUCUAUUUUGCUGGUAGAAUAGAGAUGGGUUGUAUGAGUGGCGGUCGGGUAGUGAGCACCAUUCACUACAAUGCAAUGUUGUCAUUCCUUUACACCUAUGGCAUCGGUGUUUAGGUCAUCCUAGUAUCGUAUUUUAAAUAGGAUUUUGCAUCAGUUCUCUCUUCCAGUUUCACAUUCUAGAACCAAUUCAGUUUGUAAUUCGUGUUAUUCUAAUAAAAUGCACAGGUUACCUUUUCUGAAAAUUCAUUGCAAAGUAAACGACCAUUGCAAAUUAUUUAUAGAGAUUUAUGGGGGCCCUCUCCUAUUUUGUCAAUCGAUAACAAGCGAUAUUAUGUCUUAUUUGUUGACCAUUACUCGAAAUACAUGUGGUUGUUCACUAUAAAAUCAAAAAAGGAAGUUCUUGAUGUCUUUCAAGCUUUACAUCCCUUGAGCGACGGUUUCAAAACAAAAUUUUGUCUUUCUAUACAGACAGUGGUGGUGAAUUUCAAGGUUUAUCAUCAUACCUCAAAAGUCAUUGUAUUGAACACUUAGUGACCCCUCCUUACACACCCCAAAGAGUCGCACUAGUUAAAUGCCAUCACAGGCACGUUAUUGAGACAGCCAAAACCUUGCUGCACCAAGCCUCAUUGCCCCCGAUUUUUUGGAUUUUUGCCUGUCACCAAGCAGUUUACCUUAUAAAUAGUCUAACAACUCCAAAUUUACAAAAUAAAUGUCCCUAUGAAAUUCUAUUUCAAGAGUCUCCAAAGUAUGAAUCCCUUAGAGUUUUUGGUUGUUUAUGCUACCCAUGGCUCAAACCAUAUGGAAAAAUAAAUUAGAACCAAGAUAUAAUCCCUAUGUGUAUUUAGGAUUUUCUAAUAAACAUUAUUGCCACCGAUGUUUUGAUCCCGUCAGGAAUAAAUUAUACUUAUCAAGGGGUGUUCUGUUUUUGGAAGAUACCUAUCCUUUUCAGAAUAUGUUUUCCAAUUUAAAACUUAAACAGAGCGAUAAUAUUUCCUGGGAAAUUUGUUCUGAUGUUCAACCUUUGAAUCAUGAACCGUCAAGUUCAGACUCUUGUCAUCCACUCCCAGAUGCUCUGCCCGUGCAGUCUCCACUAUCCAGCUCAACGUCUGCCACACCAGAAGGUGUCUCCGCUACAUCAGGUAAUUCUCAAAAUUUAUAUUCUCCUUUGUUGCCACCUGUAAUUCCACCCCCCCAUGAUAAUACUCAACCACUACCAUCAUCCAAACCAUUAAUCACCUAUCAACGCAAAAAUUGUCCACAACCAAACACCUCAUUGAUGCCACUUCCUUCCAUUGUCCAGUUCCCCAGCCCGCCUUCUCAAUCACCCAAUGACAACCCUUCCCAGAGCACACUUGCUUUGAUUCCGUCCACUCCUUCACCUGUGGUGACCACUUCAACUUAUCCCAUGGUCACACGCUCUAAAACAAAUAACCUCAAACCCAAGCAGUUUAGUGUUAGCGUCCAACUUUCCUUGCCAUUUUUUCCUCAUACAUAUAAACAAGCAUGUCCUCACCCUCACUGGAGAGAAGCCAUGAAAGCUGAAUUUGAUGCCCUUGUUAGGAAUCAUACAUGGGAUUUGGUUCCAGCUGCUCCUUCGAUGAAUGUGGUUGACUGAAAGUGGUUGUUUCAUAUAAAACAUAAAUCUUAUGGUUCCAUUGACAGGUACAAAGCUCGGCUUGUUGUAAAGGGAUUUACCCAGCAUCCGGGAUUAGACUGUGAUUCAAAUUUUAGCCCGGUAGUCAAACCAGUAACUGUUCUGUUGGUGCUUACUAUUGUGACACAGUACAACUGGCCUAUCCAUUAGAUUGAUGUAAAUAAUGCCUUCCUACAAAGAUGUAUUGAGGAAGAAGUGUAUAUGAGGCAGCCACCGGGCUUUGAAGAUCGAAGCCUCUCCAUCCAUGUCCGUAAGCUGAACAAAGCAAUCUAUGGAUUGAAACAAGCUCCCUGAGCAUAGUACACCGAGUUCAAAAAUUAUUUUUUAACUGUUGGGUUUGCCAAGUCUCAAUCUGACUCUUCUUUAUUUAUUUUGCAUAAAUUUGGGAUCACUGUCUAUUUUCUUAUCUAUGUGGAUGAUAUAAUUAUCACUGGAAAUCAGAUUUGGGGGUUCGUCAUGUAAUAGUUGGUCUUUCCAAUCUCUUCUCUUUGAAAGACCUUGGACAACUCCAUUACUUUUUGGGUGUUGAGGUUAUCUCUUCUACUGAUGGUCUUUUUUUUAUCUCAGCACAAGUAUAUUAUGGAUCUUUUACAUGACGUUGGCAUGAUAGGUUUUAAAGGAGCCCCUACACCUAUGACUUCAACUGCCACUUUGACAGCUUCGGUGAAUGAUCCUCCAACUGAUGGUAAUAUUUAUCGAUGGGUAAUUGGAAAGUUGCACUACUUAUCCUUUAUACGUCCUAAUAUUGCCUUCACAGUUAGCAAGUUUUCUCAAUUUAUGCACAAUCCACGUCACUGUCACUGGAAAGCAGUCAAGGGAUUACUUUAUUAUCUUUAUCACACCUGCCAAUAUGGUAUACGGAUCACAAAAGCUCCAGAUUCUCAUCUGGUUGUUUAUUUUGAUUCGGAUUGGGCUGGCGAUUCGAAAGAUCGUACCUCUCUAGAUGGAUAUGGUAUUUUCAUGGGCAGCACACCAAUUUCCUGGUCCUCAAAGAAACAACGCUCAGUCUCUCGAUCCUCUACAGAAGCUGAGUACAGAGGUGUGGCUGCUGCUGUUCCAGAAACCAACUGGCUCACAAAUCUUCUUCGUGAAAUUUGUCUUUCACUUAAGGGGGUUCCGCAGGUUUUCUGUGACAACAUAAGCACCACUUACAUUUGUUCCAAUCCAGUUUUCCAAAGUAGGAUGAAGCAUGUAGCCAUUGAUUUUCACUUUGUUCGUGAACAAGUCCAGAACAAAGAUAUUGAAGUACAUCAUGUUCACUCAGCUGAUCAAGUGGCUGACAUACUCACAAAACCACUUACCAAAGCCACUUUUGUACAGCAAUUUUCCAAGUUGGGUGUUGUUGACACCACUAACUUGCGGGGGCGUAAUAAAGGAUAAAAUCAACUCCUAUUUUUUAAAUUUCAAAUUUAGUAGUUCCUUCUCUUUAGGACUCUUGUAUAUAGAUAAGUAUUAUCCUUUUCUUAGUUUAUCUCUUUGUUGUAUUGUAUUUAUAUAUACUCAGACUACAAUCAAUGAGAAGUAUCGUUCCUUUCAUUCCAUUAACAAUCUUAUACUUCAUAUCUAUUACCCGAACCUAAUUUUAGCAUAUUUUUGUCACUCCUUUUGUACUGACGUGGCACCUUUAUUAGAUAAAAUGGAGCCCACUUCAAAGGUGCUACAUCAUCGAUAAAGCCUGCCAAAAGGUGUCAGUCAGCUAACAAGGUUCACAAAAAUACGCUAAAAUUUAGUUCAAGGGGUAAUAGGACUCCUGUGAGGUUGGAGUGUGUUGUAGCAAAUUCGUUCAUAGCUCAGGUGGUACUAGAUAUUUUACUCUUAAGCAAACUCUCAAUACUUUGUUCACAUUAUAUUAUUUCCUUCGUUUCAUUUUGUUUGACACUAUUUUCUUAUUACAUCGUCAAAAUAAUAUUAACAUUCUUAUAAUUUAUUAAUUAAAAGCAUUUAUAUUCAAACAAAUAUUAUGACAUGUGUUAGAGUUUGUGACCCGAAUUUUAUUGAUCCAGACCUGAAAAGUUCAUGGUGCAAUCCAUGUUUGAGAUUUUUUGGGGGGUCUGUGGUGGUAGCGGAGGGAUUGAGCCGAUAGUGAGUUAUUUUUGGGCUUAGUAUUUAUUUGUACGCACGUAUUAUAUAAGUCCGUUUAGUGGAUUGUUUUUGGUGGUUUUUGAUAUACGUCAUUGACACUUUUGUCUCCUCCUUGUAUUCCUCUCCAUUAUAGUGAAUUUCCUCCUCCUCUGCCCAUGGUUUUUCCCGUCAAGGGUUUCCACGUAAAAUUUGUGUGUUCUUGUUUUCUUUUGUUUGUGGUAUUGCUUAUUCCUGUCCAUUCAAUAACAACAUGUUUAUUGUUAGGACCCAAAUAAUCAGUCUUUAUGCGGAUACUAACCAAGAAAACCUCGAAAGAUGCUAAAGUAUAUAAAGGAAAAAGAACACAAGGCAAUCAAACUUCUGAAUUUGUUAUAAUCUUACCUUUUGACAACUUAAUGUUCAGCAAACCAUGAUUAAUAGAACACCUCUUGUUUCAGAAAUAGUAAGUUUGAAAGAAAUUGGCUAAACAAGUAUUUUGAAAGUUCACCAACAGACAGAAGAAUGAAAUUCCAAGAUAAUCAGGACAGUAUGGGAUUCAAUUUCAAUGUGGCCUUACCUGUCUGCCAUUUUUCACAGUGAUUUGAUUAAUGGAAUCCAAGGAUGCAUACAGUAUAAAGAUUCAGCGAAGGAGAUCAAAAGGAUAAUUUUAUUAACUCUGGCAGCAAGCUUUUAAAUACACAAUAUACAACUAACUGGACCUAAAGUGCAGGCCACUAUCUGCACAUUAUCUAUAGCUAACUAACUAAAGCUAACUAUUCCUAAAUAUGCUCCAAACAUCAGAGACUUAGUCAAAUUGUAAAAACUAGUAACAAGAGAUAAAUAAAGAUAGUUAAUACACCCCCUCAAGUUAGGUAAGGUGAAACAAUGCCUAACUUGGAACGACACCUAAUAAAGGCUGAUCUAGGCAGUGGCUUGGUGAAGGUAUCAGCAAGUUGAUCACAAGCAUGAGUAUGAGUAACAUUAACUAAAUGAGCAUGAACCUGAUCACAGCCAUAUGCAAAAUCUACGGGUAUGGAACACUGGGUUGUGAGAUAGAUAAGUUACUCCAACAUUGUCACAGUAGAUUGUUAGAAUCUUCGGAAUGGUGACAUGUAAUUCAUGAAGUAAGUUUUGCACCCAUGUGAUCUCUGCAAGUGCAUUGGCUACUGAUUUGUACUCUGCCUCAGUGGACGAGCGAGCCACUGCACGUUACUUUAUGGAUGACCAACUAACUGGAUUUGAUCCAAAGAAAAGUAUGUAACCUAAUAUAGAGAUUCUAUCAUUUGGAUUGCCAGUCGGCAUCAGCAUACGUAUACAAAUUGGAGUCAGAGCUACGAAGGAUGCGAAGUCCUGAACUUGCGGUUUCUUUGAGAUACCAUAGGACUAAUUUAACUGCUUUCCAAUGUUCAUCAGUCGAAGUAUGCAUAAAUUGUGACAAUUUAUUGACUGCAUAAGAUAUGUCAGGCUGAGUGAGGGACAGUUACUGCAAUUUGCCAAGGGUACGCCGGUAGCUUGUGGCAUCAGUUGGUGGCGAACCAUCAUCUACUCAAAGGGGUACACUGGAACACAUGGGAGUGGAAACACCUUUACAAUUAUCCAUAGCUAUUUCAGAAAGAAUUUCCAAAAUGUAUUUUGAUUGAGAAAGAAUGAGACCACCUAGUACUUGCUUAACAUCAACACCCAAAAAGUAGUUUAGAUAGCCAAGAUCCUUCAAUGAAAAUCUUUCUGCCAAGGAAAUGAUAACACAUUUAAUCAUGUGUGGAUGGUUUCCAGUGAUUAUGACGUCAUCAACAUAGACAAGAACAUAAAUGGUUACAGCCAAAUGCUUCCAUACAAACAAAGAGGUGUCAGAUUCUAUUCUGACAAAGUUCAGUUUCAGCAGAUGUUCAUGCAGAGCAUUAUACCAAGCCUGGGGAGCUUGUUUGAGGCCAUAGAUAGCCUUCUUCAAUUUGCAGACAUGAGUUGGAAAUUGGGGAUUAAUAAAGCCUCGGGGUUGCGACAUAAAAACUUCUUGAUCCAAUUUUCCUUGUAGGAAAGCAUUAUAAAGUUUAAACUAUUCUUUGCUAGCAAUAACAGGUAAAGAAAAUUUCCCCAAAAUAAAAUUUAGACUUCUAGAGUGGGGAUGACCCAAUCGACAAUGCCAAUGUUGAAGUGGGGCUUUUGUGGAGGCAAGGUGAAUGGAAGGUUUCCUUGAUGGCAAACAUGGACACUCAUACAGUUUAUUUUUGUUCCAACCUUGUACCAGCGGCUUUAGAGUAUGCAAGUCCUUCACAACAAAAGUAAAAGGAAAAAAUUCAAUAGACGUGAGGUUAUCUUGACAAAACUUAGCAAUAGAGAUGAGAUUCUUUUUUAUUAAUGGAGGACAAAGUGUGUCAGAAAGCUUAAAAGCAAAUUUAGAUGCCUGAAUUAGAGUUGAACCAAUAUGAAUGAUGGGAAUGGUUUUACCGUCACCCAUAGAGAUUUCUUCGGUUCCUGUAUACCCUUCAAGGUUGUGAGGUUCGACAGUGACAUGGUGAGUUGCUCCAGUGUCUAAAACCCAAGAGUUUCUAGACGAUUGCUGCCCAGAUGCAAAGUUAGCCUAAGCUUCAAAAUGAUUGUGCAACUUGGAGCGACAAACAUCUGCCGUGUGACCAAACUUUUGGCACAACUUACAUUUGAAAAAUUGCUUGGGUGGUCGCUCAUUUUGCUGAUUGUUGGAAUUUGAUUGCUGAUUGUUAGAAUUCCAUUGUUAAGACUACGAUGUUUCCAUGGCUGAUUGUUGAAGUGAGGAUUGUUCCUAUUGAAUGUGGAUGCGUGUUGGACUUCUAAGCAACAGCAGCUGAGAUCAUAGAUGGUUUUUCCAGAUCUUGAUAUUUUAGAAAAAGCUCAUGAUCUGUGAGCUUGUGAAAUAAUUCUUCAAAGCUCAAAGGAGAGUCUCGUGCUCAUAUCCUAGCAGAGAUUUCACGAUACUCGGGGCCUAGGCCACUUAAAAUUUUGACAAUAAGUUUAACAUCACUGAUAGGUGAACCAGCAACUUUAAGAGCAUCAGAGAGGGAACAAACCUCCUAUAAGUAUUCUGCAAUGGUUUUGGAAGUCUUCUUGGUGUUCUGCAGUUGAUCUCGCAAGCUGAAGAUGUAAGUAUGGCAUUUGUUGGCGUAGGUUGUGUGAAGGAGUUCUCACGCUUUGUUAGCAGAUGGUGCUGCUGCAAUAGUUAGAGCAAUUGUAGGAUUGACUGAUGUCAUCAUUGCUUGUUAGGUCAAUUGAUCCUGGGAGAACCAGAUCUGAUAACUGGGAUUUAGUACAGUAAGACCAUUUUAGGUAAUAGUAGGUGAUGGAGCAAUUGUGGUUCCAUCAAGAUGUCCCAUGAGUUGAUGCCCAUUUAGUAGCAUUACAAGUUGUGCUUUCCAUGUUGAGAAGUUGAGAUUACCUUGUAGUUUAAUAGGUAAUUGAGCAAUGGGAUUAAAUUGUACCACAUGAGUAGUGGUAGAAACUCCAUAACCACUGGCAUUAACAGCAUCAUUUACUUGAGCCAUAGAUGAGAAAGAUUAAGGAGAAUGAAAUCGAUCUGACUUGGUGGAGCUUAUGGGUGUCUGAUACCAUAUAAAGAUUCAUAGAAGGAGAUCAAAAGGAUAAUUUUAUUAACUCUAGCAGCAAGCUUUUAAAUACACAAUAUACAACUAACUGGACCUAAAGUGAAGGCCACUAUCUGCUCAUUAUCUACAGCUAACUAACUAAAGCUAAUUAUUCCUAAAUAUGCUCCAAACAUCAGAGACUUAGUCAAUUUGUAACAACUAGUAACAAGAGGUAAAUAAAGAUAGUUAAUAUACAGGAUUUUGUAUGGGCCGUUACCUGUCUGCCACUUUUCACAGUGAUUGAUUGUAAAAUUGUGUAUUUAUAAAAAAAGUGUGAAACAAAGAAAUCAACAAAUGAAAUUGUGUAGUUAUCAAAGUUUCUAAGUUUUCUAACGAGGUAAGGCACAAAUAUACCCCUAAACUAUACCUGAAGUUCCUAUUACCUCUUAAACUCAUUUUUUUCUAAUUAGCUUAAGAUUGAUGUCGCGAUGAAACAUGAUCGUAUCAUAUACUCAUUGCUACAUAAUAUUCACAAAUAGUUCUUAGUGGUUGUUCCUAUUCACUUUGGUGGCACGUUGGAGGAUCUAUACAAGACAUAGUUUGUUCAAUUGGAAUAUUAAUACUACUACUGAAUGUCCGCUAUGAGAGGUUGCUGAUGAAAUGUUGAGCAUCUAUUUUUUAGGUGUCCAUACUCAGCGGACAUAUGGCGCAGGCCCCUUCUUUGGUUAAAUAUUAACAAACAGGCAAUAGUGGUUAAUACUGGUGGUAAUUGACGUUGGCAAUUGAUUCAAAUGUGUGAAUUUUAAUACAAUUCCAAAAGAAAACUACAAUUGAAUUCUCCUCAGUUGAAUGAAGGAGAUCCAAUGAUCAUUAGAUACAGCAUCCCUCAACUUUAAAAUGCUUAUCGAUGGACGAUACUUGGUGCACAUAAAUUCCACCACCCUGCAUCACCAAUAGUUGCAGUGAACGUGCAUGGUCAAGGGAGAAAUUAAUGGUGUAUGAGAUUCAAAAGCCUUCUUCAAUGACCUUUAGCUACCAUGUUCCAUCGACUACAACCAGCACGCUAAACCUACAAAAGAGGCUCGAGCAAAAAAGUGUGGAGAAAGAUCAACGUAGAACUGAUAACUGCAGUUCUCCUAUGCAGAACAAUGGAUCAAUACCCGGUUCUAUAUAAAGUUGAUGCUGCUGCAUCUUCAUCAACGGUCCAAGUAGAAUCAGUCAUGCCGAACCUCCGUCCUGUAUAUGAAGAGUUCUCGACUGGGAAACUUUAUGGUCUCAUGUACGGAUUACCCUAACCCUUGGAAACCUCUGAACUAGCAGUAAACAUGUGCCAUAACUUACUAAACAAGCAGACAUCCAAAGAUACUGCAUAGUCUCCAGCCUUGCAGCAUUGACCAACAGCCUUGUCACUGAAGGAACAGUCUCUAAUCUCCAAGGAGAGGACAUUGUGGAGGCCUAGAUCACUAUUACCCAUCAAGAUGUCCCAUGAGUUGAUGCCCAUUUAGUAGCAUUACAAGUUGUGCUUUCCAUGUUGAGAAGUUGAGAUUACCUUGUAGUUUAAUAGGUAACUGAGCAAUGGGAUUAAAUUGUACCACAUGAGUAGUGGUAGAAACUCCAUAACCACUGGCAUUAACAACAUCAUUUACUUGAGCCAUAGAUGAGAAAGAUUAAGGAGAAUGAAAUCGAUCUGUCUUGGUGGAGCUUAUGGGUGUCUGAUACCAUAUAAAGAUUCAUAGAAGGAGAUCAAAAGGAUAAUUUUAUUAACUCUAGCAGCAAGCUUUUAAAUACACAAUAUACAACUAACUGGACCUAAAGUGAAGGCCACUAUCUGCUCAUUAUCUACAGCUAACUAACUAAAGCUAAUUAUUCCUAAAUAUGCUCCAAACAUCAGAGACUUAGUCAAUUUGUAACAACUAGUAACAAGAGGUAAAUAAAGAUAGUUAAUAUACAGGAUUUUGUAUGGGCCGUUACCUGUCUGCCACUUUUCACAGUGAUUGAUUGUAAAAUUGUGUAUUUAUAAAAAAAGUGUGAAACAAAGAAAUCAACAAAUGAAAUUGUGUAGUUAUCAAAGUUUCUAAGUUUUCUAACGAGGUAAGGCACAAAUAUACCCCUAAACUAUACCUGAAGUUCCUAUUACCUCUUAAACUCAUUUUUUUCUAAUUAGCUUAAGAUUGAUGUCGCGAUGAAACAUGAUCGUAUCAUAUACUCAUUGCUACAUAAUAUUCACAAAUAGUUCUUAGUGGUUGUUCCUAUUCACUUUGGUGGCACGUUGGAGGAUCUAUACAAGACAUAGUUUGUUCAAUUGGAAUAUUAAUACUACUACUGAAUGUCCGCUAUGAGAGGUUGCUGAUGAAAUGUUGAGCAUCUAUUUUUUAGGUGUCCAUACUCAGCGGACAUAUGGCGCAGGCCCCUUCUUUGGUUAAAUAUUAACAAACAGGCAAUAGUGGUUAAUACUGGUGGUAAUUGACGUUGGCAAUUGAUUCAAAUGUGUGAAUUUUAAUACAAUUCCAAAAGAAAACUACAAUUGAAUUCUCCUCAGUUGAAUGAAGGAGAUCCAAUGAUCAUUAGAUACAGCAUCCCUCAACUUUAAAAUGCUUAUCGAUGGACGAUACUUGGUGCACAUAAAUUCCACCACCCUGCAUCACCAAUAGUUGCAGUGAACGUGCAUGGUCAAGGGAGAAAUUAAUGGUGUAUGAGAUUCAAAAGCCUUCUUCAAUGACCUUUAGCUACCAUGUUCCAUCGACUACAACCAGCACGCUAAACCUACAAAAGAGGCUCGAGCAAAAAAGUGUGGAGAAAGAUCAACGUAGAACUGAUAACUGCAGUUCUCCUAUGCAGAACAAUGGAUCAAUACCUGGUUCUAUAUAAAGUUGAUGUUGCUGCAUCUUCAUCAACGGUCCAAGUAGAAUCAGUCAUGCCGAACCUCCGUCCUGUAUAUGAAGAGUUCUCGACUGGGAAACUUUAUGGUCUCAUGUACGAAUUACCCUAACCCUUGGAAACCUCUGAACUAGCAGUAAACAUGUGCCAUAACUUACUAAACAAGAAGACAUCCAAAGAUACUGCAUAGUCUCCAGCCUUGCAGCAUUGACCAACAGCCUUGUCACUGAAGGAACAGUCUCUAAUCUCCAAGGAGAGGACAUUGUGGAGGCCUAAAUCACUAUUACCCACCAAAGAUACGAAGAGCAUCUCUAGAUUUUUAGCAUGGGCCCUGAUGUAAUAGAACACGCGAUCUUUAAGGAGGCCAGAAAGGGCCCCAAAACCAGCAUCGAGCGGUCCAAGGGUUAGGUAAUCAGGAUAUUGAGGACUGACUAAACACAAACGAAAUAGGAUCAAGUUAGUACGGUUCCUUGUAAUAGUAACUAAGGAGGAAUUUUUCAUUUUGCGGCAGAAGUAUAGAACUGAGUGGAGCUUAGGAAAGCACACAGAGAUAUGUACAAGGCCUUGCUCUGUCAAGGAUACAUUCGGUUCUUACGCAUAAGUAAAUUCCCUAAGGUCUCAAGGUCCUUACAAUAGGUGGCAAUAUCCUCAAGACCGAUUUCUUCAACAUAACCACGCACCUGCAGUCACAUUCAGAUACAAACUAAGAUUAAAAUAUUUUUCACCUGUAAGGACAAAAGUACUAGAAAAAGGGUAAUCUACAAGGAAAAACAUACUCUCUCCAUUUCUAUGCAUGUGUGUUACCUUACUUUUUAUCCCUUUAAAAAAAAGAGCAUAUCAUUUUGUAUUUAGUAUGAUUUUAAUUCUAGCAUUGUCAUUUUACAUUCAAUGAUACUCCCAUGUCGGAAUGUUGUGGCAGGUCUGAGACCACAAGAUUCCAUUUUAUCACGAGCACAGUUGUUAUAUCUAGUCUCGAAACUAUUAAGAACAUAUAAAUCUAUUGAAAAAGAAACAUCAAGCUAGAACUCAUAAUAUGUGGUACCAUGGCUCAAAAUCAAAGACACGAGGUUGUCGUGGACAUGACAUAUAAGUGAAAAAAUAUGCUGGCACUCAGUGGCGGAGCCAUACUUUUCUUUAAGGGGAUUUAGAAGUAAAUAUAUGGAUUAGUUGAAGGGGGUUCAACAUCUAUAAUACAUACAUAAAAAUAUUUUUGACCAUAUAAAAAUAGUAUAAUUUUUCGACGAAGGAUUUCAGAUGAACCCCCUGAAUUGCAUGUGGCUUCGCCACUACUGACACUGUGUCCCAAAAGCAUAAUGCACAUUUAUCUAAACUCCAUCAGGAUUAACCUGUAUGCCAGUAAAGUAGGCUCCAGUAUCUAUAAAUGUAGAGAAUGAAGAUGAAGUUGUUUGAUUUCAUUGAUAUUUAUGUGUAUAUAUACAAGAGAACACAAACUAAAUAAGGAAAGAAUCAACUAAUAAAGAAUUGUGAUCUUCUCCUAAGUAGAAACUGAAUCACUAUAAGAUACUAAAUCAAUCAUGAGAUAUCUUAACAUGUGGUACAUGCUCUAUUAUGCGCCCCUCAAGUUAGGUGUGACAAGACAACACCUAAUUUGGGUAGCAUCCACUAGAAGGCUAGCUUAGACAAUGGUUUGGUGAGUGGAUCUGCAACUUGAUCAGUGGAGUGGAUGUGUGAUACUCGGACAAGGCCAUUGCGAACUUUAUUGUGAACAAAGUAAAGAUUGAACUUGAGGUGCUUUAUUUUUGUAUGAUGUACCAGGUUUUUAGAAAUGUAUGUGACCCUAAGGUUAUCACAAAGCACUGUAGGUGUAGUAGAGAGUGGCACAUAAAGAUCCCUGAGCAAGUGAGUGGUCCAGUUUAUUUUAGCUAAGGCAGAGGCAACUACCCUAUACUCAGCCUCACUGGAGGAUCAGGAGAUGGUGGGCUGCUUAUGAGAAUUCCAGGAAAUAGGAUUCUUACCUAGAAAAACAAUUUAGCAAGAGAUUUAACAGCAAUCAUUAAUAUCGCCCGCCCAAUCAGCAUCAGCAUAGGCAUAAAGAUCAGUGGACUGAUGUGGAGAAAUAUGAAUACCAUUCUGGGAUAUUUCUUUGAGGUACCCAAGGAUGCGUUUAACAACCUUCUAAUGAACCAUGGAAAGAGAAUUGUUGAGCUGAAUAAGCUUGUUUAUUGAAUAUGUGAUAUCCGAUCUGGUAAAAGAAAGGUACUGAGGUUUACCAAGUACACUCCUAUACUCUUUGCCAUCAGUUUUAGGGACUUUAUCAUCUACAAAUAGUGCCUCAGAUGUACUCAUUAGGGACUGAACGCCUUUGUAGACUUGCAUCUGCGAGUCAUGCAACACCUCUUGAAUAUACUUAGAUUGACUAAAAAAUAGGCCGUUGGCAUGCCUGUGUACCUCAAUGCCCAAGAAAUAGUGCAGUAAGCCAAGAUACUUAAGAGAAAAUCUUUUGGAAAGAGAAGUAAUGACUUUUUGAAGGAGUGAUCAUUGCUGAACAUGAGUAUGACAUCGUCCACAUAUAUUAGUAAAUAAAUAGUUACGCCCAAGUUAUUGUAACACCCCGUACUUUUCCUAGUUUCAUUUAGUGUUGAGAACACCAAGCAUUGUCUUCAAGAGAGAAUGAAUUUUCAUACAUACAUAAUUUUUCAAGUUUUCGACCUUCCAAUGUGUAUAAAAUUGAAUUAGCUUUCCAACAAUAUAAUAUUUUCCUAAAUCCGAUCACCAAGUAAGAAGUUAUGGCCAUUUUAAGUUCCAGUCGCAAAACAUCGUUAUUUCGAUCACUAGCGCGUCGCGGCGAGGGUUUAAAUGUCAAUUGUAUAUUUCCAGUGGACCUCUGCAAUAUUGGUGCAUCACGGAGAGGUCCAAAUUUCCAAUUGUACAAAUCCAAUAGCCCAAGGCAAUACUGGCGUGUCGUGCCAGUGGACAAAAUGGCAAACUAAAGGGCACCGCGAUGGUGGCGCAUCGCGGAGAGAGCCCAGUUCCCACUCUUCCCUUUUCCAGUGAGCCAUCACGAUUAUGGCGCAUCGCGGUGGACACCCAUCUCAGAAAAUAUUAUGUUUUUCCAGUCCGUUUAGUAGUUCAAAGAGGGUAUUUUGCUAAUUUACCCAGCCCCAAUCCAUCCAAUACACAAGAUUAAUUAUAUUCCAAGCACUUUAUGCUCAUUAUUCAUCAUUCUCUACAAAAGAAAAACUCUAGAAACCAAAAGCUCCUUCUCCAAGAAACCUAAUUCCUCCAUUAAUUCUCCAAGGCAAUUCAAGAUUUAGGAUUCCCAACUCAAGAACUCUAAGAAUUCAACUUUAAAAGUAUCAAUAGAGAUCCAAGAUUCAGGUCUUAGCAUCUAGCUCAUCAAUUGAGAUAUGUGGGGUUUUUCAACAAGUAUAAUCCUUUCAUCCUUGUGCCUAAAAAUUAUUUUAAUUGCAAAUUUACUGAAUUUUAUGUGAUUUCCCAUGAAAUUGAAGUUAGGGUUUAUACCCAUUAUUGUUAUUUACAAGCUUAUGAGAUUUCCAAUGAUUUAGAAGUUGAAUUACAUGAUUAUGUUCAUAUUUUCAUACAUAUUGCAGAAUUUUACAGAUUUUGAAUUAAUUUAUCAAUGUUUACAUUAUCAAGCAUGAAUAUUUUGAUGUUAUAAAUGAGUUUGAUGCAUGGGUCACUAAGCCCUAAUUAAAAAUUGCUAUUUCGAGCUUUGUUGUGCUAUAAGCACCCUAUGACUAGAUUUCCUUCAGAUUAUUGAAAAAGAUUUGACCUUUUGGUCUCAGAAUAGAUAUGAAAUCCACUUUACAAUUCAGAUUAAAGAUUUAACUUUACACAUAUACAGUUGGUUUUCAUUAUAAACCAUUAGACUAUUAUAAAAGUGGAUUUCCAUCAGAAUGAGCAUACAGAUUUAAUGGGAGUAGUAUUUAGCACCGAGAUGGGUACGUUACUACGAUUUCAUACCCCAAAACUGCAUGCCAAUAUAGGAUUUAGAUUGUUCCCACUUCUACGUGGAUGAUAGAUAUGUGAUCACUUAGAUAGGUUAUACUCCCUGGCAAGAGUAUGACUCCUCUCCCCAAUGUGAGGAUUCCUCCUUAGGGGGACAAGAACAUUGGACUCCAUGAAUGCUCACAUGGUUUAUGUCGGUUAGAAGAACCUCCCAUGCAGAAUGACUUUUCAGAUUUCACUUAUCCUAUAUGAUUUGAGAAUAAAAACAGAAUACAGAUUUCAAAAUUAAGUGUAAUGGCUCACAAGAUUUACAUUAUAUGCUUUAUUAUUCAUGAUUUAUGAUCUUCAGUUUUCGGAUUACUCAAUCCUAUGUGAGUCAUUUACAUUUAGCAUGCAUGAUUUUAUAAAUUGUGAUGAUGUUGUUUACUUAUUGCAUUCACCCCAUAUGCUCAAUACAUUCUCAAAGUACUGAUCCGCAUAUACAUUUGUGUGCUACAUUGUCUCAUAAUGUAGGUUCAGGUGCUCAGUCUCAGCAGCAUGAGUGAUCUUCGAGCAUCUCCUCUAUAUUUCUGCAGUUGGUGAGUCCUCAUAAUUCGGGGACUUAGCUAUUCAGAUUCCCAGUUUAUUAGUAGAUAAUUUAGUAUUCAUUUCAGACAGUUUUAGUCAACUGGGGCUUGUCCCAGUGACUCCCUAGAUUCAGUCAGUAGAGGCUUGUCGGACUACUAAAUUCAAUUUUAGAUUUUAGUGGCAGUACUCAGAUUUCUAGUAUUUGCUUUAUCAGACUGAUGAGAUUAGUAUUUUCAAAUAUACUCAGAUAUUUCAAAUCAUUUUUUGUAUUUAUUAUGAUUUUACAUUCAUAUCCCCUAUUUUGAAAUUUAGACUUAGUAGAAGGCAGCCAGGGUUAGCUCAGGACUACUUGUAGUUCGGAGCACCGUGUGGCAUCCUGGAAAACCAGAUUUUGGGACUUUAUAGUUAUGCAGAACAAAUAAAGAAUUAUCAGAUUCAGACAUACAGAAUCUGAUUAGAGAAUCAGUGAGUGAAUCAUAACAGGCUUUAGGAGCUUGUCGAAGUCUGUAGAUAGCAUUUUUGAGAUGACAGAUAGAGUCAGGAUAUUCUAAACUUUCAUACCUGGGUGGUUGGGUCAUAUAGAUAUCUUCGUGAAGCUUCCCUUGAAGAAAAGCAUUAUUGACAUCUAUUUGAUGUAAGGGCCAACUUUUUUGUACAGUAAUGGUGAGAAUGGUCCGAAUUAUGUUUGGUUUAACCACUGGGUUGUAUGUUUUAUGAAAAUUAACCUCAGGCAUUUGGGUGAACCCUUUUGCAACCAAAUUUGCUUUAUACCUAUCAAUGGAGUCAUCAGGCUUGGUUUUGAUUCAAAACAACCAUUUACAGGGAACAAUAUUUCUGUUGUGGUCCGGUGGAACCAACUCCCAAGUUUGGUUUUUUAUUAGUGCAUCAUACUCAACCUGCAUAGCAUCUCUCUAAUGUGAUAAUUUUUGUGCUUAUUUGUGGGUUACAGGUAAAAUAGGUAUAAGCUGGGUUAUUUGGGCAGUAUAGUCAACAAUUUUUUGUUGCUUGACAAUGUUAUUUUGCGACCUUGUUUACUCUAUUUAUGGAACUUCAACUAUGGGUGCAGUAGGUGGAGGCGAGUCAAGAGAGCAACUGCUCACACCUCUGUUGGCAUGGAGGGAUCAUGAUGACUUUGGACGACGCUGAUUAACAUAAGUAACUGGUGCUCAGCGAUGUAGAGAGCGAGGAUGCACAUAGAGGGCAGAGGGUUGGCUUUGAAAUAUGAUGUGGGAUGGGAAGUAGUUUGAGGAUUACCUGAUUCUAGAGUGGUGAAAUGAUCUGACUUUGUGUUAUUUCCCUGUGCGAUGCGAACUAAUCAGGUAUGUUGGUGUGCACCUGGCCUAAACGGAAUGGUGGGAGGAAGCGAGGUGAGAUCUAGAUUAAUAGUGGUGGAACUAAUUUCCAUAUCUUUAUUUUUAUGUUGUAAAGUGUUUACCCAAUUUAAAUUUGUAAAUUUUUGUUUAAAGUGAGAAUAAAUAUUAUCAAAUGGAAAAUUUUCUUCUAAAAACUUUACAUCCCGUGAGAGAAAAAUUUUAGAGCUGGUGGGAUCAAAACACUGAUAGCAAUGAUAAGUGACGGAGAAACCGAGAUAAACACAAGGUUUGGAAUAUGGUUCUAAUAUAUUUUGGGUGUAUGGUCGUAACCAUGGGUAUCAUAGAAAUCCAAAUGUGUGGAGAGAUUCAUAAGUAGGUGUUUCGUUGAAAAGAACUUCAAAUGAGGACUUGUUAUCAAGAGUAGAAGUGGGCAGGCAAUUAAUGAGAAAGGUAUCAUGAUGGCAAGCAAAUUUCCAAAAAUUAAAGGGCAAACUUGUUUGAUGAAGCAACGUUUUGACAGUCUCAAUAAGGUGUUAAUGACAUCUUUCAUCUAGGGCUACCCUUUGAGGAGUGUGUUGUGGGGGAGACAAGGUGUUGUAUGCCAUUAGAAUUAAGGUAUGGUUCCAUGACUUUAUAUUCUCCGCCUCCAUCAGUGUAAAGUGUGAGCAUUUUGUGACCAAAAUAUUUUUCAAGCACAAGAUGUAAGCUUUGAAAGUGUUUUUACACUUAAUGUUUGUUUUUUAUUGUGUACAACCAAAUGUAUUUGGUAUAAUGAUCAACAAAUAGACAAUAGUAGAAUUUUUUAUCAAUAGACAGAACAGGGGGUGAACCCCAUGUUAAAUAUUGAUUCAAAGGUCGUUAGUGCUUCCUAGGUAGUUGGCAUUGUAACAGGUUUGUUAGGAAUCCUAGUUUAGUUAAAGCAAAUCUCUGUUAGUUGCUAAGAUUUAGGUUAGUGGAUAAUUAGUGUCGAGUAAGUGGGCAUGUUUAUCAGUAAGUGGUUAGGUUUAUUUUUAUUCCUAUUUAUAGAGUCCUAUGUAACUUGGUUUAAUGGUAUAAAUGAAAAUACAUGAAGUUCUCUGCAACUAUAUUCUUCUUCUUACACAUUGCUCCUCUUUUCUUCAACUCCCCAAUAGUUUUUAGUAUUAAAACGGCAAGAGAGUAUCUUUUUCUAAAUUUUUUCUCUCUAUCCAGGUUAGGUCAAACUGGGAAAUAAGGCAAUUGCAAGAAUAAAAUCAAAAUUGAAGGUAAAGAAUGGCUACCAAUGUAGCAUCUUCCAUAUCUCAGCAACUAAUUCCCAUUAUUAAUGGAGAUAAAUAUGAAUUCUGGAGCAUAAAGUUGAAGACAUUGUUCAAGUCUCAAGAAUUGUGGGAUUUGGUGGAGAAUGGCUAUGCUGAGGAAGAUGAAGCACAAAGGUUGUGGGAGAACAAAAAGAAGGACUCUAAGGCGUUGUUCUACAUCCAGCAAGCUAUGCACGACUCGGUUUUUUCCAGAAUUACUGUUCCAGAAACCUCAAAGCAGGCAUGGCAUAUUAUGAAGAAAGAAUUCCAUGGCUCGACAAAGGUAAUGAUUGUCAAACUCCAGUCACUCCGACAUGAUUUCAAAAAUUCAUUCAUGAAAAGUAGUGAAUCUGUACAAGACUACUUAUCUAGAGUCGGUACAAUUGUUAAUCAUAUGAAGGCAUAUAGUGACAAAAUUACUAAUGAAACUGUAGUUUCUAAAGUUCUAAGAAGUCUUAAUUAAAGAUUUGAUCAUGUCGUAGCUGCCAUUGAGGAAUCCCAUAAUUUAUCUGAUUAUGGUUUUGAUGAAUUGAUGAGUUCCUUACAAGCUCAUGAGGAUAGACUGAAUGCCUCUCAAGAAAAGAGUGAAGAGAAGGCAUUUCAGAUCAAGGGAGAGUCUUUUUUCAAAGGUAAAUCAGAAGUCUCAAAUGCCAGAAGAUGCAUAGGCAGAGUUAGUUUUCGUGGUCGAGGUCAUGGCAGAGGACGAACUCAAUUUAGUGUUGAUCACCGGCAGUUCAAGAGAAAUAUUCAGUACCGCUAUUGCAGAAAAAUGGGGCACAAGGAAGUUGAUUGUUGGACUAAAUAGAAGGAUGAACAACAACAUGCAAAUUUUACUGAGAAACAACAAGGGGAGGGUAAUCUGUUCAUGGCUCACUCCUCAGUAGAUGCUGGUUUGGAUGAAGUUUAGAUCAUUGAUAGUGGUUGCUCCAACCACAUGUCUGGCAGAAGGUCAUUUUUCAAAGAACUUGAUGAAUAGGAGAAGUCAUAAGUUUGGCUUGGGUAUGGCAAGGCAAUGAAAGUCGAAGGGAAGGUAUAAUAAUUGCUCUAAAAACUUCUCAUGGUAAUGUAAAAUUUCUCCAUGAUGUGCAGUAUGUUCCUUGUCUCGCCCAUAACUUUUUGAGUGUUGGCCAACUGAUAACUUGUGGAUACUCUAUUCUGUUUGAUUACAAUUCUUGUAGCAUUCAAGACAAAAAAAAAACAGGAUACAAAAUUGUUGACAUUCAAAUGACUCAAAAUAGAAUGUUUCCUCUUGAAGUUUCUGAUGUUAAAACUUUUGCAUUAGUUACCAAAGAUAGUACCGAAGAUAAUUUAUGGAAUUUGCAGUAUGGUCAUUUGAAUGUAAAGGGGUUGCAAUUAUUAGGUCGUAGAAACAUGGUUCUAGGUUUGCCUAGAACUGAUGCUCUUGAAUUCUGUGAAGGAUGCAUGUAUGGGAAACAAAAUAGAAAUUCAUUUCCCAUAGGCAAGUCUUGGAGAGCUUCUGGUUGUCUUGAACUGGUGCAUACUGAUCUAUGUGGUCCUAUGAGUGUUGAGUCCUUAGGUGGAAGUCGAUAUUUCCUACUUUUUACGAAUGAUUAUAGUCGAAUAAGUUGGGUGUAUUUCUUGAAAUUCAAAUCUGAAACAUUUGAGAAUUUCAAGAAAUAUAAGCUUUUUGCUAGAAACAAAGUGGUUGUAGAAUCAAGACUCUUCGAACAGAUAGAGGUGGUGAAUUUAUGUCAAAUGAAUUCAAAACUUUGUGAGAAAUAUUGUAACACCCCGCAUUUCGGGCUAGAACGAAAACCGUCGUUUCUAUGCGUAGAUGAUCCAAAAGCCAUAAAUCUUAUACAAAUUUGGGAUGUUAAUCAAUUAUGUAGUGUGAGAACCUAUUUUAGCAUGAAUUGAGAUCAUAGAGGUCCCCAAACUCAAGGACGAGUUGAAAGCUUUCCUAUCGUUCGAGUUUGAGUGAGCGUUGAAACUUGGGUCAACUUCAAUUGACCAUAACUCUUUGUAUAUAAUGAAUUAGAGGACCUACUUAUAUCAAAUGAAAGCUCUUCAGAUUAGCUUUCCAACAAUAAUAAUUUCGCAAAAAUCCGAUACCCGAGCGAAAAGUUAUGGCCAUUUUUGUGAUUGAGACAGUAGCAUCGCGAGAUUAGCAUGCGACGCACGUACCCAAUUUCUAGGUGUUGUUUUAGCGUUUUUAAGGGCACAAGUGGUAUUUUCCACCCCCUAUUCAGCCAUAACAUUGGAUUAAAUCCUCCAAACACCAAAAUAACAUUAUUUUCUCUCAAAAUCACCAAGAACACUCCUUAGGGUUUCAACCCAAAGAUCAAUAUAUCUCAAUAUUUAACCGUGGGUUUUCCUUAAUUCUUCAAGAUUCAAAAUCGGCAUUACGAGGGCUACAAGAAGCACCCAUCAAUCGUACGUAUAGCAUGCCAAAAGCUAGAGUUCAUUCAAAAGCUUCUAAUUUAAGGUACGUGGGGUUUUCCUAAAAUCUCAUGGGCAUAGAAAUCAUCUUUUAAUUAUGCAAAGGGUUUAGAAAUCAUGAUUUUAAGAAAAUGGUUUUGGAUUUAUGAUUAUAAACAUGUUUUAGAAGCCUGGAUGAUAUUGUUUGGUCUUUACUCGUUCCCCCAAAUUGAUUUGAAAUGAUAUAUAUAUUGUAAGCAUGUGUUUUAAGGUUGAUGAUUGAAUUUUCAUUUACUUAUGAUAUACUAUGAAAUCGUUUGAAUGCAUCUUGAAAAGCAUGUUAUGAAAUGUCUUGAAUAAUAUUAUAUUUGGAUUAUGAUUUUGAUUUCAAAAGAGAGAGGGUUGUUUAUGUUGAUGAAUGUUGAACAUAAUCAUAUAAUGAGAAGGGUUGCAUGGUUUGUUAAAGACUACAUGACCACCACUUGUUUAUUGAAAGGAUGGGAAUUUUGCAUAGUUUUGACUUAUGUUUUCGGAACAUGAAUUUCCUUUGUUAAAUUGCAUGUUUGGGUGGUCUAAACUAUUUUUUAAUAAAAGAAUCAUGCAUGAUGAAUUAUGUCUUAGAGAUAGGACUUGAAAUUCUUGGUGUGAUGACACCAAUCCAGAUAAUGCCAUGGUAAUUCAGAACAAAAUAGAAUGCAUGUUUGAAGUCAGAUUUUUCAGAUGUUGAAACUAGAAUAAUGCAUGAUUCUGAACAGGGUAAAAUUGGGAAUAAAGAGAGCUUAGGUGGUUACCCGAAGAAGGCAUGAGUUCAGACAACUCAUUGUCCAAAACCGUGAUUUACCAAUCUGAGUAUAUUGAGUAUAUUAUUAUACGCUGGCCUAGUGCCCUGUGGCGUAUCAGACUCAGACACCAACCCUUGCGGCACACUUGGGUUGGGGGCUUCCCCGUCGAGUCAAUGGUGGAUUCCAUAUAGCCCGUAGAAUAUCAGACUUGUAGGGGAAUGCCACCUAAAUCAGAAGUAAUACAAAGAUCAGAAACUGCUUUUGACAGAAAAGUUUUUUUAUGUUUUUUCAAGAAUGCCCAUGUGUUUUGAAAAUUAUAUCUUUCAUGAUGUUUAUGGCUAGCUCUCAACUAUUUUAUUUAUAUAAAAGCUUUAUUUUGGAUUGCUCUGCAUACUAGUACAAUUGUAUUGACCCCUUACCUCCAGGGUCUAAAGCUCAUUCAGAAGCCCUGCUAAGCUGUAGAGUUUUCAGACAGCAGUAAUGUGUGUAAUUGGUAAGCCUUCUUUAUUCCAGAAGGUCUAUGUCUUUCAGAUUAUGUUAUUUAUUUUGGUUUAGGUCCGUUGGGGGCCUUUUCCCAAUUUUUGAUACAAAUCAGUCCACCAAGAUGCCAAAACAGUCCACAAAAUGUAAGAAGAACAAGCAACACAAAGGGAUACAAAAUGACAAACACAAAAGCACACGGAUUUGCAAAAUAAUAAAAGGAUAGAUAGUGAGACCAAUAUUAUUACAAGAUUAAGAACCAAGUAUAUUUCAACAUUAACCCCUAAUGAAUGUAAUAAUUAAAACCACACUCUUACAGUGACCGCCAAGGUAAUCUACUUACCUCAAGAUCCACCGUUUCCAAGCAAAGAACGAUAUUGGCUUUUCCAAGCCCUAUACUAAGGAUGACUUUGUAAAGUCUUAACUAAUACUAUACUAAGGUGGUCUACUCUCAAGAGAGAGGAUUUCAAGUAUUUCAAUUUUUCAUCUUUCAGAAACUAACUAGCAAAUGAACUAAUAGAACCUAUUUAUAGUCUAACUUAUUACAUAACAAAAUGACCACAAUACCCUUAAUAAAAAGGGGUGGUCAUGGAGUGUUACUUGGACAAGGCUAAGUAACCAAAAUGUCCUUAAUGAAGGCCCAAAACUAUGAGUUCUCAAUCUUCAAUGCUCCAAACAAUCAUUCACACGUGGGAUUGCUCUUUGGUGUACUUAAAUCGGCCCCUCCAUGUAGGAUCCCAUUUUCUUAAUGUGACCAAAUCUUGAUGCCCCACGUACUGAAUUCAAAUGAUGUCAUUGAAAGCUAACGUGGCCAUUUGAAUUGUAUCACCUCCCCUUCUUGAAAAGGAUUUGUCCUCGAAUCCAAACCUUGCAAAACCAAAGAAAGGACACACAAAUACAAACUCCUCAUGGCAUGAGGGUUAGGGUAAGUACAACAAAUCACCUCAACAUGCCAAGGUUGAACAUAUUUAGAAUAUAACCAAGGAUCCUUUAAACUAAAUAUUACAUAAUUAAUGAAAAAUUCACAAAGGAUUUGGCUAUAGAAUUCACAAAAAAUGAUACUUUUCUUGUCAUGUAAACCAAGCAACAAGUUGGGUGCACCAUCAUCACCAAUUAUAUAUUUGGCACCGGGUUCAAACAGGAAGAGUGGCCAUAGACAUGGAACUAGACAACACUCCCCUUUCCAGUGGUCUCCACCUAAAAUAAACGGCAUACUCUCUACAAUAGCAUACAUAUUAUCCAGAGCAAAUAGAAAGUAGAGAAAGGUAUCACUCAAGUCGACUUCUACUAAGGUGUCCUCAUAUGUAUACUCACUACUAGUUUCACAAUCAUCACCAUGAGUACUAUCAACAAUAAAGUCACAAAAAGUAGAAGGAGAAGCAGUUUCCAAAACCACACAUCUCUUACCCUUAAGAGUACUCUCAUCUUCCAAGAAGAGAUUUUCAUCUUUAGGAGGAAUGUUGUCACACCAUAAUGGGUUAGCAUAUUGGCUAUAGCUUCUAAGGAAAACUAUACCAUCAUUUCCACCACUAGGUUCAUUAGGAGUGGUCAUAUCAUCUUCAAACAAGACAUUAUACCUUAAGAGAGCAUGAUAUAUUUCACGGGCAGAUUCAAACAAACACGUUCAUCACUCUCUAAAAGAUCAAUAUCAAGUUUCAAAGAGAUUUCAAGUGCAAGAUUAUCCCAAGAAUAGCUCUCGGGUUCACUCCUAUUCCUUUGAUCAAUAUUUUCAACAUCAUCACACACUUGAGAUUCAUUAAUCACAUCACACACAUCCUCAAGUGGUGGGCAAUUUUCACACAAAAGUUGAUCAACAUAAAUUUCACAAGACGAUGUACUUCCAUUCAACACAAUGAUUUCAAAACUAGGUGGACAUAAAUCGAUCUUAAAAGAAGAGUCGAUUCGGUUAUCAAUAGGAUCAACUAAUGUAUCCACACUCACAAUAGACUCACAUAUAGGAAAACUAUAACUCACACUCAAUGGGCUACUAGCCACACAAUUAUCAUUCACAUGCACAAAAGUGUAAGGGUUAGCUAUUUUACCUUGAAGUUCAUGGGUAUGUUUUUCUUUAAAUCGGUGAGAAAGUCCAUCACAAGAUUGGGCAACAACUUCCUUCAGAAAGCUCUUAUCACAAGUUGUUUGGACAAUUGGAUUUUGAGGGAAGAGUUUGGGUAAAAAUUGGCGUAUAAUUUCAAUGUGUUGUUGCAUAUCUUCAAGAUCGUCAUGGAUACGAUCACACGUGGCCUUGAAAUUAUGUGCAGCCAUGGUACCUAACAAAAAAAAAACAAAAAAAUCUCCUUACCAACACUCGAUACACUCACCUUUGUGAUUCUCACAAUUGGAGUGGCAAAUAUUGAAAGUUACUUAUACUCCGGUAGUCAAUAAGAUGUCAAUCCUACUUGGCGGCCAGAAUGGAUUCUUGUUUUGAUUGACUCAAGAAACAAAAUAAAAUUCACUUAUGAACUUGAAAUAAAGAAGUUACUAUGAGUUACAAACGAGAAAAGCAUACAAAUAACGAAGACAUGAAAGAAACGUAUUCAAUAACUAAUUUACAACUUAGUAGGUAUUUACUAGUUGCCAAUUAGUAUAAGAAUAAAAAAAAUAAACUAAGAAUAAACAAUAAGAAACUAAGAAUCCAAGAUUUUGAGCCCUAAGUUUCGGUAUUGUACAAAAAUUGGUGAUAUGGCAGUCUAGGAUUGGUUGCGGUUUUUGAAAGGUUCUUAUUUUUCCAACUUUGAAAUUUUGGUUCAAUUAUCAAUUCUUGAAGAAGUGUAUUUCAGCAUUGGGGAAUAAAAAUAUCAAUAUUGGAGCCAUUUUUCACAUUCAAAAAGGUUUGACUUAUCUUACACCUUUUGGGCAAGACACCUUUUUGAAGGGUUGGUGGCCCUUUCCUCUUUUGGACACCUAGAAAGGUAUUUUUUUUCCCUCUUUUAGUACCAAGUCUUUUGUAGAUCUUUUUGUCCCCCUUCCCUUUUAGUAGGUAUUUGGGAUUUGUUUUAAAGACUAGCAAAGGCCUCACUUCUUUCCACUUGGCUUUUGGAUCAAACAACACUAUUGAAGAGCUUUUUUGCAACUAAACAUGAAGAUAGUCUAGAACAACAAGAACUUUCAAUAGAAGUUUGAAAUCCUAGCCUCACAUUGAACCUCCAACAAUCAACAACACCUUUAUCAAGCUUAAAAAACAUAACAAAAUACCAAAAACACGAGUUCAAACCACCUUCAAGCUUUGGUCCACACAACAACACCAACAAUGUUAAAGUUCUUUAAACCGCAACAACAAUACCAACAACAAUGUUCAAGCUCAACUUGGAUCUAGACUCAAGGGUGUUAGUGAAGACAAAACUAACACUUAGAAACAACUAAGAUAAAAAAAACACACCUAAAUUUAGACACAAAUCUCGUCCAAAACAACAACAACACCAAGAACACAAUUUCGGCCAAGAACACAAAAAAAUGGACAGAUUUGCUCUUUUUGAUUUUUCGGUUUUCUAACACUUUUUUUUUAUUUUCAAGUUGACAAAACCAAGAUUGAUCUUGUGGGAACAAUAUCAAUCCAUGCUUUGAUACCAAAUGAUACAAAUCAGUCCACCAAGAUGCCAAAACAGUCCAUAAAACGUGAGAAGAACAAGCAACACAAAGGGAUACAAGAUGACAAACACAAAAACACACGGAUUUGCAAAANNNNNNNNNNNNNNNNNNNNNNNNNNNNNNNNNNNNNNNNNNNNNNNNNGUUUCCAAGCAAAGAACAAUAUUGGUUUUUCCAAGCCCUAUACUAAGGAUAACUUUUCCAAGUCCUAACUAAGACUAUACUAAGGUGGUCUACUCUCAAGAGAGAGGAUUUCAAGUGUUUCAAUUUUUCAUCUUUCAUAAACUAACUAGCAAAUGAACUAAUAGAACCUAUUUAUAGUCUAACUUAUUACAUAACAAAAUGACCACAAUACCCUUAGUGAAAAGGGGUGGUCAUGGAGUGUUACUUAGACAAGGCUAAGUAACCAAAAUGUCCUUAAUGAAGGCCAAAAACCGUGAGUCCUCAAUCUUCAACUCUCCAAACAAUCUUUCACACGUGGGAUUGCUCUUUGGUGUACUCAAAUCGGCCCCUCCAUGUAGGAUCCCAUUUCCUUAAUGUGACCAAAGAUUGAUGCCCCACGUACUGACUUUGAAUGAUGUCAUUGAAAGAUAAGGUGGCCAUUUGAAUCGUAUCAAUUUUAGAAAGUUGUUAUUUUCAGAUGUAGUAGAUAUUUCGCAGAUUGGUUCAAACAUUGUCUUGUUGUUGUUGGGCUUUACUUUCAUAUUAUAAAUUAAGUUCAGACUUAUGAACAUGAUUCCAUUUCAGUAUGUAUUUUCUGCACUUCCUAUUUGUAUAUGAAUGGUGUGUAUGAUUAUGAGUUAGAAGGUCUCUCGGGCCUUCAUGGUUCGGGAUGUCCGUCAUGGCCAAGGCCCUGGUUCAAUUUGUAACAAAAAUGGUAUUCAUAGAGAGCUCAUAGUACCAUAUACACCAGAGCAGAAUGGUGUAGCCGAAUGAUAGAACUAGACGAUUGUUGAAAUGGGCAAAAGCAUGAACCCAGAGGUGUACUAAAGUGUUUCUGGGGUGAAGUUGUUGCUACUACUGUCUACGUGCUCAACAUUUCACCCACCAAGUUUAUUCUUAAUCCAACACCAUAUGAAGCAUGGAGAGGUAACAAGCCCAAGGUACGCCUCUUACGUGUCUUUGGAUGUAUAGCUUAUACGUUGGUGAAAUCAUAGGCUAGGCAAAAGCUUGAUUAAAAAUAAAAAAAAAUAUAUAUUUGUUGGAUAUAGCACACAAUUCAAAGAUUAUAAGUACGAGUCAAUUUUGUUGUACCAUUCCCUCGAUGCUUUUUUAGCCCAUAAAGUGCCUUCUUGAGUUUGUAAACUUUGCUCUCAUUGCCACUAAUAACAAAACCCUCAGGUUGGGAAACAUAAAAUUCCUCUUCCAAAUCCCCAUUUAAGAAUGCAGAUUUAACAUCAAAUUGAUAAAUGAGCCAGCUCAAUUUAGCAGCCAAAGAUAAGAUUAUUCUAACCCUUUCAAAAUGAGCAACAGGUGAAAAUGUUUCAUCGUAAGCAAUACCUUGAUGUUUUGCAUAUCCCUUUUCUAUGAGCCCGGAUUGGUGUCUCUGUAUGAUCCUGUCAGUAUGACGCUUGACUUUGAACACCCAUUUGAGUCCAAUAGGUUCCUUUCCAUCCGAUAGAUUCACUAACUCCCAUGUCUGGUUCUUCUCAAUUGCUAGCAUCUCUUCUAUCAAUGCAUUUAUCCAUACUUAAAUCUCUGUAGCUUCUUUGAAAUAAGUGGGUACUGCACCAUACAAAGAAAAAGAACUAUUCUUAUAAAUCUCCCUCAACAAUUUGAAUUUCAUUGGUGGAGUCUCGCUGGAAGAGUCUGUUGAAGAGGAACUGCUGCCACUUCUUUUGGGGGUUAAGUCAUGAUCACUUACUGGAGAAGAGGUUCUUGAUAGAGGAGUAGAAAGGGUGGUACUUGCUGGAGAAGAACUGGAUGUGUUCUCUGGAACGAAAACUGCUGCAAGUUCUUUCUCAAAAAUUUCAUCAGUAGGCGACAAAUUAAUAUUUGAAUUAACAUUCCCAGAAUCAAAGUUCUAGCUAGCAUCAUCAUUAAACAUAACAUUUCUACUUAUCAUAAUUUUGCCACUCACAAUCAUAUAAGUAGAAAUUAAACAUAACAUUUCUACUUAUCAUAACAUUUCUACGUUGUAUGUAAAGAAACAAGGUAGGAGUGAUUUUUUGGUAGUUUGUCUCUAUGUGGAUGACAUGAUUUAUAUGGGAUCAUGUGAAACUUUAGUUGCUGAAUUUAAAUCUUGCAUGAUGGAGUUUGAAAUGUCAGGUUUAGGUAUUUUGCAAUACUUUCUUGGUCUUCAAGUGAAAUAGGUGGGGAUAACGGAUAACUUUGAUAUGGUACAGAGGUUGCCAACUUUUUGUUUGACUUCCUUCUUGCCCAUCAUAUCAGAGUUAGUGAUUGACACGACCCAAACUAGGGCCUGGCCAUGACGGAUAUCCCAAACCAUGAAGGCUCGGGCAUCCUACUCUAUCAGACAAUCAUGCACAACAUUCACAUAAUAAAUGAGAUGGGAAAUAUAAUCUGAUAUGGAAACAUGGUCAUACUCUGGAUUCAGUUAAACAAUAAGGAAUGAAAUCUGAACUCAACUAAACAACAUCUAGAAUAGUCUGUGAAAUCUCUACUACAUGCAAAUCCGACAACUAUCUAAAAGCUGGGACAAAGGCCCCAGUAGACCAAAAUUGUAACCACUAAUAAUUGUCUAAAAAUAAACAGGCCUUCCAGAAUAUAGAAGGCUCACCAACUAGACACUACAACUCUAUCUAAUGAAAUCUACUACUUAUCUAGACCCCUAAACUGAGCCUCAGAACCUGAGAGGUAGGGGGAGGAGGGUCAAUAAAAUGUACUGGUACGCAAAGUAAUCACAAAUAAAACUUCUAUAUAAGUAAAAUAGUGGAGAGAAAGUUGUUAAAACAUCAUGCAUAUAACAGUUCUCAAAAUACAUGGGCAUUUUUCUAAAAAUCAUAAAUCAUUCUUGUCAAUGCAAUAUCUGUUCUUUGUAUUUCUUCUGAGUAAGGUGGCACUCCCCUACAAUGCUGAUAUUCCACGGUUUAUAUGGAAUCCUCCAUUGACUCAAUGGAGAAGCCUCCAAUCCAAGUAUGCCGUAAGGGUUGGAGUCUCUAAUUCUGAUACGUCACACUGUUCUAGGCUAGCGUAGUAUAAUAUACCCGGAUUGGCAAAUCACGAUUUUGGGCAAUGAGUUAUCUGAACUCGUGCCCUCUUUAGGAAAUCACCCAACAUCUCUUUAUGCCCUAUUUAAGCCUUUUCUGAACAUGCUUCAUUCUAAAAUUCUAAAACAUAAAGGUCUGAUUUCUGUGUUAGUCUAUGUCUGUUAUGGCAUUGUCUGAGUUGGUAUCUUCGUACCAAGACUUACAAGUUGUGAUUCUAAGCCAUAUAUGAUAACUUCAUUCUAAAAAAAUGUUCAGGCCACUUGAUCAUGCAUAUAGUGUAAGAAGAGUCAUAUCUCAAAUCAUAAAUCAAAAUCAUGCAAAGGAUUUCCAUUUAUUCAACAAUUUCAAUAAGUAGUGGCCAACUUCUCAAAAACAUUCUUGAAGUUUCUUUGUUUAUCCAUCUCAACAUUUAAAAUCAUUAAAGCAUUCCUCUCUCCCAUUCGUAAUCAUCAUGAAUUUCACAUAAGACAAAUAGUAUCUUGAAUCAUUCUGCAAACCAUGAAAUGUAAGGAUUCAUAACUUGUAAAUCAAAUAAGAAAGUAAUGGGAGAGGGAGAUUUUAUAUUUCAUGAUCUCGAUUCAAAAUUCAUGGUUUUCAAUGCAUACGUACAUAUAUUCAAUUCAAAUCAAUUUGGGGGAAGGCCUAAAGACCAAAACAAUAUUAUCGAAGCUUCUAAAACAUGAAUGUAUUCAUAAAUUCAAAAAUCCUUUUUCUUAAAAAUCAUGAUUUCUAUGCCCAUGAGAUUUUAGGAAAAACCCCGCAUACCUCAAUUAUGAAGAAUAAUGGAUGAUCCUUGAAGCCUACGGUUUGGGGAUUCCAAAUCUCUGAUCAAUUUCAAAAACCCAUGGUUGAAUCUUGAGUUUCUUGGAGGAGAAGUAUAUGAACUAGGGUUUUUGUUUUGAGGGAAAUUUUGAGAAUGUCAUAUAUUAUGCUUGUAGAGGUCUUAAUCUCCUGUUUGGACAUUUUAAGAGACUGGGAAAAAGUCCAAACUACCCUUGUUAACUUCUGAACGAAACAGGAAAAAUUUAAACUGGGAACCCGAUCUUACGGGCCACCGCAAUGCGCCACUAUCGCGGUGGCUCAAUGUAAAUUGAUGAAGGGGAAUUUUACCCACUCCAUGAGGCACCACCAUCGUAGAGUCUUACUGAAAAUUGACCAUCAUUAUUUACACCCUCUCCGAGAUGCGCCAAGGACAGGAAUGACGCUGUUUUAUGACUAGGACUUAAAUUAACCAUAACUUCUUCACCGAUCGUCUGUUUUGGACGAAUCUUAUGUCGACGGAAAACUUAUUCGAUCAUCUAUGUAAUGAGAAGUUGAAAUAUAAGGAAUACUAUAGGGAAAUAAGUAUAAAUCAUUCUAUAAGCCAUUGUUUGAUACUUUAGGGACAAAAUUUAGCUAGGAAAAACUUUGGGCGUUUCAAUAUCCCUCCUUGGGAACAUUCAUCCUCGAAUGUUGACGCGGGACACAGAUAAACAUAAUUUCAAGCAUACUAAGGCAUAGAAAGAAUAAGGCGAGGAUUGUACCUUCCAUUUAUUCAUCCACUAGAUCAAAAAGGUUUGGGUAUCUAGCUCUCAUGUCAACUUCUGAUUCCCAAGUUGCUUCUUCAAUUUUUUGGUUUCUCCACAACACUUUAACUGAGGCUAUCCCUUUGCUUCUCAAUCUUCUAUCUUGGUGAUCCAAAAUUUCUACAGGUUUUUCUUCAUAUAAUAAAGAGUCUGUCAGUUUGAUUUCUUCGACAGGCAACACUAAAGAAUGGUCUCCAAUACACUUCUUCAACAUAGAUAUAUGAAAUACCGGAUGAACAGAACCUAAACUGGCAGGCAAUUCUAACUCAUAUGCAACUCCACCUAUCCUUCUCAUAAUUUGGUAUAGCCCUAUAUAGCGAGGACUCAGCUUACCUUUCUUCCUGAAUCGUAUGACUUCCUUCAUGGGAGAAACCUUGAGAAAUACCCAAUCUCCAACCUCAAACUUAAGAUCUCUUCUCCUAACAUCAGCGUAGGAUUUAUGAUGACUCUAAGCUAUCUUAAGUUGUUCUAUAGUGACUUUCACAUCCUCCAUUUCCUGAUGAAUAAGAUCAGGCCCAAACAUCUAUAUCUCACCUACUUUAUACCAUCCUAUCAAAGACCUACAUCUUCUCCCAUAUAAUGCCUCAAAUGGUGCCAUCUUAAUACUAGAAUAAAAAUUGUGAUUAUAUGUGAACUCUAUCAAUGCCAAGUGCUCUACCCAACUACCUUUAAAAUCAAUCACGCAGGCCCUCAACAUAUCCUCAAGGUUCUGGAUGGUGCGCUUAGCUUGCCCGUCUAUCUGAGGUUGGAAAGUCAUGCUCAAAUUUACUUGGAUACCUAAACCCUUUUGAAACGAUCUCCAAAAUUAUGAAGAAAACUGUGUACCUCGGUCAGAUAUGAUGGACACAGGUGCCCCAUGCAAACGAACUAUUUCUGCAAUGAACAGCUUGGGAUAGUCCUCUCCCGAAUAAUUAGUCCAGGUAGAAAGUGAGCUAAUGAAGUCCAUAUUAAUCAUCUCCCACUUCCACAAAGGCAAAGCUAUCUCUUGAGAAGAACCGCCUAGCCUCAUAUGUUCCACUUUAACUUAUUGACAAUUCAAACACUUGGCAACAUAGUUAGCCAUAUCACGCUUCAUAUAAUUCCACCAAUAAAUGGUUUUCAAAUCAUGAUACAUCUUAGUAGAGCCAGGAUGAACAAUAUACCUCAACGUGUGAGCUUCGUCAAGGAUUCUAUUCCUCAGACCAUCUACAUCUGGCACACACAACCUACCCUGGUAUCUCAAAAUACCAUCACCUCCAAUUUCAAAUGACAUUACCUUUUGUUGACCCACAUUUUUCUUGAUCUGCAUCAAGAUGGCAUCUUUAACCUGCUUCUCUUAACUUUUCACAAAGGGAAGAUUUAGCUAUCUCAUGAACAACCACUACUCCAUCCUCAGAAUCCAAAAGUCACACUCCUAGAUUUGCAAGUCGGUGAAUAUCCUUCAUCAUCUCCCUCUUUUCUUUCCCCAUAUAAGAAAGACUGCCCAUAGAUAACCUGCUAAGGGCGUCAGCUACCAUAUUUGCCUUGCCCUGAUGAUAGUGCAGGCUCAUGUCAUAGUCUUUUAAAAGUUUCAACCAUCGCCUCUACCUGAUAUUCAAUUCUUUCUAUGAGAAAACAUACUAUAAACUCUUGUGGUCAGUAAAUAUAUCAACAUGUAUCCCAUACAAAUAGUGCCGCCAGAUCUUAAGUGCAAAAACCACAACCGUUAACUCUAAGUCAUGAGUAGGGUAGUUCCUCUCAUGCACCUUCAACUGACUAGAUGCAUAAGCCACUACCUUAUCAUACUGCAUAAGAACAUACCUAAGUCCCACUUGGGAUGCAUCACAGUAUACAACAAAACCUUUUGUACCCUUCAGAAGAGUCAAAAUAGGAGCAGUAGUCAACUUGUCUUUCAACUUCUCAAAACUAUUCACACAAGAGUCAGACCACAAAAACUUUACCUUUUUCUGAGUCAACUUAGUAAGUGGUGUAGCUAUGGAAGAAAAACUCUCUACAAAACUUCUAUAAUAACCCGCCAAACCCAAGAAGCUCUGAAUAUCUAUUGGAGUCGUGGGUCUAGGCCAUUUCCUCACUGCCUCAAUCUUUUGGGGAUCAACCUUAAUCCCUUCACUAGACACAAUAUGCCCCAAGAAAGUAAUAGCAUUUAACCAGAAUUCACACUUGGAGAACUUUGCAUAUAACAUAUGAUCUUUGAGAGUCUGGAGGAUAAUUCAGAGGUGAUUGGCAUAAUCCUCCUCACUUUUGGAAUAAAUCAAGAUAUCAUCAAUGAAAACUAUGACAAACAAGUCUAUAAAUUAUCAAAAGACCCUAUUCAUUAGGUCAUGAAGGCUGCAGGGACCCAUCUUUCUUUCACACAAAAAGUAUAGGUGUACACCAGGGAGAAACACUAGAACGGAUGAAACCUUUAUCUAGGAAGUCUUUCAACUCUUUCAUCUCUACUAGAGCUAUUCUAUAUGGCAGAAUAGAGAUGGGACGAGUGUCUGGCAACACAUCCAUGCCAAAAUCUAUCUCCCUAUUAGGUGGUAUUCCUGGGAAAUCAUCUGGAAAGAUUUCUGAGAAUUCAUUUACCACAGGGACAGAUCGAAGAGGAAGAUUUUUGGUGUUAGAAUCUUUAACCCGAAUAAAAUGAUACAACCAACCUUUAGAAAUGAGUUUACGGGCCCUGAGAUAAGAUAUGAAGUGCCCUCUAGGUGCUAAAGAGUACCCUUCCUAUUUUAUUGCUGGCUCAUUUGGAAAAGAAAAAGUAACCUUUUAGGUUCUACAGUCUAGAGUGGCAUAACACGAAUAGAGCCAGUCCAUCCCUAGGAUAGUAUAAAAAUCAACCAUAUCAAGCUCUAUGAGAUCUGCCACAGUAUCCUGGCUAAGAAUAGACACAACAUAAUUUUUAUAUAUCCUCUUAGCCACAACAAAAUCACCCACCAGAGUGGAAACAGAGAAAGAGUCAGUAAUGACUUUGGACUCUAACCUAAAACCAACAACCACAUAUGGGGUCACAUAAUACAAGGUAGACCCGAGAUCAAGUAACACAUAAACAUUACAGGAAAAGAUUUGUAAUGUAUAGGUGAUAAUAUCUGGUGAGAACUAUGCCUCCUCGUGGUUAGUCAAAGCGUACAGUCGGUUGCGACAGCUUUCGGUAGCUGAAGUGGCGCCCUUUUAAGGCGGUGGUGGUGCGGAAGAAUUUGCCGGAGAUUUUGCACCACCAACAUUCCUUAUAGCAGAUGGACAAUCCCUCUGUAAGUGACGCAGAUGAACACAUGAAUAACAUACUAAUGCACCCCACUGACACCUUCCUAGAUGUUUCCUACCAUAAGUCUCACACCAUAGAAAAGUAUGAUAUUGCGGAGCCACACUACCCUAUGACUGAGUAUCCUGAGUUCUGGAUUCCUGAUUAUUUUGGAAACUCUAAGAUCUUCUGUCAACUGGGGGUCUGGGCACUGAGGCGUUGCCUGCGGACUGUGCAUUACCCAAAUUCUUCUUCUUCUGCCAUUAAUUACCCCACUUACCACUUUUUGGCUUACUGUGAUGCUAAUCUGUUGUUCUAGCUCUCUUUGUCUGCCUGUCCUUCUCUCUAGACUCAGUGAUUUUCUUUUUCUUUUCUUCUACCUAUUGUAUAUAGACUGACAGCCUAGCAAAGUUAAUAUCCCUAUUUAGCAUCGCCCCUUGACAUUCAAGCACUAGAUCAUCUGAAAGGCUGGAUGUAAACUUCCUCAUCCGGGCUCUAAUAUUGCUGGUCAUCUCUGGUGAAUAUCGGGAUAAUUGGUUAAAAUUCAAAGUGUACUCCUGGACACUCAUAUUUCAUAAACUCCUCAGUUUUGGCCUCCCUCAACUCUAGAGAAAAGAACCGAUCAAGGAAGGCUUCCACAAAUUUACCCCAAGCUGUGGGCUCAGCACUCUUUUUCGCAUCCCCAAACUGUGGGCUCAGUAACAUCCUUGAGUUGAUAAUUUUCCAACUCCACCCCUUCUAUAUCCUCCACAUGUAUCACCUUAAAUGUAAAACCCCGACGUCUUCUUAGCUAAAUUCCAUCCAUGAAAAGUCUAAGCAUUAGCUUUUAGAAUGAUCUAAAUUAAUUUUCAUGUCGAAUUUCCUAGAUUUCAACCUUUCAUUAUGUAGAUAACUAAAUUAUCUUUCCAACAACAUAAGAUUCAUCCAAAAUGGACCCUCGGUGAAGAAGUUAUGACUAAUAAAAGUUUCAGUCAUAAACAUCAUCAUUUUGGUGUCUAACGCAUCGCGGAGAGGGUCAAAAUAACAAUCGUCAAAUUCUAGUGGAGCUCCACGAUAGUGGCGCAUUGCAGAGGCACUCAAUUUCCCACUCAUCAAAUUCCAGUAGACCACCGCGAUUCUGGUGCAUCGCGGUGGCACCCAAAAUCAGGUUUUUAAGUUUAAAUUUCCUGUUCCGUUUAGGAGUCAUUAAGGGUAAUUUUGACUUUUUCCUAGCCUUUAAAGCCAUCCAAAUAAAGGAUUUAGGGUAUGUUUGAGCAACUUAACCGUACUUUCAUCAAAACCAUCAAGAAUCCUCUCUAGAGCUUCAAACAAGAACUUCAAGAAACUCAAGAUUCAACCAUGGGUUUUCAAAAUCGAUUGAAGAUUCGAAAUCCCCGGAUCAUAGGCUUCAAUAAACACCCAUUUUUUCCUAUUUUAAGGUAUGCGGGAUUUUUCUAAAAAUCUCAUGGGCAUAGAAAUCAUGAUUUUAAGAAAGGGGUUUUCAGAUUUAUGAAUACAUUCAUAUUUUAGAAAUCUUGACGGUAUUAUUUUGGUCUUUUAACCUUCCCCAAAUUGAUUUGAAAUUAUAUAUACGUAUGCAUAUGUUUUAUGAUUUAUGAAUGAAUUGAGAGCAUGGUGCACAUGAAUCCCUCUCUUGGUAUGAUUUUCCCAAUUUUCUUAUGAGAAGGAUUGUUUUGAAUGUAUCUUGAAAAGCAUGAUAUGAAAUAUCUUGAUUAAUGCUACAAAUUGAUUUAUGGUUUUUAAUUCGAAAGAGAGGGUUGUGCAUAUUGAUAAAUGUUAAAAAUAUUCAUAUAAUGAAAGAGUGCACGAUUUUGCCAAAAGCACAUGACCACCAUAUGUUUGAACAAUCUCAACAUAGUUUUGACUUGUGUUCUCGAAACAUGAAAUCUUUUAUAUUGUUUGCAUGUUUGGGUGGUCUGAACUGUAUUUUAAUGAAAGAAUUAUGCAUGAUGCAUUAUGACUCAGAAAUAGGACUUGCAAGUCUUGGUGUGAUGACACCAAUUUAGAUUAUGCCAUGAUAAUUCAGAAUAAAUUUAAUGCAUAUUUGAAAUCAGACAUUUCAGAUGAUGAAACUAGAAACAUGCAUGAUUUAGAACAGGAUAAAAUUGGGCAUAAAGAGAGUUUAGGUGGUUUCCCAAAGAAGGCAUGAGUAUUAAACAACUCAUCGCCUAAAACCAUGAUUUGCCAAUCCAGGUUUAUUUAUUACGCUGACCUAGAGCCCUGUGGCUUAUCAGAUUCAGGAACUCCUUGUGGCACACUUGGGUUGGGGGCUUCCCCACCGAGUAAAUGCCAGAUUCCAUACCGCUCGUGGAAUAUCAGAAUUGUAGGGGAGUGCCAUCUAACUUAGAAGUAAUAUACAUAUCAGAACUUGCAUUGACAGGCAGGUUACAUGUUUUUCAGAAAUGCGCCAAUGUGUUUCGAAAGCUACUUGAUGUAUAAUGUUUUGACAAAGUUAUUUCCCAAACUAUUUUAUUUAUAUAUAAGCUUUAUUUUGGAUUUAUUUGUGUACCAGUACAUCUGUAUUAACCCCCCCUCCUCUCUCCAAGUUUUGAGGCUCAGUCUAGGGGUCCAAAAAGGCAGUAGAUUCGUCAGACAGAGUUACAGUGAUUAGUAGAUGAGCCUUCACUAUUCCAGAAGGCCCGUCUUUCAGAUUAUGUCCCUUAUUAUCAUUUUGGUCUAUUGGGGGCCUUUUCCUAAUUUUCUGACAGUUGUUAGAUUUUCCUGUAGUAGAGAUUUUGCAGACUGAGUCAGAUAUUAUUAGAUGUAGUUGAUUUUCAAUUUUCAUACUUAUGCUGAAUUCAGAAUUGACUAUGUUUUCGUAGCAGAUUAUGUUUUCGCAUCUUUUUUAUUUAUAUGAAUAUGUGCAUGCUUACCAGACAGAAAGGGACAUUUGGGGGCCUCAGGGUUUGGGAUGUCCAUCAUGGCCAGGCCUUUAUUCGGGUCGUGAAACACUUGGUAUUAAAGCACGGUUCAUGGUCCCAGCGUAUCUAUGAAAUCACAUCGGGUAGAGUCUUGUUUAUGAGUGUGUAGCAUGCCAUACGUAUAAGCAAGAGGCUACUAGGUGUUUAGGAAUGUUUCUCUUCUUUGUCAUUUAGUUCGUGCUUCAGAUUCUAAUCUAUCCGCAAAUCAAUGAUAUCUUGAUUUUUAGAAAAACCAGUUAUGCCUCCCCGUUGCACCAACGUUAAUGCUUAAGAGGAUGAAGACUGUCCUACUCAUGGAAUGAGGAUACAUAAUAGAGCUCAUAAUCUAAAAACUGUCCCUACUCCGGGAGUCCCUCCAGUCCCAACCAGUCUACCUAGGGCUCCUUGGACUAAUGUUACCCAUCCCCCGACUACUAAGAGGGAUAUUUUGAAUGCAGAAUUUAGAAAAUCUAUUCAUAUACUGAUACAGUUGGUGGAUAAUCAGGCCCAACGAUCAGAAGAUGUUGGGUCUGCACCUGUUAUAUCUGAAGCUACUAGGGUGGGUCUGACCCACCUAAGUUUACUGGCACUAAGGUAGAAGAGGAUCCGCAAGAGUUCAUAGACAAAAUGGAGAAGAUUUCUAGAGUGAUGCAUGUGGAUCAGGUGAAAGGUGUUGAGCUAGCGGUAUACCAGCUAAAUUAUGUAGCGAAUCAAUGGUAUAAUGAGUUGGAAAAGGUGAAGGGUGAUAGUGCUGAGCCCACAGUGUGGGACGAGUUUAUGGAAUCUUUUCUUGACUGGUUCUUUUCUCUAGAAUUGAGGGAAGCCAAAGUGGAGGAGUUUAUAAACCUUAAGCAGGGUAAUAUGAGUGUUCAGGAGUAUACUUUAAAGUUUAAUCAGUUAGCCCGUUAUGCUCCUGAGAUGAUGAGCAGUAUGAGGGCCCAAAUGAGGAAGUUUGCUUUUAGCCUUUCAGAUGAUCUGGUGCUUGAAUGUCAAGGGGCGAUGCUAAAUAGGGAAUUAGAAUUUACUAGGCUGACAGUCCAUAUGCAGCAGGUUGAGAAGAAGAAGAAGAACAUAGCUGAGUCCAGAGAAAAGGACACGCAGGCGAAGAGAGCCAAAUAAGUAGAUCAGAACCCCAGUCAGCAGCACGGUGGUAAUUGGGGUAACAAAUGGCAAAAGAAGAAGUUUUGGAGCAAGGCAUAGUCUACAGCUAGUGCCCCAGCGUCCAGACCUCCAGUUGAUAGACGGUCUCAAAGUUUUUAGGCCAGCCAGGGACCCAGAGCUCAGGAUACUCAGUCGUAAGAUAAUGUGGCUUAGCAAUACCAUUCUUAUCUAUGAUGUGAGACUUGUGGUAGGCAUCAUCCGGGAAAGUGUCAGUUGGGCUCGUCAGUGUGUUAUUCAUACGGUCAAACGGGCCACUUCCAGAGAGAAUGUCCCUCUGAUAGAAGAAAUGUUGGUGGAGCUAAGUCUCAGGAAAACUCUUCUACACCACCACUACCUUAAAAGGGCACCAAUUCAGCUGUCGGGAGCGGUUGCAACCGGCUGUAUGCUCUGACUAAUCUCCAAGAGGCGGAAGCCUCACCAGACGUAGUCACUGGUAGGUUAUAAAUCUUUUCUCGUAAGGUAUAUGUAUUGCUUGAUCUCGGGUCUACCUUAUCUUAUGUGACCCCGUAUGUGGCUGUUGGUUUUGGGUUUGAACCCGAUAUGAUUGCUGAACCUUUCUCUAUUUCCACUUCGGUGGAAGAUUUGAUUGUGGCUAGAAGGGUGUACAAAAAUUGUGUUGUGUCUAUUCUUAGUAGGGAUACUAUAGAAGACCUCAUAGAACUUGAUAUGGUUGCCUUUGAUGCUAUCCUAGGGAUGGACUAGCUCCAUCGGUGUUAUGCCACACUAGAAUGUAGGACUCAAAAGGUUACCUUUUUUUUUUCGAAUGUGCCAGCAAUAAAGUGGGAGGGGCUUUCCUUAGCACCUAGAGGGCACUUCAUAUCUUAUCUCAGAGCCCGUAAACUUAUUUCCAAGGGUUUCUUCUACCAUCUUAUUCGGGUUAAAGAUUCUAACGUCGAAAGUCUCCCCCUUCAGUCUGUCCCAGUAGUAAAUGAAUUCCCAAAAGUUUUCUAGAUGAUCUCCCAGGAAUUCCACCUGAUAGGGAGAUAUAUUUUGGCAUUGAUGUGUUGUCAAAUACCUGUCCUAUUUCUAUUCUGCCAUAAAGAAUGGCUCUUAUAGAGUUAAAAGAGUUGAAAGAAUAGCUAGCAUUUUAUCAGACCUAUUAUUUCUCCUUGGGGUGCACCUGUACUCUUCGUGAGAAAGAAAAAUGGUUCCCUGCGUAUGUGCAUAGACUACCGCCAGUUGAAUAAGGUCACAGUAAAAAAUAAAUAUCCUCUUCCUAGAAUAGAUGACCUUUUAAAAUAGCUUCAGGGUGCUAAGUGUUUUUCAAAAAUAGAUCUUCAUUCGGGAUAGCAUCAGUUGAAAGUUAGGGAGUCAGACAUUCCUAAAAUAGACUUUCAAACCAGAUAUGGUCAUUAUGAAUUCUUAGUCAUGUUCUUAGAGUUCACCAAUGCCCCUUCAACUUUCAUGGACCUAAUGAAUAGGGUCUUCCGUCAGUUCCUAGACCUGUUUGUCAUAGUUUUUAUUGAUGACAUCUUGGUUUACUCUAAAAGUGAGGAGGACCAUGCCAAUCACCUCCGCACUGUUGUUCAGACCCUCAAAGAUCAUAAGUUGUAUGGAAAAUUCUCCAAAUGUGAAUUCUGGCUGAAUUUUAUUUCUUUCUUGGGGAACAUUGUGUCUAGUGAAGGGAUUAAGUUGAUCCCUAAAAGAUUGAGGCAAUAAAGAAAUAUCCCAGACCCACGAAUCCAACCGACAUUCAAAGUUUCUUGGGUUUGGCAGGGUAUUACUGGAGGUUUGCAGAGAGUUUCUCUUCUAUAGCUGCUCCACUUAGUAAGUUGACUCAGAAAAAGGUGAAGUUUUUAUGGUCCGACUCUUGUGAGAAUAGUUUUGAGAAGUUGAAAGACAAGUUGACUACCACUCCUGUUUUGACUCUUCCAAAAGGUAUAGAGGGUUUUUUUGUGUAUUGUGAUGUGUCCCGUAUGGGACUUGGUUUGUACUUAUGCAGUAUGGAAAGGUGGUGGCUUAUGCAUCUAGGCAGUUAAGCAUGAGCGGAACUACCCCAUUCAUGAUUUGGAAUUAGCAGUUGUGGUGUUUGUGCUUAGAAUUUGGAGGCAUUAUCUUUAUAGGGUGCAUGCUGAUAUUUUCACUAACCAUAAGAGUUUGCAUUAUGUUUUCUCGCAGAAAGAACUAAAUCUCAGGCAAAGGCAUUGGAUGGAGCUUUUGAGAAACUAUUACAUGAGCCUUCACUAUCAUCUGGUAAGGCAAAUAUGGUAGCUGAUGCCCUAAGCUGAUUGUUAAUAGGUAGUCUUUCUUAUGUUGGGUAAGGGAAGAGAGAGAUGGUGAAAGAUAUUCACUGAAUUAUAAAUCUAGGAGUGCGACUCUUGGAUUCCGAAGAUGGGGGAAUAGAUGUUCAUGCGAUAACUACAUUUUCCCUUUGUACGAAAGUUAAAAAGAAGAAGGUUGAAGAUCCCAUCUUGAUGCAAAUUAAGAAUGAUGUGGGUCAGCAGAAGGUGAUGUUAUUUGAGAUCAGUGGUGAUGGUAUUUUGAGAUACCAGGGUAGAUUAUGUGUACCAGAUGUGGAUGAUUUGCAGAAUAGAAUCCUUGACGGAGCUCACACUUUAAGGUAUAUUGUUCACCAAGUCUCUACUAAGAUGUACCAGGAUCUGAAAUCUUUGUAUUGGUGGAAUAAUAUGAAGCGUGAUGUGUCUAACUUUGUUUCCAAGUGUUUGAAUUGUCAACAAGUUAAAGUAGAACACAUGAGGCCAGGUGGUUCUUCCCAAGAGAUAGCUUUGCCCUUGUGGAAGUGGGAGAUAAUUAAUAUGGACUUCAUUACAGGGCUCCCAAAGUCCUGAAACCAGUAUGAUUCUAUUUGGGUGAUUGUAGAUAGACUGACCAAGUCAGCCCAUUUUUUGCCUGUCAUGACUAACUAUUCAGGAGAGUAUUAUGCCAAGCUGUUCAUUUCAGAAAUAGUUCAUUUGCACGGUGCGCCUGUGUCCAUCAUAUCCAAUCGAGGUACAUAGUUAUCUUCUAAGUUUUGGAGAUCUUUCCAGAAAGGACUAGGUACCCAAGUGAACCUAAGCACUGCUUUUUACCCUCAGACCAAUGGGCAGGCCGAAUGCACCAUUCAGACCCUUGAGGACAUGUUUAGGGCCUGUGUGAUUGAUUUUAAAAAUAGUUGGGUAGAGCACUUGCCAUUGAUAGAGUUUGCGUAUAAUAACAGUUUCCAUUCUAGUAUUAAGAUGGCACCAUUUGAGGCACUGUAUGGGAGAAGAUGUAGGUCUCCUAUAGGAUGGUAUGAAGUAGGUGAGAUGCAAAUGUUUGGGCCCUAUCUUGUUCAUCAGGCAAUGCAGGAUAUGAAAGUCAUCAGAGAACGACUUAAGAUGGCUCAGAGUCAUCAAAAAUCUUAUGCCGAUGUUAGGAGAAGAGAUUUAAAGUUUGAGGUCGGUGAUUGGGUAUUUCUAAAACCUUCUCCUAUGAAGGGAGUCAUGCGAUUCAGGAAGAAAGGUAAAUUAAGUCCUCGCUAUAUAGGACCAUAUCAGAUUUUAAGGAGAAUAGGUGGUGUUGUGUAUGAGUUAGAAUUGCCUUCCAGUUUGGGUUCUGCCCAUCUGGUAUUUCACAUAUCCACGUUGAAGAAAUGCAUUGGAGACCAUUCUUUGGUGUUUCCUGUCGAAGAGAUCAAGGUGAAAGCCUCCUUAUCAUAUGAAGAGGAAACCAUUGCAAUCCUAGAUCGUCAGGUCCAGAAGUUGAGAAGUAAAGAAAUAGUUUCAAUUAAGGUGUUGUGGAGAAAUCAGAAAGUUGAAGAAGCCACUUGGGAAUUAGAGGAUGACAUGAGAGCAAGAUACCCAAGCCUUUUUGACCCAGUAGAUGACGGAGUUAAAGGUACAACCCUUACCUUAAUCUUUCUAUGCUUUAGUAUGCUUGGAAUCGUGCUUGUCUAUUUUCCGCAUGAUCAUUCGAGGACGAAUAAUUCCAAUAGGGGGAUAUUGUAGCACCCCGACGUCUUCUUCGCUAAAUUCCGUCCAUGAAAAGUCAAAGCAUUAGCUUUUAGAAUGAUCUAAAUUAAUUUUCAUGUGGAAUUUCCUAAAUUUCAACCUUUCAUUAUGUAGAUGACUAAAUUAGCUUUCCAACGAUAUAAGAUAAAUCCAAAACGGACCCUCGGUGAAAAAGUUAUGAAUAAUUUAAAGUUCCAGUCAUAAACAUCGUCAUUUUGGUGUCUAGCGCAUCGCGGAGAGGGUCAAAUUGACAAUCAUCAAAUUCCAGUGGGGCUCCUCGAUGGUGGAGCAUCGCGGAGGCACUCAAUUUCCCACUCGUCUAAUUCCAAUGGAUCACCGCGAUUGUGGCGCAUCGUGGUGGCACCCGAAAUCAGGUUUUUAAGUUCAAAUUUCCAGUUCCGUUUAGGAGUCAUUAAGGAUAAUUUUGAAUUUUCCCUAACCUUUAAAACCAUCCAAACAAAGGAUUUAGGGUAUGUUUGAGCAACUUAACCCUACUUUCAUCAAAAUCAUCAAGAAUUCUCUCUAGAGCUUCAAACAAGAACUUUAAGAAACUUAAGAUUCAACCGUGGGUUUUCAAAAUAGAUUGAAGAUUCGAAAUCCUCGGAUCAUAGGAUUCAAGAGACAACCAUUGUUUUCCUAUUUUGAGGUAUGCGGGGUUUUUCUAAAAAUCUCAUGGGCAUAGAAAUCAUGAUUUUAAGAAAGUUUUCAGAUUUAUGAAUACAUUCAUAUUUUAGAAAUCUUGAAGGUAUUGUUUUGGUCUUUUGACCUUCCCCAAAUUGAUUUGAAAUUAUAUAUACGUAUACAUAUGUUUUAUGAUUUAUGAAUGAAUUGAGAGCAUGACGCACCUUAAACCCUCUCUUGGUAUGAUUUUUUUAAUUUUCUUACGAUAUGGAUUAUUUUGAAUGUAUCUUGAAAAUCAUGAUAUGAAAUAUCUUGAUUAAUGCUGCAAAUUGAUUUAUGAUUUUGAAUUUGAAAGAAAGAGUUGUGUAUAUUGAUAAAUGUUGAAAAUAUUCAUAUAAUGAAAGAGUGCAUGAUUUUGCCAAAAGCACAUGACCACCAUAUGUUUGAACAAUCUCAGCAUAGUUUUGACUUGUGUUCUCGGAACAUGAAAUCUUUUAUAUUGUUUGCAUGUUUGGGUGGUCUGAACUGUAUUUUAAUGAAAGAAUUAUGCAUGAUUCAUUAUGGCUUAGAAAUAGGACUUGCAAGUCUUGGUGUGAUGACACCAAUUCAGAUUUUGCCAUGAUAAUUCAAAACAGAUUUAAUAUAUGUUUGAAAUUAGACUUUUUAGAUGUUGAAACUAGAAACAUGCAUGAUUUAGAACAGGAUAAAAUUGGGCAUAAAGAGAGUUUAGGUGGUUCCCCAAAGAAGGCGUGAGUAUUAAACAACUCAUCGCCCAAAACUGUGAUUUUCCAAUCUGGGUUUAUUUAUUACACUGGCCUAGAGCCCUGUGGCGUAUCAGAUUCAGGAACUCCAACCCUUGCAGCACACAUGGGUUGGGGGAUUCCCCGCUGAGUCAAUGACGGAUUCCAUACCACCCGUGGAAUAUCAGAUUGUAAAGGAGUGCCACCUAACUCAGAAGUAAUAUACAGAUCAGAACUUGCAUUGACAGGCAGGUUACAUGUUUUUCAGAAAUGCGCCAAUGUGUUUCAAAAGCCACUUAAUGUAUAAUGUUUUGACAAAGUUGUUUCCCAAACUAUUUUAUUUACAUAUAAGCUUUAUGUUGGAUUUCUUUGCGUACCAGUACAUCUGUAUUGACCCCCCCUCCCUCCCUCCAGGUUUUGAGGCUCAGUCUAGGGAUCCAGAAAGUUAGUAGAUUCGUCAGACAGAGUUGCAGUGAUUAGUUGGUGAGCCUUCUCUAUUCCAGAAGGCCCGUAUUUCAGAUUAUGUCCCUUAUUAUUGUUUUGGUCUAUUGGGGGCCUUGUCCCAGUUUUCAAAUAGUUGUCAGAUUUUCCUGUAGUAGAGAUUUCGCAGACUGAGUCAGAUGUUAUUAAAUGUAGUUGAUUUUCAAUUUUCACACUUAUGCUGAAUUCAGAAUUGACCAUGUUUCAGUAGCAGAUUAUGUUUCCGCAUCUUCUUUAUUUAUAUAAAUGUGUGCAUGCUAAACAGAUAGAGAGGGACGUUCUGGGCCCUCAGGGUUCGGGAUGUCCAUCACGGCCAAGCCCUAGUUCGAGUCAUGACAUUAAAGAUCUUCUCUAUCUCAUCCACAAACUCCUGUUGAUCUUCUUCUACCUUAGUGCCAGUAAACUUGGGCGGGUUCAUUCUCAUGAACUGACCCACCCUAGUAGCCUCAGAUAUAACAAAUGCAGACCCAACAUCUUUCGAUUGUUGAGCCUGAUUGACCACCAACUGUGUCAAUAUAUGAAUUGAGUGUCUCAAUUCUGCAUUAGAAAUAUCUCUCUGAGAAGUCGGGGGACUGUUAACAUUGGUCCGUAGAGAUCGAGAUGGACUGGUCGGGACUGGAGAUACUCCCGGAGUAGGAAUAGGUUCUGGGGCGAGAGCUCUAUUACGGGUCUACAGCCUGUGAGUGGGACGGACCUCAUCUAUCUGUGCAUUCUGAUAGAUAGUGCGACGAAGAGGUAUGAUCGAUUUUUCUGAAAAGCAAGAGAGCAUUGAUUAGAGGCAGAUUAGACUCCAAAGCAUGAACUAGAUCACAAAGAGGGGAAAUAUUCCUAAACGUAUAGUAGCCCCUUUCUUAUAAGUAUGGCUCGCUACACACCCAUAAACAAAACUCUAACCGACGCGAUUUCGCAGACACCUUGGGACCAUGAACCAUGCUAGGAUACCAAGUUUGUCACGACCCGAACUAGGGCCUGGCCGUGAUGGACAUCCCGAACCAUGAAGGCCCGGGCGUCCCACUCUAUCUGGUAAUCAUGCUCAACAUUCACAUAAUAAAAGGAGAUUCAAAAAUAUAAUCUGAUACGGAAACAUGGUCAUACUCUAGAUUCAGUUAAACAAUAAGGAAUGAAAUCCGAACCCAACUAAACAACAUCUGGAACAAUGUACGAAAUCUAUACUACAUUAAUAUCUGAAACCUAUCAGAAAGCUGGGACAAGGCCCCCAGUAGACCAAAAUCGUAACCACUAAUAAUUGUCUGAAAAUAAACAGGCCUUCCAGAAUAUAGAAGGCUCAUCAACUAGACACUGCAACUCUGUCUAAUGAAACCUACUACUUAUCUGGACCCCUAGACUGAGCCUCAGAACCUAAGAGGUAGGGGGAGGGGGGUCAACGCAAUGUACUGGUAUGAAAAUUAAUCCAAAAUAAAACUUCUAUAUAAGUAAAAUAGUAGAGAGAAAGUUACUAAAACAUCGCGCAUAAACAGUUCUGAAAACACAUGGGCAUUUUUAUAAAAAUCAUAAAUCAUUCUUGUCAAUGCAAUGUCUAUUCUUUGUAUUACUUCUAAGUUAGGUGGCACUCCCCUACAACUCUGAUAUUCCAUGGGCUAUAUGGAAUUCACCAUUGACUCGGCGGGGAAUCCCCCAACCCAAGUAUGCCGCAAGGGUUGGAGUCUCUGGUUCUAAUACACCACAAGACCCUAGGCCAGCGUAAUAUAAUAUACCCGGAUCGGCAAAUCACGGUUUUGGGCAAUGAGUUAUCUAAACUACUUUCCUCUUCAGGAAACCACCCAACAUCUCUUUAUGCCCUAUUUUAGCCGUUUCUGAACAUACAUCAUUCUAAAAUUCUAAAACAUAAAAGCCUGAUUUCUGUAUUAGUCUGUGUCUGUUAUGGCAUUUUCUGAGUUGGUAUCAUCAUACCAAAACUUGUAAGUCGUUAUUCUAAGUCAUAUAUGAUUAUUUUAUUCUAAAACAAUGUUCAGGCCACUUGAUCGUGCAUAUAGUGUAAGAAGGGUCAUAUCUCAAAUCAUAAGUCAAAAUCAUGCAAAGGAUUUCCAUUCAUUCAACAAUUUCAAUAAGUAGUGGCCAACUUCUCAAAAACAUUCUUGAAGUUUCUUUGUUUAUCCAUCUCAACAUUUAAAAUCAUUAAAGCAUUCCUCUCUCCCAUUCUUAAUCAUCAUGAAUUUCACAUAAGACAAAUAGUAUCUUGAAUCAUUCUGCAAACCAUGAAAUGUAAGGAUUCAUAACUUGUAAAUCAAAUAAUAAAGUAAUGGGAGAGGGAGAUUUUAUAUUUCAUGCUCUCGAUUCACAAUUCACGAUUUUCAAUGUAUACGUACAUAUAUUCAAUUCAAAUCAAUUUGGGGAAAGGCCUAAAGACCAAAACAAUAUUAUCGAAGCUUCUAAAACAUGAAUGUAUUCAUAAAUUCAAAAACCCCUUUUCUUAAAAAUCAUGAUUUCUAUACCCAUGAGAUUUUAGAAAAAAUCCCGCGUACCUCUAUUAUGAAGAAUAAUGGUUGAUCCUUGAAGCCUACGGUUUGGGGAUUCCAAAUCUCCGAUCAAUUUCGAAAACCCACGAUUGAAUCUUGAGUUUCUUGGAGGAGAAGUAUAUGAACUAGGGUUUUUGUUUUGAGUGAAAUCUUGAGAAUGUUGUAUAUUAUGCUUAUAGAGGUCUUAAUCUUCUGUUUGGACAUUUUAAGAGACUGGGAAAAAGUUCAAACUACCCUUGUUAACUUCUGAACGAAAUAGGAAAAAUUUAAACUGGGAACCCAAUCUUAUGGGCCACCACGACGUGCCACUAUAGCGGUGGCUCACUAUAAAUUGACGAAUGGGAAUUUGGUCCACUCCAUGAUGCACCACCAUCACGGAGUCUCACUAGAAAUUGACCAUCGUCAUUUACACCCUCUCCACGAUGCACCAAGGACAGGAAUGAUGGUGUUUUACGACUAGGACUUAAAUUAACCAUAACUCCUUCGUCGAGUGUCCGUUUUGGACGAAUCUUAUGUCGACGGAAAACUUAUUCGAUCAUCCACGUAAUGAAAAGUUGAAAUCUAAAGAAUACCAUAGGGAAAUAAGUAUAAAUAAUUCUAGAAGUCAAUGCUUGAUACUUUAAGGACAAAAAUUUAGCUUAGGAAAAACUACGGGGCGUUACAGCGAUCCCAUGUAUGUUUCAAAUAGAGAUGUACCGAUGAGUUAUUUGUUUUCUCCUUCUCUUAGACUUCUUCAUUUUAUUUUCCUCAUUCCAUGAUUGUUCCAAAGUAACUUAUCCUUCCCUUGCUUUCAAUGUUCUCUUGAUCUGAUGUAUAAAAUGUGCAUAAAACUUUAUCAGAUGGAACAAGAAAGAAUACAAGAAACUGAAGAAAGAAACAUAUAUUGUCAUACAAAUAUUGAUCAAUGUCAUCCCACAUUGUUUUCACAAAACAUUAUCCGACUACACUAAUUUACACACACACAGGCCCUGUUGAUUUUCCUAAUUACCUUAAGCUUAGUGAGAUGAAAGUUCACAAACAGUUCAUACUAACAAUAAGAGUAGAAACAAAAGAAUAGAGAAGAACAUGCGGGAUAUUAUUCGGUCCCAAGGCCUGAAGCUCUUCCCCUCCCAAAUCUUCAAUGUAUUGUUUAAUCUUCUUAGCAGAAACUUCAAGUUGAGGGCUCUCUUCAAGUUUGAUGAUUUUCAACGAAAAAAUAUCGCUGAAACUAGGCGGAAUCUCCUCAAGCAUAUGACAUCCCCUCAGUCCUAAUUUCUCAAGUAUGGGAAAGGUAUUCUCUUCUACUUUCCAUGUAGCAAGAAAAUUUGAGAUUCUCAAAGGUGUCUUCCUCCCCCAUGUUCCAUUCAUCCCCCUGCAUGAUUGUUCUCAUAAGGAACAACACUUCAAGGUUGGGCAGUCUCACUAUUGUUGAUAGUGAAUUGGACGUCAGAGGAAAGUUAUACAACCACAAUUUUUUCAAAUUCAAAGGCAAGUUAAAAUCGCACGACCAAUUUUUCACUACAGAGGGCCCACUGUCAUUUGUGUUUGAACUUUCAAAAUCUUCUCUGAGGAAAUCUAGUUUAGUUAGGAAAUCCAAUUUUGGGAACCAAUAUUGCUUUGUUGAAUAAUCCCAUGAUUCCUUGAGAAUAAAUACAAGCUCUUGAAGAUUGGGGAAUCUUAUGAAAAUAUCCUCUAAAUCUUUGGAAUAGGAAAGCACGAGGUUCUCUAAUACUCUCAAGUUCUCAAACUUUGAGUCCUUUGUUCUCAGUAUCGGUACAUUUGUAUCCAAAUCAAAUAAAGAACAAGCAAUCAUGGAUAGCAGUCGCAACUUUACAAGAUCCCAAAUACUCGGUAAUAGGACUAAGGUUGAUCCUUUGUUUUCAACCAUCAAGGUUUCUAGAUUCCAGAGAUUUGAGAACGAUGAAGGCAGAGAUCUAACUUCUGUCCCAAUGCUUAAGCACCUUAAAUAAUUCAACAUGCCCAUUUCAUUCAGCAAAGAAUCUUUCACCAUCAUAAAAGAGCUUCCCAGGAUCAACACGCUAAGAAGCCUCAAGUCUCUUAGGUGACAUGCAUCAGAAAGACGAUCUUCCAUAUUGUCUCCAGUUAUCUCCAAAGAAUAGAGGUGUUUACCAAAAUGCCCUUUCAUUUUUGAACUAAACAGGAUGAAAUUGUUAUCCUCAAAGUGCUCCUUAUCAUAAAAAAUGUCCACAAUACGUGGCAUCAAAUCUGAAGAAGAAGAUGGAUCACUUGAACUUAUCUGACCAAACAACUUUUCCUCUCUUGCUUUUAUCAAACAAAAGUCAAGCACAAGAUCAUGUAGUUGGAAAGUAGGGUAACCACCUAUCUCAUUGAAAGCAAUUACCAAACUACAGGAAAUUAAAUUAUCCAAAUAAAUUUCCAUCACUUCUUUCACACUCUUCAUCCCUAUCUGUUCAACAAGCCCUUCAGCACGCCAAUACAUUUUCAACAUAUCUCUAUCCAUUGCACUGUCCUUCAGAUAACUUGCAAGGUAGAGAAAGCAUGUCUUUAAGUGAUGAGGCAAAUGGUCAUAACUUAAUUCUAUAACCUUCAUCACAUCCACUUCACUGCUGAAAAUGAAGGAAUUCAAAUUAUUUUGAACUUCAAGCCACACAACCCUUUUAUUUUCCAAACCUACAAUGACACCAGCAAUCAGAUCAACAACCAAAGGAAGCCCUUUACAAUUUUGGGCUAUUUCUUUACCAACAUCCAAUAGUUCAUCGGGGAAACUCUCUUUUCCAAAUUCCCUUUUCUCUAAUAACUCCUAACUUGCUUCUGGUCUUAGCAUUCGAAGGUUAAGAGGAUCUGUGUUGCACUUUCCAUGAAAAGCCACUUCUUUUUGCCGAGUCAUCAUAAUAAUUCUACUUCCUUUCUCAACUUAAGGGAAAGGUCUUGUUAAAUCAUCCCAUGUAGUAGUAUCCCACACGUCAUCCAGCACAAUUAGGUACUUUUUUCCAUACAAUUGUUUCCGCAGCUUAUCAGCAACAUUAAUUUCCUUGCUGAACUUCAAAUCUGAGCUCUUCACUUGAUUAAAAAGUUUCACCAGCAACUUUUUCUCGUCAUAUUCUUGGUCGACUGUGCACCAUGCACAAAGGUCGAAAUAACUACAAACUGAUUCAUCAUUGUAUACUUUGUACGCCAAAGUAGUUUUGCCCGAACCCGGCAUACCCGUGAUUGAGAUGACAUCUAGAUCUUUCGGUCCACUAAUGAGCUUAAUAAUCAACCAUUCUGUCUCCUCCUUAAGACCUACAAUUAUUUUACCAGUCGUCAAUGACUUGCUUUCAACUAGCUUCUUGGGAGAGUUGACAACAACGCGGCUCCUAUUCUUGGGAAUCUUCUCAAGUAAAUUGGAGACAUCUUCUUUGAUAAGCCUGAUCCUUUUUAUGGUGAUGGGGAGUGAGAAAAUAAGAUUUAAGAGACCAUUAUCUCUUACAAUAAUUGAAUCGAUGACGUCUUUUGCCUCAUAUGCCAUGUCUAAAACACGUGACAAGAGAUCUUUAAUCAAUUCUUGCUCAAUGUUUAUGAAGGAAGAUCUUAUGAAUUCUAGGUCUUCUUUCACCUGUCCAGUUUCUUCCUUUAUCAAUACAAUUGAAUAAGAAUUGGAAUCUAGCAAAUCAUUUAGGUGUCUGUGCAGUAGAUGCAUAAAGAGGGGCCCAUCACUCGUGGGAAAGGAAGAUUGAGAUGAGUCCGGGCCCAUCACUAGAUAUGUCAGCAUUAAUCACACAUAAAAUGUUUUAACAUUAAAUCAUAAACAUAAUAUCCCAAAACUUUGAAUUUUCAAAAAAGGAAUUUGUAUGAUUAUGGAAAAUCACGUCCUAUAUGUUCAAGAAAAUCAGAACCUAUCACUACAAAUACGUUUAUUUUUUUAUGCAUUGUAUGUUAUUUUAACUUCCCUCACGCAUGACGUUUUUUCGUUCCUUCAAACCUUAUAUGAUAUAUGGAACUUAAUGGCCUGAAAAAUCCAGCUUCUAGAUGCAUAUGGUCCUUAUUAAGAGGAAGUGAUACUUAUUCGGCAUGAUUGAUUGUGCAAUAUAUUGUGCAGAUUUCUCUCUCUUAUUUGUGCCUUAUUAAAUGUACAUAAUAUUCUAGCUGAUGCUUAGGGAUUUAGAUAUCUAGUUACCUUAGUUGGCCUUCUCCUUACUUGUAUUUAUAUCUCUGUAACCUUUGGAUAAUAUACGUCUAAUAUACUACUACUUCUUCAUCUCUCAAACCUUUAUGGUAUCAGAGCCUUUCUAAACUCCAACGGGUCUUCUCAUCUCUUUCAAGUUUUCCUAUCAGUUCUAUGGCAUCCAUGGUGAAUUUGAUGUGCCUCAAGUUAUAAAAACUUAUUCCAGGAGGCCAAAAUAAAUAAUUAAAAGACUUGAUAACUAUCAUGAGACAAUUAUGGGGUGUUUCUUCUGUAGUAAAAGGGACAGGGCAGUAGAGGUAGGUAUUGAGGAAAAAGGAAAAGGGAAUUCUGGAGAGUUCUAGCCUCUCGAAUGUCUAGAAAUGUGGGAGGGUUCUAGCCUCCUGAAUGUCUAGGAUUGAGAAAAUCUGUGUAAAUUUAGCAUUAUGUAUUGUUUAACUGAAGUUCAUUCAAGUAUUAGGAUAUAACAUUUAGUGUUAGUAGUGUUUAAAGUGUUAGCAAUAUCUGAGUGGUUGUUUUCAGAAUUCUGAUUGUAAUUUCCGUCUAUUUAGUAUAAAACAUCAGUAUUUGUACCUUUAUUUACAAUUUUCUAUAGAAAAGUCUAUCAAUUUGUUAUCAGAGCAGUAACGUUCAGGUAUGGUGAGUAAAAUAGAGGGGCACGUUAACUGGUAGAGACAAAUUUGACAAGGGUAAGAGAAGAUGUCAGAAAUUAGAAGGAUGUUUUAAGAAAUGAGUCGCUUGCAAGAAUUGAAGCCCAAGGGUAAACUGUGAUUGCAGAAGCAUCUCCUUCUCAAACCAAAUCCAUCAAAAACCAAGAAGAGGGAAGCAAUGUCAACUUGUAUGGAGAAAAAGAUGGGAAGAAGUUUCAGAAACUACAAUUACUAGUUUUAGAAGGAGAGUAUCCUUUAGGAUGGAUUUUCAGAGUGGAACGAUAUUUUGAAGUGAAUGAAAUUUCUGAAGUGGAAAGAUUACGGGCAACAAGUAUUUGUUUGGAAGGAAAAGCCUUAAAUUGGUUUUAUUGGAUGGAAUCUCACCAACAAAUGUCAACUUGGAAAGACUUCAAAAGAGAGUUGUUGAACCGAUUUCAUGCUUCUCCAAAGAUCAACCAAUAUGGUGUCUAAAUGGGGCUGAAACAGACUAUCACAAUCAUUGCGUUUCGUGAAGAAUUUGAAAAGGUGUCAGCAUCUAUGAAUGAGACGUCAGAUAAAAUGUUAUUGGGAGCAUUUUUGAAUAGUCUAAAAGAGGAAAUUCAUGCAGAAGUGAUGCUUUUAUGGGCUCAAACAUUGAGGGAGAUAAUCGAGAUGUCUCAAAAGGUGGAGGAUCAAAAUUCUAUUUUGUAAGAAGUUCAAAGUUUUAAAUUUGAACCAAAUACAGGAAGUUCAUGCAAUAUACUAGUUGGGUUUAGACCCAAUUAUCCUCGAGUCACAAACAUACUUGAAAUAGGUGACUCAAGAACUGGAUCAGCAGGCAGUAACACUAAUUCACCAGUGCAUACUGCCGCAAAGUCGACUACUUUGAUAGAAAAAUCAGAGGGAAAAUUUAUAAGGUUUUUCGAUUCAGAAUUUGCUAAAAAAAGGACAACAAUGAUUAUGUUUUAGAUGUGAUGAAAAAUUUGGCCCCAGUCAUCAUUGUAAAAAUAGACAGCUUAACCUAUUAAUUAUUGCAGAGGCACCCAAUAUGGAUGAAGGUGAUAUGGACGAAAUCUUUGAGUCUACCAGAGAAGUUGUAGUUGAAAGGAAAUCUAAGAGUACUAUGAUAGUGUAGAAUAUGAAAUUAUCAAUCUGCACUUUCCAGAUUUUCACCUUGAGGACAAGGUGACUCUUCUCUAACCUUCAACUAAUGAUAUCCCGAACAAAGGUCUAUCUUUGAAAAGUAUUUAGCACCCUGAAGUUGGUCAAAGAGAUCAUCAAUCCUAGGAAGAGGAUAUUUAUUUUUAACAAAAUCCAACAGUAACUAGACAACAUCUGAACCAGUCUGCGAAAUCUCUACUACAUGCUAAAAUGACAACUAUAUAAAAACUGGGACAAGGCCCCCAACGGACCCAAAAUAAAAUAAAUAACAUAGUCUGAAAGAAACAGGCCUUAUGGAAUAAAGAAGGCUUACUACUUCACAGUUCGUUUCUACCUUAGAACUCUACUGCUUAGCCGGAUCUCUAGACUGAGCAUCAGACCCUGGAAGGUUAGGGGGUCAAUACAAUUGUACUGGUACGCAGAUCAAAUCCAAAAUAAUAAUUUUUAUUCAACAUAUAUGAGAGAAAUUUAAAAUAGUUCAUAAAUAUAUCAUAUGGUAAGAAAACACAUGGGCAUAUUUAAAAUACUCUAAAAAAUUAUCUGGACUCUACGACACUCUUUGUUUUACUUCUAAGUUAGGUGGUAUACCCUACAACUCUGAAAUUCCAUGGACUACAUGGAAUCUGCCCUUAACUUGGCAGCCAAGCCCCUAACCCAAGUUUGUCACAAGGGUUGGAGUCUCUGUCCCUGUACGCCACAGGAUAAUAGACCAGCACAAAAUCCCUCGUAGGGAAAUAAUGGACCCAUAUCGGCAAAACAUAGUUUUGGGCUAAGAGUUACUUGAACGCAAGCCACCUAACCCUCUUUGUGCCCAUUAUUAACUCUUUAAAAUAUGUAUUCUCUGAAAUUAAACUCUGAAAACUCUAACUCUGUUAUGGCAUACUUACAUAUGGUAUCGUCAUACCAUUGACUUGUAAUUCACAUCUAUGAGCCAUUAAUAGCAUACUAUAAUCUCUAUUUUCAAUACAUAAGUUUAGGACCACAAUAUCCAUAAAUCAACUCAAGGAAAUUCUUUCUUUAAACUCAUGUAAACACAUGCAAAAACUCUCUUUUUAACAACAUUUCAAUAGCAUAAGGUGGUCAUGUCAAGUUACUCAUUCACAUGAAAUUCUUUAUUUUUAAAACAAGGACAUAAUUAUAUCAAGAAACUCCCUCUCAUCAUCUCUAAAUCAUGUUCAAAUACUAUGAUAAUGAGAAAACUACUUUCAAAUCAUAAAACAUGUAUUUCAACUCUUUCCGACAAGAUCAUAAACUUUAAUUCAUCAUAAGAGAGGGAUUUCAUAAUUUUUCUCUCAAAAAAAUCUUAAAUCUCAAUUUUCAUACAUAUACAUAUGAGUAUAAAUCAACUUAAGGUGAAAGACCACAAGGCCAAAAAAAUAAUAGCAUUGAAACAUUCAAAAUGCAUAAUUUAAAACAUAAAUUCCAAAAUCCCUUUUUAAAAUUCAUGCUUGAUAAACUUUAAAUCAUGUUCAAGUGUUUCAACAAGCCUAUGUAGUUUUUAGGAUUAACCCCUCAUACCUUAAGUUGUUUAGGAAGAAGAGUGGAUUCUGAAUCACACCUUAGUUUCUUGAAGUUUUUGGCUUGAAUGAAGAGCUCUUGAUCUUAGGGAAAAGAACUAGAGUUUUCAAUUGAGGAAUUUUAUGAGUUCUCUGAUGUAAUUUGCUUCAAAAGGGGUUUAAUCCCGUGUUUGGGCGUAUUGGGGUGAAGGACAAUGAUCCAAUUGCCCUUAAAAAUACGGAGUUAGACUGCAGUAAUUUUCCCCAGCCGGACUAACCAGGGCGCCGCCACGCCUAGUCUGCCGUACUUUCCAAGGCGCUGCCCUGCUUAGUCCGCCGGACUUACCAGGGCGAUGUGGGCUAAUUGCACUGACUCACUGUUUUGCAACCCCAAACACACCUUUACGCUCAUUCAAAAAUUCUGAAACUCCCCCGAGGUGUACUUUUGACUUGCUCCAUUGUGUAUCAACAAAAAAAUCAACAAACGGAGGUCGAAAAGGUUAAAAAUAAAAUCCUCGAAGAUUGGGAGCUCAAAAUGAGACUAAGGCUCCAUUUGUUUUUUUAAGAUUCAAACGUCUGAAUCUGAAUGCACAUCUGAAUGAAUAAGAUGUUGUCUCUAGAUCUAAAAAACUGAAUGAUUAAGACUAUUUGUUUUUCAACAUCUAAAUGUGUAAAAAAAAUUAUUUGUAUACAUAAUAAAAUAAAAAAUAUAAUUCAAAUAAAAAAUAACUAUAUAUUAAAAAAGUAUGUAAUUUAAUACAAUAAAAUUAUUAGUACUUGAUUGAGAAAAAAUGUUUAUGUUUGUUAUUGAUAGUGGAGAUGGCUUAUAAUGGUGGUUGCGGUGAUGAUGAUUGUGUUAGUGAUUAAUAAUGUUGGUGGUGAUAAUUGUGAUGGUCGGUAUUGUAGUGACUGUUAUAAUGAUGGUGGUUGUUGUGAUGUGACGUUGCUUGAUGUUAGUAGCUUAAGAUGUUGAUUGUGUUGGCUAAAACAUGAAUGCAUGAUGAUUGAGGAUGUGUUGGUGCUAGUUGGAGAUGUUAUUUAUUGUGAUGGUGGAGAUGGUUUUUAGUAGAGAUAACUUAUAGCGAUGGUAUUGGUUGAAGUGGUGGUAGAGGUGGCGUUACUAGUGACAAUAGUGGUGGCAGCCAAAGAAUGUGUAGAGGUUAUGAUGUAUUACUGGUAGUUAGUGGUGGUGCUAGUUGUGAUAGAUGAGUUGGUUGAUGGUAGGGAUUGGCUGGUAGUGGUUGCUGAUUGUAGUAUUGUUGACGGCAGUGGUGGUAGUGAAUAUAAUUAGAAUAAAAGAGGUAGCAGGUGUGGUAGCAGUUGACAAUUGUAGUUGGUAGCGGUAUUUUUUAUCGAUGGUGGAGGUGGGUGGUGGUGGUGGAUGGUGGUUGACAAUGGUGACGGUGGCAGAUGUGGUUAGUGGUGGUGACCAUUGAAUAUGAAUAGAGUGGUGAAUAUAAUCCAACACCAGAAUAUCCGUUCAGACCUAUUAAGACUUGGUUCUAGAUCUAAAUGAUUAAGACCUAUUCAGACCUAUUAAGAGUUAAAACCUUAAUAAAAAAUAAAUGCACUUAAUGGUCUGAAGUCUAAACCAUUCAGAUUCAGAACUCCAUUAAGUGCAAACAAAUGAGGCCUAAGUCCUUUUUGACACUUACGAAAAUUUUCAAGUUUUCAACUCUAUAAGCAUGCUACUAGGAGAUAACAUGUGGAGGACUUUUGUGGGGUGUUACAGAAGCUGCAUCAUUUCAAUUCACGUGCAUUUUUCUUGAACCAACUUGUCUGAAAUUUGAGAAGGGGCACGAGGCUUAUCAUUGCACAUGAGGCCAAAUAUUGUACAUCAACACCCAUUUAAACAUCUUUGUCAUUAAAUACUUCAGCCUAUUGGAUCUUGUGAAAGUUGUAUCCUUCUUGUCACAGAAAGGGCUCUUAGAGAAAUAUCAAACCUCUUAGCCUCUUGGAUGAUUUAGGUAGAUGCCCGAGCGAUAUAUCUGCAGGGGGAGGGGGAACGGGGGCUAGUGCAUCAGCUAUGGGGUACGAUAACAGUUGGAGCAGGAGUAGCAGCAUGUGCAGCUAAAUUAUUCACACAUGCAGGCUUAGCUACAACAGCAAUUUUGACGAAUUCAUCCAACAGAAAUUACCCUUACGUUGAUUCUUCAUUCAAAAAUUCGUUAUAUUCCAACAGAGAUUUUUUCCUCUAUCAUGUUACCAAGUAACUUCACAUUGUCAAAAUUGUACUUCCGAAGCACUAAAAGAUUAACCAAAACAAUUACAUAUAUAUUUUCAACAUCAUGACUCCAAUAUGAUUAGUCCACAUUAUGAAACUGAAGAUAAAUUUAGUAAAGGGAAAAGGAGACAGAAACUGGAGAAAACAAAAGUUUAAGAUGAUCACUUAUUGAUCAAAGUCACUGAGCAAUAACAUACUUACAUAUGAUACUUAUUGGCAAACCAGAGGCAACACUUCCAAAGUGACAUAGAAAACAAACUUGGUGUUAGAUUUCUAUAAUAUUGAACUAAGAGCUUGAAGAAGAAGAGUAGAAGAUUCUAGAAGAAAAGUAGUUUUUCAUUGAUUGAUUUUUCUUUUCUUGUUAUGGCACUACAUGUUACAUUAAUAGAGUUAGUUUGAUUCUGGUGAUAGCUGUAUAAUGACAGCUGUCACACUUAACCAACUAACUAACUCACACAUACAUCACAAACAUACUAACUUCCUCUAACUAACAUCAACUUGUUGAUUACACUUUUCACUAUCUUAACACUCCCCCUCAAGUUGAUGGCUUAAAGAUGUUUUUCAUUCCCAGUUUACUUAGUAGAUAUUCAUUCUAACUCUUCCCUAAGGAUUUUGUGAGAAUGUCUGCUAACUGGUCCUCUGUAGGCACAUGAUUGGUCUUGAUCAUCUUCUGACUGGUUCUUUCUCUCACAAAAUGACAAUCUAUAUCAAUGUGUUUUGUCCUUUCAUGGAAAAUAAGAUUAGCAGCAAUCUAUAUUGUUGCUUUGUUGUCACACAUCAAGUCUACAGGUUGUUUGAUCUAAAUUCCUAGCUCUUGAAACAGUCCAAGUAACCAGGUGAUCUUUGCACUACAAGUAGCCAUGCUUCUAAACUCUGCUUCUACAGAGCUCCGGACACAGUCUCUUGUUUCUUUGAUUUCCAAGAGACUAAAGCACCUCCAAACUUUAUUACAUACCCAGCCACUAAUCUUCUAGUUUGUAAGCAAGCACCCUAGUCAGAGUCACAGUAGGCUGUCAAUUUGUUAGAAGUUUCUGUAGGCAUAAACAAUCCCAACCUAGGAUUACCUUUUAUGUACCUCAUCAUCUCCUGUUCCAUUGGAAACAUGAUUUUCAUAUUCUACAGAUGUUAGUUUCUGAUUCAUUUUUAGUGAAGUGCUAGCAGGUUUUGAUCCACUUAGCCCAGCCUCAGAUAUAAGUUCAAGAGCAUACUGUCUUUGAUUCAGCACUAUCCCUUCCUUGCACCUAGAUACCUCUAUGCCCAAGAAGAACUUCAGGUCACCAAGAUCCUUCAUUUUAAACUUCUGCUGCAAAUUUGAUCUAGCUUGAUUAAUCAAGGUGAUGUUUUUUCGUGUUAUUAAUAGAUCAUCCACAUAGACAAGAAUAAUCACUAUUUCUUUUUCUCAUUUUUUGGUAAACAAGGAGUAGUCAUAAUAACUUUGACUGAACCCCAUUUGUGAGAGUGCAUCAGUCAGCUUCUUAUUCCACUGUCUAGGGGCCUCCUUUAUGCCAUACAAGGACUUGUGUAAUUUGUAGACUUUUUAAGUCUCCCCCUGUCUGCAAAAACCAUCAAGAAUAUGCAUGUAGACCUCUUAUAACAGAUCACCAUUAAGAAAACCAUUGUGCAUAUCCAUUUGAAAAAUUAACCAUUGUCUAGAAGCAGCAAGAGCAAGAACGGAUAUUACUGUUACCAUCUUUGCAAUAGGAGAGAAAGUAUCUGAGUAAUCAACCCCAGCCUAUUGACUAUAACCCUUAGCUACUAGUGUGGCUUUAUACCUUUCUACCACUCCAUUUGCCUUGUAAUUUACUUUUUACACCUACCUACAAAAAAUAGGAACUUUACCAGGUGGCAAGUCAACAAUAGACCAAGUAUGAUUCUCCUCAAGAGCUACAAUCUCCAGCUUCAUAGCCUCAACCCAAGAGGGAUCUUUGAAGACUUCAAGGAAAGUGGAGGGUUCAGGAAUAAAAGUAUGGAUAGAGAGAGCUGGAUUAUACUGAGGAGAGAGUUGAGAGUAUGUUACAUAGGAAGAUAAUGGAUACAAACUUUGGUGAGAUGAGACAGGCUUGGUAGUGACAGUCAUGGAUCUAAAUGGGAGGUUUCUUACUUCUGGUUGAUUUUCUGAGAAGAGGAGGGUCAGAAUAAGAUGUAGAGAGAUGAAUAGGAACUGAGGGUGAAGGUACAAGGCCAUGCUCCAACUCAAGAGAGACUAAAGAGGAAGUAGGAGAAGGAAUAGAGGGGAAAAAUAAAAAGGGGACUGAAUGAUCAACAGGAGUUGACUGCAGGUCAGGAAAUAAUUGAGAGUCAGUGGAAACUUGGUAAAGGAAAGGAAAAGUGGACUCUUGAAAGAUGACAUUUCUACUAGUAAAGAAUAGUCUGGUAUGAAGAUCAUAUAGUUUGUACCCUUUCUGGGUGGAUGAGUAGCCCAUAAAGACACAAGGAAUUGCUCUAGCAGCAAACUUAUCUGAACAAUGAAUGAUAGAGGCAUAGUCUAAACAGCCAAAGACUUUUAAAUGAGAAAGUGAAGGAACCUGUUGAUGGAAGAUUUCAAAGGGAGAUUUAUAGUUAAGUAUUUUUUAGGGAAUUCUAUUAAGCAAGUACACAGAAGUCUCAACACAUUCACCCCAAAACUUGAGAGGUACACCUGCUUGAAAUUUGAGGGAUCUUGCAACUCCAAUAAUAGUUCUAUGUUUUCUUUCCACCACCCCAUUUUGCUGAGGGGUAUAGACACAUAAAGUUAGUUGCAAAAUACCAGACAUAAGAGAUUUAAACUCAUGACUAAAGAACUCACAACCAUUAUCAGAUCUCAUAAUUUUCACAGAAGUAGAAAACAAGUUUUGCAUUCUAGUCAGAAAAUCUUUGAGUACAACUAUCACUUCAGACUUAAACUGGAUAAGAAACAACCAAGUGAAUCUAGAAUGAUCAUCAAUAAUGGUAACAAAGAAUCUCUUUUUAUCAUAGGUAGGAACGCUAUAAGGUCCCAUUUAUCAUAAUGAAGCAGAUAAAAGGGAGCUAUAGACAGAGAGUUGCUAUGCUAAAAAGAAAGUUUAGUCAUCUUAGCAAGGGGACACACAGUGCACUUGUGAUCUUCAAACUUCAAAUAACUCAGUUCAGCAUGCCUUUUAAGCACCUCGAUAGAUGUAUGACCCAUUUUUUUGUGCUACAGAACACUGGAAUUAGAAAGCAACUUCACAUUAUUGGCACAUCUAUUUACACUUGUAGGUUUAGAGGAAGCAUUUUGGAGAAUGUAAAGCCCUUAAUCUUAUUUACCAAUCCCCAGCACCAUACCAAUAUAGAGAUCCUGGAAGAUACAGAAGUCAAGAAAAAAAUUCACUGAACACUGCGACUCCUUGGUAAGUUUUGAUAUAGAUAGAAGAUUUUAUUUAAACUCAUACAAAUAUAAUACAUCAAUAAUGAGGGAAUUUCUGAGUACACCAGAGGUGCCUUUCUGAGAGACUGGAACCUCAUUACCUGUGGGAAGAUAGACCUGACUUUGUGAAGACUGAGGUAUUUUAUGAUAACUAUGCAACAUAUCAAGGUUGGAAACCAUAUGAUUAGAAGCACCGGAGUCAAUAAUCCAACUAUCACUUAAAAUAGAAUCCUUGUCCUCCUUCCCUAUAUUGAACAGAAUGACAAUCUAUUGAUAUUAUUUUGGUGUAAAAUGAGAAGUAGGACUCGAAGUAAUCUAGGAUGAACUAUGUUGAGACACCUUAUCACUGGUAGAAUAUGUGUCCACUGAGGAUAUAGAGUCUACCAUAUGUGCAUACUGUCCUGAUCCUUUCUUCUUGGACUUAGGCCAAUCUGAUGGGUAACCAAUCAACUUGAAACAUUAAUCCUUAGUAUGACCAUUAUAACCAUAGAACUCAAAAACCACUGGUGGUCUUUUCUAUGGAACACCUCUAUAGGUGGAAGCUGGUGGUCUUCCCUCAUAAAUACCUGCAGUCUUAACUUAACUUGUACUUCCUGAACCACCAGGACCUAGAUAUCCACCUUUCCCUUUGUAACCUGGUUUAUGGGUAAAGAGAGUUGUUGCAUAUAGUGUAUCACAAAGAUGACUCACAGAGGAACUAGAAGUUAUGUAUCUCUGGCUUUCAUGAUCCACAAUCAUGGAGUACACUUUGCUAAUGGAUGGCAUAGGGAUCAUUAAUAGGAUUUGGCUUCUACACUGAGGGUAUGUUUCAUUUAGAACCGUUAGGAACUGUAACACUCUUUGAUAAUCAAAAUGUUGGGCAUAAUUUCUAGAUUCAGGGCAGCUACAUCUAGGAGAAGGCAUAAGAAAAUCAAACUCAUCCCAAAGAGUUCUCAUUCGAGAAAAAUAAUCAGCAACUGACAAAGUUACCUGAGAGAGGGUCACAAUUUCUCUAUGUAAGUAGAAUACUCUAGAGCCAUUCACCUUAUCAUACCUUUUCUUUAAAUCUAUCCACACAGCAUUAGAGGCAUAGAUAAUACUACUCAACAUAUCCUUUCGUACUGAAUUCAUACUCCAUGACAAAACAACAACAUUAACUCUCUCCCACUGAUCAUGUACAAAUUCAUCAAAGUGAUUUUUGGAUAUCUCCUAUCAACAAAGCCUAUUUUGUUCUUGCCUAUGAGACUUAAUGACAUAGAUCUACUCCAUAGGGCAUAAUUAUCAAUGCCAGUAAGCUGGAUAGAAAUAAGAGAGCUACCUGGAGUGUCGUUUGGAUGCAAAUACAGAGGAUGAUUGUGGUCAAUUUUAAUUGUACCAGCUGAUGUAGGUGUAUUUGUAGGUGCUGCAAUUGUAGUUAAAGGAUCUGCAGCGGAGUUUUAAGUAACCGCCAUUAAAUCUCAUUGUAAGCAAUAGAACAAUAGUUGUUAUUCUUACUGAUCAGGUGAAAUCGAUAGUCUCUAGCAUCGAUUACAACCAGCAAUCAGUAGUGGCGCUGAUACCAUGUUAUAUUUCUAUAAUAUUUAGCUAAGAGCUUGAAGAAGAAGAGUAGAAGAUUCUAGAAGAAAAGUUGUUUUUCAUUGAUUGAUUUUUCUUUUCUUGUUAUGGCACUACAUGUUACAUUUAUAGAGUUAGUUUGCUCCUUGUGACAGCUGUAUAAUGACAGCUAUCACACUUAACCAACUAAAUAACUCACACAUACAUCACACACACACUAACUUCCUCUAACUAACAUCAACUUGCUGAUUAAACUUUUCACUUUCUUAACACUCGAAAAAAACGCAACGAAGAGCAGAUAGAAGUUCUUAGAACACUAACCACUUGCAUCAGGGUCUUAAAGGAGAUCGACUUCUAUUACAUUCUACAAUGAGCUUAAAAUAGCCCUUUGCGCAUAGUAUGUGCUUUCCACCUUAGAGUUGGAAACGCCAUCUGGUCACUCCACAAACUUCACCUCGUUAAGUUAAUUUUUGAGUUUGUCUACCAAAGCUCAUCAAUUCUAUAUUUAAUUGACUUAAAGGAUGCCACCUGCAGAAAUGACAUCAUGGUUAGAAGAUAGUAGUGAUGAAACUAAGAGUAUCCGAAAUUGGAAAAGAAUUAACCUAGACCUACACUGGACUCAUUCAAUUCCCAUCAAUCAAUGCAUUAAUUCGCACAAGAGGAUUUUAAUAACACUUACUGAUGCAUGUCCAUUCCAAAUGCCUAUCGAUGGCUGAUUCCACCAGCCUGCAUGGAAAUUAUAACUCCUUGCACACAAAGAUUCCACCCCCUGUUGCGUCCCUUCUUGGCAUAUGGUCAUGUUGGGAAGUUGCACCCUCCGUGUAGUAUGUGUUUGCCACCUUAAAACUAGGGCCACAGUCGCCCACCUUAAACUUCUCCUCAUUAAGUUAUUUAUUCGUGUUUGUCAACCAAAGUUAAUGAACAUAAAGGUACCACCUACAGAAAAGAAACCAUGGUUAGAAGAUAUUAGCGAUAAAAAUAGCAGCAACAGCACUUUAAAAGUACUAAAAGUUUAACCAUAACAGUUGUAUACAUUCAUUCAACAUCAAUACUCCAACAUCAUGAAACCGAAGAUAAAUUUAGCAAAGGAGACUGGAGAUUGAAAAACAAAAGUUUAAGAUGAUCAUUUAUUGAUCAAAGUCAUUGAGCAAUAACAUACUUACAUAUUAUACUUAUUGACAAACCAGAGACAACACUGCAAGACAACUCAUUAAGUUAUUUUUUCGACUUUGUCAAUCAUAUGCUUAGUGGACAUAAAGGUACCACCUGCAGAAAAGAAUUAACCUUCAGAAAAGGUGAUAUUCUUGGCACCUUAUUACCCUGGACGUAUUCAAUUCCCGUCGAUCGAGGUAUUAAUAGGCACAAGAGGAUUUUUAAUGACAAUUACAGUUGCACAUGAGCCUAAAUGUUGUAUAGCAUCAGCUAUAUACACAUCUUGAUCAUUAAAUACAUCUGCAUUCAACACCAAACGCUUACUGAUGGUUGAUUCCACUAGCCUGCAUGACAAUUAUAACUCCUUGUAGGCAGAGAUCCAGCUUCUUGUUGCAUUGGAAUUUCUCAAUGACUUCAGUACCUUAAGAGUUUUCACAUGUUUGUGAUGACGUAUUUCUUGAAAGAUUUACAGAAACUUGAGAAAAAUUGAGAGGUUGCUGACAUUCUGUUUCACUUACUUCUUUCCCAAUAGCAAAGAGGCGGCAACUCCAUGUAUGUUUCAAAGAGAUUAUUACAGUUGAAACCGCCGGCAUUCAGUGGCAGAAAAGUUGCAGUACAAGGCGUAGCAGUGGCACACCUAAUAGGAGGUGAACCGAGCAUGGAGGAGGAGCUGAGGACAGAAAGGAAGAGUUCCACUUUUAAAAGUUCUUUAGACAUAUGUAUGGCAUUCUGUAUCUUAAUGUCAGUGUUAAUAUGGAUGACUAUUGUAUGACGUACCGAUGACUUGGCAGAAGUAAGAUUACAAGAAAUUGAAGAAAGAAACAUAAAAAGUCAUAGAAGGAAAAAAUUUUGCAGUAGUCAGACAAAUAAAAAGUUCAAACAUCAAAUGGUGUUUACAAAACGUUAUCCACAAUGUUAACUGCCACACAUAGACAAAAAAAAAGUAGUUUAUACAAUAAAGAAGAAAAAAGAACUUCACAAACAGUUCAGUUGAGGCUUUCAUCAAACGCGUUCAGUGUAGACAUCUUUUUACGCUGUGGCAAUUGCCACAAAAAGAAUCAGAAUGGAGAAGAACCUGUUCUGUUGGUGCUCAAGAUAUUUCUACCUGAAGUGAGUUCCCUCCGUCAUAUCUUCAACAUAUUGUUUAAUCUUCAAAGCUGAAUCUUCAAGUUGAGGGCUCUCUACAAGUUCGAUAAUUUUUAAUGAACCAACAUCCCCAAAAUUAGGCGGAAUCUCUAUAAGCUUACGACAUCUCCCCAGUUCUAAUUUCUCAAGCCCGGGAAAGGAUUCCUCUCCAAACUCCCACUUAGCAAGAAUAUUCCAAAUACAAAUAUUUGAGAUUCACAAAGAUGUCUUCCGCCCCCAUGUUCCAUUCUUCCCCCUCGAUGAUGGUUCUAAUAAGCAACAACUCUUCAAGGUUGGGCAGUCUCGCUAUUGUUGAUAGUGAAUCGGAUGUCAUAGGAAAGUCCCACAACGAUAAUAUUUUCAAAUUGGAAGGAAAAUGAAAAUCCCACGACCAAUUCGUCGCUAAAGAGUGCCCACUAUCAUUUGUGUUGGGUUCGAAAUCGAGAGGGCGUCAUGAGGAAGCUAUUAGUUGUAAACUAUAAAGACAAUAACUCAGAUGACAAAGAAAACAUACUAAAAAUAUAAUAUUAUUAUGUGAUUUAGCCAAUUGGCCUACAUAUAAAAAACUAAUAUUAAAAACAUAAAACUAAUAAGAGAGAAAAUCUCCCCCUAAAUGAAAAUCUUAAAAGACUAUAUUGUGGAUGCUAUUGUGUUAUGGUAUGAGAAGGGGAGUAUUCUAUUUAUAUAUGUCCAAAACCUUUCAACCAAAAAAGAGGUUAGCCAAAUAUGGAAAAGAAUUAUAUGUUUUUCUUUCAGGAAAAGUAAAAGUAAUUAUGGUAACUUUUAUUUUUCUUCUAAGAAAAAAUAAAACUUAAAUAUAAUAAGAAAAUCAGGGCAAAAACCCUAACAAAUCUCCCCUUUUUGGCUUGAUUUUCUUCACUUGAUCUACCUUCUUCUUGUGCAUGAUCGUUGUUCUUCAUAUAUAUUCUUCAUAUAUCACUGUUGUUUGACAUGCUUUAAAAAUUGAAGCUUUUUGGGUUAAAAAUAUAUAAGCUCUUUCGGGUUAAAAACACUGGAACCCUUUAUACAGUUAAAAGUAAGCUUUCUUUUCAAAGAUGUAAUAGCAGGAUUAUUGAAAAUAUGAUUGACAAUCGUCUCCACAUGUAGUUUUUGGACAUAUAUCUUCAUUAUCAUCAAAUUUGUUCUAACUUUGUUCUCAACAAGUCCUCAAUCUGAACCAUCGAAUCAUUGAACCAUAGGCUCUAAUACCACUUGUUGGGUUCGAAAUCGAGAGGGCGUCAUGCAGAAGCUUAAAGUUUGCAAAUCAUGAGAUGAUAAAUCAGACGACAAAGAACACAAUAACUAAAAGCAUUAAAUUAUUAUAUAUUUUGGCCAAUCGACCUACAUAUUAUAAAACCUAAUAUUGAAAAACAUUAAACCUAUUAGGAGAAAUUUCCCCCUAAACAAAGAUUCUUUAAUAACUACAUUGUGGAGUCUCUUGUGUUGUUGUAUCUAUUUAUAGAGGUUCAAAACCAUUUCUUCGAGAAAGAGGUUUGCCAAAUAUGAAAAAAAUUUAUAUUUUCCUUUUAGAAAAAUAGAAGUAAUUAUGGUAUUACUUUUAUUUUCCUCUAAGAAAAAUAAAACUUAAAUUUUGUAAGAAAAUGUAACACCCCGACAUCUUCUUAGCUAAAUUCCGUCCAUGGAAAGUCUAAGCAUUAGCUUUUAGAAUGAUCUAAAUUAAUUUUGAUGUGCAAUUUCCUAGAUUUCAACCUUUCAUUAUGUAGAUGACUGAAUUAGUUUUUCAACAAUAUAAGAUUCGUACAAAACGGACCCUCGGUGAAGAAGUUAUGAAUAAUUUAAAGUUCCAGUCGUAAACAUCAUUAUUUUGGUGUCUAGCGCAUCGCGGAGAGGGUAAAAUUGACAAUCGUCAAAUUAUAGUGGGGCUCCGCAAUGGUGGAGCAUCACGAAGGCACUCAAUUUCCCACUCGUCGAAUUCCAGUGGACCACCACAAUUGUGGUGCAUCGCGGUGGCACCCGAAACCAGGUUUUUAAGUUUAAAUUGCCAAUUUCGUUUAGGAGUCAUUAAGGGUAAUUUUGACUUUUUCCUAGCCUUUAAAACCAUCCAAACAAAGAAUUUAGGGUAUGUUUGAGCAACUUAAUCCUACUUUCAUCAAAAUCAUCAAGAAUCCUCUCUAGAGCUUCAAACAAGAACUUCAAGAAACUCAAGAUUCAACCGUGGGUUUUCAAAAUCGAUUGAAGAUUCGAAAUCCCCGGAUCAUAGGCUUCAAUAGACACCCAUUAUUUUCCUAUUUUAAGGUACGCGGAAUUUUUCUAAAAAUAUCAUGGGCAUAGAAAUCAGGAUUUUAAGAAAGGGGUUUUCAGAUUUAUGAAUACAUUCAUAUUUUAGAAAUCUUGACAGUAUUAUUUUGGUAUUUUAACCUUCCCCAAAUUUAUUUGAAAUUAUAUAUACGUAUGCAUAUGUUUUAUGAUUUAUGAAUGAAUUGAGAGCAUGGCGCACAUGAAUCCCUCUCUUGGUAUGAUUUUCCCAAUUUUCUUAUGAUAUGGAUUGUUUUGAAUGUAUCUUGAAAAGCAUGAUAUGAAAUAUCUUGAUUAAUGCUACAAAUUGAUUUAUGGUUUUCAAUUCGAAAGAGAGGGUUGUGCAUAUUGAUAAAUGUUGAAAAUAUUCAUAUAAUGAAAGAGUGCAUGAUUUUGCCCAAAGUACAUGACCACCAUAUGUUUGAACAAUCUCAGCAUAGUUUUGACUUGUGUUCUCAGAACAUGAAAUCUUUUAUAUUGUUUGCAUGUUUGGGUGGUCUGAAUUGUGUUUUAAUGAAAGAAUUAUGCAUGAUGCAUUAUGGCUCAGAAAUAGGACUUGCAAGUAUUGGUGUGAUGACACCAAUUCAGAUUAUGCCAUGACAAUUUAGAAUAGAUUUAAUGUAUGUUUGAAAUCAAACUUUCCAGAUGUUGAAACUAGAAACAUGCAUGAUUUAGAACAGGAUAAAAUUGGGUAUAAAGAGAGUUUAGGUGGUUCCCCGAAGAAGGAGUGAGUAUUAAAUAACUCAUCUCCCAAAACCGUGAUUUGUCAAUCUGGGUUUAUUAAUUACACUGGCCUAGAGCUCUGUGGCAUAUCAGAUUCAGGAACUCCAACCCUUGUGGCAUACUUGGGUUGGGGGCUUCCCCGCCGAGUCAAUGGCGGAUUCCAUACCGCCCGUGGAAUAUCAGAAUGUAGGGGAGUGCCACCUAACUCAGAAGUAAUAUACAGAUCAGAACUUGCAUUGACAGGCAGGUUACAUGUUUUUCAGAAAUGCGCCAAUGUGUUUCGAAAGCCACUUAAUGUAUAAUGUUUUGACAAAGUUGUUUCCCAAAUAAUUUUAUUUACAUAAAUCUUUACUUUAGAUUUCUUUGCGUACCAGUACAUCUGUAUUAACCCCCCUUCCUCCCUCCAGGUUCUAAGGCUCAGUUUAGGGGUCUAAAAAGGUAGUAGAUUCGUCAGACAGAGUUGCAGUGAUUAGUUGGUGAGCCUUCUCUAUUCCAGAAGGCCCGUCUUUCAGAUUAUGUGCCAUAUUAUCAUUUUGGUCUACUGAUGGCCUUUUCCUAAUUUUCAGACAGUUGUCAGAUUUUCCUAUAGUAGAGAUUUCGUAGACUAAGUCAGAUGUUAUUAGAUGUAGUUGAUUUUCAAUUUUCAUACUUAUGAUGAAUUCAGAAUUGACCAUGUUUCAGUAGCAGAUUAUGUUUCCGCAUCUUCGUUAUUUAUAUGAAUGUGUGCAUGCUUACCAGAUAGAGAGGGACGUUCUGGGCCCUCAGGGUUUGGGAUGUUCAUCAUAGCCAGGCCCUAGUUCGGUUCAUGAAAAACUUGGUAUCAAAGCAUGGUUCAUGGUCCCAGGGUGUCUACAAAAUUGCGUCGGGUAGAGUCUUAUUUAUUAGUGUAUAGCGCGCCACACUUAUAAGCAAGAGGCUACUAGGCAUUUAGGAAUGUUUCUCUUUUUUUUGAUUUAGUUUGUGCUUCAUAGUUUAAUCUGUCCCCUAAUUAAUUAUCUCUUGCUUUUAACAAAAACCAGUUAUGCCUCCUCGUCGCACCAAUGUUAAUGCUCAAGAGGACGAAGUCCGUCCCACUCAUGGUAUGAGGACACGUAACAGAGCUCACACUCUAGAAACUUUCNNNNNNNNNNNNNNNNNNNCUCCGGGAGUCCCUCCAUUUCCAACCGAUCUACCUAGGGCUCCUCACACUAAUGUUAACCGUCCCCUGACUACUCAGAGGGAUAUUUCGAAUGCAGAAUUCAGACAAUCUAUUCAUAUAUUGACACAGUUGGUGGCUAAUCAAGCCCAACGAUUAGAAGAUGUUGGGUCUACACCUGUUACAUCUGAAGCUACUAGGGUGGGCCAGUUCAUGAGAAUAAACCCGCCUAAGUUUACUGGCACUAAGGUAGAAGAGGAUCCACAAGAGUUCAUAGACGAAAUGGAGAAGAUUUUCAGAGUGAUACAUGUGGAUUAGCUGGAAGGCGUUAAGCUAGCGGCAUACUAGCUAAAGGAUAUAGAGAACCAAUGGUAUAAUGAGUAGAAAGGGGGGAAGGGCAACAGUACUGAGCCCACAGAGUGGGACGAGUUUGUGGAAGCUUUUCUUGACUAAUUCUUUCCUCUAGAGUUGAGGGAAGCCAAAGAGGAGGAGUUCAAGAACCUUAAGCAGGGUAAGAUGAGUGUUCAGGAGUAUACUUUAAAGUUUAAUCAGCUGGCCCGGUAUGCUCCUGAGAUGACGAGCAAUAUGAGGGUCCAAAUGAGGAAGUUUGCUUUUGGCCUUUCAGAUGAUAUGGUGCUUGAAUAUCAAAGGGAGAUGCUAAACAGGGAAUUGGAGUUUGCUAGGCUGACAGUCCGCAUGCAGUACGUUGAGGAGAAAAAAAAAAGAUAACUGAGCCUAAAGAGAAGGAAAGGCAGACGAAAAGAGCCAGAUCAGCGGAUCAGAACCCUAGUCAGCAGGGUGGUAAUUGGGCUAACAAAUGCCAAAAGAAGAAGUUUUGGGGCAAGGCACAGUCUACAGCUAGUGCCCCAACGUCCAGACCUCCAAUUGAUAGACGAUCUCAGAGUUUUUAGGCCAGCCAAGGACCCAGAUCUCAGGAUACUUAGUCGCAUAAUAGUGUCGCUCAGUAGUACCGUUCUUAUCUGCUAUGUUAGAAUUGUUGUAGGAAUCAUCUGGGAAGGUGUCAGUUGGGCUCAUCGGUGUGUUAUUCAUGCGCUCAGAUGGGCCACUUCCAGAGAGAUUGUCCCUUUGCUAGGAGGAAUAUUGGUGGAGCUAAGUCUCAGGAAAACUCUUCUGCACCACCACCGCCUCAAAAGGUCACCAAUUUAGCUGCUGGGAGCGGUCACAACCGGCUGUAUACUCUGACUAAUCGCCAGGAGGCGGAAGCCUCACCAAACGUAGUCACUGGUACGUUACAAAUCUUUUCCCAUGAGGUAUAUGUAUUUCUUGAUCUCGGGUCUACCUUAUUUUAUGUGACCCCGUAUGUGGUUGUUGGUUUUGGGUUUGAACCCGAUGUGAUUGCUUAACCUUUCUCUGUGUCCACUCCAGUGGGAGAUUCGAUUGUGGCUAGAAAGGUGUACAAAAAUUGUAUUGUCUAUGCUUAGUAGGGAUACUUUAGCAUAUCUCAUAGAACUUGAUAUGGUUGCUUUUGAUGCUAUCCUAGGGAUGGACUGGCUCCAUCGUUGUUAUGCCAUACUAGACUGUAGGACCCAAAAGAUUACCUUUUCUUUUCCGAAUGAGCCAGUAAUAGAGUGGGAGGGGCAUUCCUUAGCACCUACAGGGCACUUCAUAUCUUAUCUCAAAGCCCAUAAACUUAUUUCCAAGGGUUGCUUGUACUAUCUUAUUCGGGUUAAAGAUUCUAACGCUGAAAGUCUCCCCCUUCAGUCUGUCCCAGUAGUAAAUAAAUUCCCAGAAGUUUUUCCAGAUGAUCUCCCAGGAAAUCCACCUGAUAGGGAGAUGGAUUUUGGCAUUGAUGUGUUGCCAGAUACCCAUCCUAUUUCUAUUCUACCAUAUAGAAUGGCUCCUGCAGAGUUAAAAGAGUUGAAAGAACAGCUAGCAGAUCUCUUAGAUAAGGGUUUUAUCAGACCUAGUGUUUCUACUUGGGGUGCACCUGUACUUUUCGUGCGAAAGAAAGAUGGUUCCCUACGUAUGUACAUAGAUUACCGCCAGUUGAAUAAGGUCACAAUGAAAAAUAAAUAUCCUCUUCCUAGAAUCGAUAACCUUUUUUAUCAGCUUCAGGGUGCUAAGUGUUUUUCAAAAAUUGACCUUCAUUUCGGAUAUCAUCAGUUGAAAGUUAAGGAGUUAGACAUUCCUAAAACAGCCUUCCGAACCAGAUAUGAUCAUUAUGAAUUCUUAGUCAUGUCCUUUGGGUUUACCAACGCCCCUACAACUUUUAUGGACCUAAUAAAUAGGGUCUUAUAUCAGUUCCUAAACCUGCUUGUCAUAGUUUUUAUUGAUGACAUCUUGGUUUACUCUAAAAGUGAAGAGGACCAUGCCAAUCACCUCCGCACUGUUCUUCAAACCCUCAAAGGUCAUAAGUUGUAUGUGAAAUUAUCCAAGUGUGAAUUCUGGUUGAAUACUAUUGCUUUCUUGGGGCACAUUGUGUCUAGUGAAGGGAUUAAGGUUGAUCCCUAAAAGAUUGAGGCAGUAAAAAAUGGCCCAUACCCACGACUCCAAUCGACAUUCGGAGUUUCUUAGGUUUGGCAGGGUAUUAUCGGAGGUUUGUAGAGAGUUUCUCUUCUAUAGUUGCUCCACUUACUAAGUUGACUCAGAAAAAGGUAAAGUUUUUAUGGUCUGACUCUUGUGAGAAUAGUUUUGAGAAGUUGAAAGACAAGUUGACUACGGCUCCUAUUUUGACUCUUCCGGAAGGUACAGAGGGUUUUGUUGUGUACUUGAUGUGUCUCGCGUGGGACUUGGUGUGUACUUAUGCAGCACAGAAAGGUGGUGGCUUAUGCAUCUAGACAGUUAAAGGUGCAUGAGUGGAACUACCCCACUCUUGAUUUGGAAUUAGCAGCUGUGGUGUUUGCACUUAGAAUUUGAGGCAUUAUCUUUAUAGGGUGCAUGUUGAUAUUUUCACUGACCAUAAGAGUUUGCAGUAUGUUUUCUCACAAAAAGAACUAAACCUCAGGCAAAGGCAUUGGAUGGAGUUUUUGAAAGACUAUGACAUGAGCCUUCACUAUCAUCCGAGUAAGGCAAAUAUGGUAGCCGAUGCCCUCAAAAGAUUAUCUAUUAGCAGUCUUUCUCAUGUUGAGAAAGGGAAGAGAGAGAUAGUGAAAGAUAUUCACCGGCUUGCAAAUUUAAGAGUGAAACUCUUGGAUUCUGAAGAUGGGGGAAUGGUUGUUCAUGAGAUAGCUACGUCUUCCCUUUGUGCGGAAGUUAAAAAGAAGCAGGUUGAAGAUCCCAUCUUGAUGCUAAUUAACAAUGAUGUGGGUCAGUAGAAGGUGAUGUCAUUCGAGAUCGGUGGUGAUGUUAUUUUAAGAUACCAGGGAAGAUUAUGUGUUCCAGAUGUGGAUGAUUUGUGGAAUAGAAUCUUUGACGAAGCUCACACUUUGAGGUAUGUUGUUCACCCAGGCUCUACUAAGAUGUACCAGGAUCUGAAAUCUUUGUAUUGGUGGAAUAAUAUGAAAUGUGAUGUGGAUAACUUUGUUUCCAAGUAUUUGAAUUGUCAACAAGUUAAAGCAGAACACAUGAGACCAGGUGGUUCUUCCCAAGAGAUAGCUUUUCCCUUGUGGAAGUGGAAGAUGAUUAAUAUGGACUUCAUUACAGGGCUCCCGAAGUCCCGAAACCAGUAAGAUUCUAUUUGGGUAAUUGUAGAUAGACUGACCAAGUCAGCCCAUUUUCGCUUGUCAGGACUAACUAUUCGGGAGAGGAUUAUGCCAAGCUAUUCAUUGCAAAAAUAGUUCAUUUGCACGAUGCGCCUGUGUCCAUCAUAUCCGAUCGAUGUACACAGUUCUCUUCUCAGUUUUGGAGAUCUUUUCAAGUGAACCUAAGCACUGCUUUUCACCCUCAGAUCGAUGGGCAGGCCGAACGCACCAUUUAGACCCUUGAGGAUAUAUUAAGGGCCUGUGUGAUUGAUUUUAAAGAUAGUUGGGUAGAGCACUUUCCGUUGAUAGAGUUCGCGUAUAAUAACAGUUUCCAUUCUAGUAUUAAGAUGGCACCAUUUAAGUCACUGUAUGGGAGAAGAUGUAGGUCUCCUAUAGGAUGGUAUGAAGUAGGUGAGAUGCAAAUAUUUGGGCCCUAUCUUGUUCAUCAGGCAAUGCAGGAUAUGAAAGUCAUCAGAGAACGACUUAAGAUGGCUCAGAGUCAUCAAAAAUCUUAUGCCGAUGUUAGGAGAAGAGAUUUAGAGUUUGAGGUCAGUGAUUGGGUAUUUCUAAAAGUUUCUCCUAUGAAGGGAGUCAUGCGAUUCGGGAAGAAAGGUAAAUUGAGUCCUCGCUAUAUAGGACCAUAUCAUAUUUUGAGGAGAAUAGGUGGUGUUGCAUAUGAGUUAGAAUUGCCUACCAGUUUGGGUUCUAUCUAUCCGGUAUUUCACAUAUCCAUAUUGAAGAAAUACAUUAGAAACCAUUCUUUGGUGUUGCCUAUAAAAGAGAUAAAGGUGACAGCCUCUUUAUCAUAUGAAGAGGAACCUAUUGCAACCCUAGAUCAUCAGAUCCGAAGUUGAGAAGUAAAGAAAUAGUUUCAAUUAAGGGGUUGUGGAGAAAUCAGAAAGUUGAAGAAGCUACUUGGGAAUUAGAGGAUGACUUGAGAGCAAGAUACCCACACCUUUUUGACCCAGUAGAUGACUUAGUUGAAGGUACAACCCUUACCUUAAUAUUUGUAUGCUUUAGUAUGCUUGGAAUUGUGCUUUUCUGUUUUCCGCAUCAUCAUUCGGGGACGAAUGAUCCCAAGAGGGAUAUUGUAACACUCCGACGUCUUCUUAGCUAAAUUUCGUCCAUGGAAAGUCUAAGCAUUAGAUUUUAGAAUGAUCUAAAUUAAUUUUCAUAUGGAAUUUCCCAAAUUUCAACCUUUCAUUAUGUAGAUGACUGAAUUAGCCUUCCAAUAAUAUAAAAUUUGUCCAAAAAGGACCCUCGGUGAAGAAGUUAUGAAUAAUUUAAAGUUCCAGUCGUAAAUAUCGUCAUUUUGGUGUCUAGCGCGUUGCAGAGAGGGCCAAAUUGACAAUUGACAAAUUACAGUGGGGCUCCACAAUGGUGGCACAUCACGGAGGCACUCAAUUUCCCACUCGUCGAAUUCCAGUAGACCACUGCGAUUGUGGCGCGUUGCAGUGGCACUCGAAAUUGGGUUUUUAAGUUCAAAUUUCCAGUUCUAUUUAGGAGUCAUUAAGGGUAAUUUUUAAUUCUCCUUAGCCUUUAAAACCAUCCAAACAAAGGAUUUAGGGUAUGUUUGAGCAACUUCACCCUACUUUCAUCAAAAUCAUCAAGAAUCCUCUCUAGAGCUUCAAACAAGAACUUCAAGAAACUCAAGAUUCAACCGUGGGUUUUCAAAAUCGAUUGAAGAUUCGAAAUCCCCGGAUCAUAGGCUUCAAGAAACACCCAUUGUUUUCUUAUUUUGAGGUACGUGGGGUUUUUCUAAAAAUCUCAUGGGCAUAGAAAUCAUGAUUUUAAGAAAAGGGUUUUCAGAUUUAUGAAUACAUUCAUAUUUUAGAAAUCUUGACGAUAUUGUUUUGAUCUUUUGACCUUCCCCAAAUUUAUUUGAAAUUAUAUAUACGUAUGCAUAUGUUUUAUGAUUUAUGAAUAAAUUGAGAACAUGACGCACAUGAAUCCCUCUCUUGGUAUGAUUUUCCCAAUUUUCUUAUGAUAUGGAUUUAUUUUGAAUGUAUCUUGAAAAGAAUGAUAUGAAAUAUCUUGAUUAAUCCUACAAAUUGAUUUAUGGUUUUGAAUUCGAAAGAGAGGGUUGUGCAUAUUGAUAAAUGUUGAAAAUAUUCAUAUAAUGAACGAGUGCAUGAUUUUGCCAAAAGCACAUGACCACCAUAUGUUUGAACAAUCUCAGCAUAGUUUUGACUUGUGUUCUCGAAACAUGAUAUCUUUUAUAUUGUUUGCAUGUUUGGGUGGUCUGAACUGUGUUUUAAUGAAAGAAUUAUGCAUAAUACAUUAUGGCUCAGAAAUAGGACUUACAAGUGUUGGUGUGACAACACCAAUUCAGAUUAUGCUAUGAUAAUUGAGAACAGAUUUAAUGCAUGUUUGAAAUCAAACUUUUUAGAUGUUGAAACUAGAAACAUGCAUGAUUUAGAACAGGAUAAAAUUGGGCAUAAAGAGAGUUUAGGUGGUUCCCCGAAGAAGGCAUGAGUAUUAAAUAACUCAUCGCCUAAAACCGUGAUUUGCCAAUUCGAGUUUAUUUAUUGCGCUGUCCUAGAGCCCUGUGGCGUAUCAGAUUCAGGAACUCCAACCCUUGCGGCACACUUGGGUUGGGGGCUUCCCCGCCGAGUCAAUGGCGAAUUCCAUACCACCCAUGAAAUAUUAGAAUUGUAGGGGAGUGCCACCUAACUCAGAAGUAAUAUACAGAUCAGAACUUGCAUUGAUAGGCAAGUUACAUGUUUUUCAGAAAUGUGCCCAUGUGUUUCGAAAUCCACUUGAUGUAUAAUGUUUUGACAAAGUUGUUUCUCAAACUAUUUUAUUUACAUAUAAGCUUUAUUUUGGAUUUCUUUGCGUACCAGUACAUCUGUAUUGACCCUUCCCCCCUCCUCCCUACAGGUUUUGAGGCUUAGUCUAGGGGUCCAGAAAGGCAGUAGAUUCGUCAGACAGAGUUGCAGUGAUUAGUUGGUGAGCCUUCUCUAUUCCAGAAGGCCCGUCUUUCAGAUUAUGUUCCUUAUUAUUGUUUUGGUCAACUGGGGGCCUUGUCCCAGUUUUCAGACAGUUGUCAGAUUUUUCUGUAGUAGAGAUUUUGCAGACUGAGUCAAAUGUUAUUAGAUAUAGUUGAUUUUCUGUUUUCAUACUUAUGCUGAAUUCAGAAUUGACCAUGUUUCCAUAGCAAAUUAUGUUUCCACAUCUUCUUAUUUAUAUAAAUAUAUGCAUGCUUACCAGAUAGAGAGGGACGUUUCGGGCCCUCAGGUUCAAGAUGUCCAUCACGGCCAGGCCCUAGUUCGGGUCGUGACAGAAAAUCAGGACAAAAACCCUUACACUUGUUGGGUUCGAAUUCGAGAGGUCGUCAUGCGGAAGCUUAAAGUUUUCAAACCAUGAGAUGAUAAAUCAGAUGACAAAGAACACAAUACUUAAAAGCAUUAAAUUACUAUAUGUUUUGGCCAAUCGGCCUUCAUAAUAUAAAACCUAAUAUUGAAAAACAUUAAACCUAUUAGAAGAAAUCUCCCCCUAAACAAAGACUCUAAAUGACUACAUUGUGGAGUCUCUUGUGUUGUUGUAUGAGAAGAGGGAUUUUCUAUUUAUAGAGGUUCAAAAUCAUUCCUUCAAGAAAGAGGUAUGCCAAAUAUGAAAAAUUUUUAUAUUUUCCUUUUAGAAAAAUAAAAGUAAUUAUGGUAUUACUUUUAUUUUCCUUUUAAUAAAAAUAAAACUUAAAUUUGGUAAGAAAAUUAGGAGAAAAACCCUAACAAAACUCCCUUUUUUGGCUUGAUUUUCUUGACGGAAUAUUCUUGAUCCUCCUUCACACGAUCUUCAUAUAUCACUGUUGCUUACCAUGAUUAAAAGUUGAUAUUUAUUAAAAACUGGAGCCCUAUGCAUUGAAAAUAGAAGAAUGGGUUAAUAUUAUUGGAGCCCCAUGUUACUGGGGUUGAAAGUAGAGCCUUGUGCAUUGAAAGAAAGCACAGGUUAAAAGUGGAUCCCAUGCGUUAAGAGUUGAAAGGAUCCCAAGCGUUAAACCAAGUAUGGGUUGAAAAUUGAAGCCCAGAAACAUGGGUUGAAAAUUGAUUUUGAUUUUAAAGAUGGAUUAGCAGCAGGAUCGUUGAAAAUUUAUUUGAAUCUUUUUCUCCACAUGUAGCCUUUUUGGGCAUAUAUCUUCAUUAUCAUCAAAUCGGUUGCAACUUUGAUCUCAACAUGUCCUCAAUCUGAACCAUAGGCUCUGAUACCACUUGUUGGGUUCAAAAUCGAGAGGGCGUCAUGCGGAAGCUAUUAGUUCCAAACCAUAAAGACAAUAACUCAGAUGACAAAGAAAAACAUACUAAAAACAUAAUAUUAUUAUGUAAUUUGGCCAAUUGACUUACAUAUAAAAACCUAAUAUUAAAAACAUAAAACUAAUAAGAGAGAAAAUCUCCCCCUAAACGAAAAUCUUAAAAGACUACUUUGUGGAUGCUAUUGUGUUAUGGUAUGAGAAGGGGGGUCUUUUAUUUAUAGAUGUCCAAAAUCUUUCCUCCAAAAAAGAGGUUAGCCAAAUAUGGAAAAGAAUUAUAUUUUUUUCUUUCAAGAAAAGUAAAAGUAAUUAUGGUAACUUUUAUUUUCCUUCUAAGAAAAAAUAAAACUUAAAUAUAGUAAGAAAAUCAGGACAAAAACCCUAAUAAUUUGUGUUUGAACUUUUAAAAUCUACUCGGAGGGAUUCUAGUUCAUGAAGGAAAUCUAAUUCUAGGAACCAAUAUCGCUCUGUUGAAUAAUCCCAUGAUUCCUCGAGAUGAAAUACAAGCCUUUGAAGAUUGGGAAACCUUUUGAAAAUAUCCUCUGUUUCUUUCGAAUAGGAAAGCACAAGGAUCUCUAUUGCUCUUAAUUUCUCUAACUUUGAGUCCUCUUCUAUCAGUAUUGAUUCAUCUGUAUCCAUAUCAUAGAAAGAACAAGCGUCAAUGUACAACACUCGCAACUUUACAAGAUCCCCAAUUCUCGGUAAUAGUACCAAGGUUGAUCCUUUGUUAGUCACCACCAAGGAUUCUAGAUUUCUGAGGUUUGAGAAAGAUGAAGGCAGAGAUUUAAAUUUUGUCUCAAUUCUUAAGAACCUCAAGUGAUUCAACAUGCCUAUUUCAUUCAAUAAAGAAUCUUUCACCAUCAUAAAAGAGGGACACAGGAACAACACUCUAAGAAGCCUCAAGUCUCUUAGGUGACAUGCAUCAGAAAGACGAUUUUUCAUCUUGUCUCCACUUAUCCGCAAAGAAUAUAGGUGUUUACCAGAAUGCC